UGAUCUCGUUGACUUAACCUUUCACUUAAGGGCUGCUGCUUACACUCGAACUUUCACUUAUCCCUGCAUCUUAUCUGUCUCUAUCGACAUAGCUCCUUCCUUUAAGAAUGGAGUUUGGGAGAACGGAUUCCUAGUAGUUGCUUGGCCCAUUCUACACUACGGGAGAGAGAGUCUAUAUAUAGGGCACGCACGGACAAGAAAGAACAUAAUCCGGUAUUCAAAAGAAACCUCUAAGACAUCCUUACUUUGGGCUAUCCUUCGUCAUGUCAAUAAAGAGAUGGCCGAUCACAAGAGAAAGAUUCCCACUCUACACUACGAGAUCACAUCCUACCAAACCGAUUUCCUACCUACCUACUUAGUGCCAAUCUCUCAUAGAAUAUCGAUAUAUGAAUUCCUCGCUAUCAUCAUGAAGUCAGGAAGCUACCUUACGAGGCGCUAUCAUCAUGAAGUCAGGAAGCUACCUUCCAAGGUUAUAUGGGCUCCAUUUCUGAGGUUAACGAUCCAUCUUCUUAUAUCCCAGACUUGGUACUGUCUACAGCUAUGAAUACAUUUACUAUCUGCCCUAUCUGCUAUGAAUGACUAAAAUGGAAGAAGCACCACGAUAGGUCUUCUUCAUCUCAUCCGCUCAUCGGAGAAAGGUUCUAAUUUAUCCCAUUCCAUGAUUACGCUUUGCCCGACCAAUACAGACGCGGAAAGCUAACAAGGUAACAUAGUCAAAAGCAAAAGAUAGGUAGUAAUGAUAGGCGCUUAGGAAAGAGAUAAGACUUAAGGAUGAGUGAAGAGCUCGGUAAUGGAAGAUGGAGGAGGUAGUUCAGUGAUGGAAGAGGUCGUAAAGUCAGGAAAGGCAGAUGGGAAAAGGUAGUCAAGUCAGGAAUGGAAGAUGGAAGAGGUAGUAUAGUCAGGAAUAGAAUGGGCUUUCUGCCAAGACGAUAGGGAUAGUCGGGAUGUUUAACCCUCUGGAAGUCGCCAUUGUCGUGAGAAUACUAGAGUUAAUGAAUUUGAGGACAGGUUCCGGAAGCUCAGAUGCUGGUUCAGAAUACUUAUCGUAGGCCUACUUAAGCAUUUCGAUGAGAAGGCAGGCACGACAGUGAGCAUUUGAUCACUUUCAAUGAGUAAUCACACUGGAAAAGGGGCGCAUUAGAUACAUUCUUUACAUAAAUAUGGACUUUGGCCCGCUCUUAUCUUAGGUUUUUGAUUUCUCUUAGAUGAAGGAAAAAGUUAGAAUAGAACUGGAUUCUAUUAUGGGUAAGCUCACUCUAGGUUAUAGGUAAGCUCACUCUAGGCAGCUUUCUUAAUUCACACUAACGGAACUGGAUACGUAGCUAACUUCAGGCAGUUGUCAACCAAGCUGGCCUCUUCAAAGGCAGUAAAGGGGGCGAAGCUAAGGAAGCCAGCAACAACAACUAACUCAACAUUCUUCUCUGGGUCCCCAGCCUGCUAGGCCCUCUUCUCUCUACUACGGGCGGAACCUUCCUUUUGAAUCUUGUUGAUCAUAGCAUGAAACUCUCUGGAUUGGGGAAAACGAUAAGGAGAAAGAUCCGUCUUCCAACAGCUAUUCUAUAGUGUUGUUUUGGUCUACUGAUACCAAUCGGCCCAACACAACAAGAAGAACAUUCGAUUCCGCGGGAAAGAAGGUUUAUCAUCAGUGCGGCUUACUAGAAAAGCGAACCCGAUUCAGAAACAGAAAGGGUCUUCCCUACUGACUCAGCGCUGCGAAGGAUUCAGUGGUACCAGAUAUGGCAGAAGCCUUACGCGGGAAGGCCCGGGCUCGUUGUCUUCUUCCUCAAAACAAAGAGUGGAUCCCACAGAUAGUUCAGUUCAACUCAACAUAUGGAUUGCCCACAUGAACCCUCAGGUUUUCUAUGAUUUGCAUAUUUACUGCGUACAGACUCUUUUUAGUCUAUAUGUCACAUACACAAUUAAUGUGUUUUAUAUCUCUUAUGACUUUUUGGAGAGAGAAAAUCACUUAUGAAGAGAAGAGGGAUUGAUUGACUUUAUUCCCUGUCGCAAGGGAAAGAGAGAGCCUAAGCGAGUUCUGGUCCGGCGAUCAAGUUAUAGAACUUGCUUCAAUGCGAGCUAGGAUUUCUUAUAUUCCAAGGCAACUCACACUCUCACAGUUAAUCUCUUAGAACCAAAGUCGAUUUAGCAGGGUCAUUAGAGCGAGUGCGCCAGUUACUUCCUUAUGAAGUGAAGGUAGGAGUCCUUUCAAACUAUUGGAAGUUAUCCUUCAGACAUUAGGAGUGAUAGUUAUCUUCAUCGAGGUAGAGUAGCUUUCGAUGUCGUACCAGCCUCCCCUCAUUCUGCCGAACCAAUUGCCCAACACAGCAGGCCUCAAGUCUAUUUGUCCAAUCAUUCCCCUCCGAACUGGCUUGCAUUCGAGGCUUCUAAAGGGGGAUUCUUGUCUUAUCUUAUUCAAAAGAAAGGGAGAUUCAUGUCUGAUCUUAUUAGAUAUAGAAUUAUGCAUCAGUCCGUUUUUGACCUCAACAGCGCUUAUGUAGCAUCUCUGAGAACAAGCCCUUCUAUUCUAACCGAUUCUUCCCAAUACAUUCCGACUACACCGCUUACCCUCAUCGACUGGAAAAAUCCAAUAAGUUCACUGUCCAAAAGAGGCAGACAUCUAGCUAACAGCUCGUUGCUUUGACGGGGAUAUCUAAACUAUAUUCGUUGCCUUGCCUUCCGGACCUGACUCGGACAAAAAGGCAGUUAGUUCACUUAGGGCAAGCAGUUCGUCCUUUUCUUGUUCUUUCAAAGAGGGCAUUCCUCGAUGCAUCCCCGCUUGUUUGCUUAUGUUGGCCGAAGGCAAUUAGACUCACUUACAUCUUCUUUCUUUCGAAUUGUCUUCGAUUCUCCUGCUAACUCUUGGAAAGUGUUUAAGUAUCCGAAAAGAAGGAUUGACUUUAAGCCCGAGGGAGGGGGUUUUUCGUUUGCCAAGAAGUGCAUGUGUUGGGGAGCUCCGCUCUUGAAAUUGGGUCGGUUGUGAUGGGUGUAUAAUUGUCCAGGCAGUAAUGAGAGUAUCUUUUACCUGGCUCACUUUUUCUAAGUAAUGGGGAAGAGGCAUGAACUUAUUGCACUGAAAAAGUCUACUGAGACAAAGAUGGGCUGAACGUAGAGGAGGUGCGUAAGGGUAUACGAAGGGGGCGGGCAAUCACUAAUUCUUGAAACCUGAAUUCAGAAGACCAAAAAGUAGGGUGUAAAAGGGCCGUUCCUGGUUCUCCUGUAGCUGGAUUCUCCGGAACCACAAGAAUCCCCUUAGUUAGAGAUUAGAAUGAGAUUCCGACUAAGCACCUUUUUCGAAGAGUUGCUCUUUGUCUUUGGAGAGCACAGUACGAUGAAAGUUGUACGGGGGGGAGUUCUUGUCUAUCGUUGGCCUCUAUGGUCGAAUCUGUCGUGGGCCUGAGAGGCUUUGGUUUACCCUGUGGCGGAUGUCAGCGGUUUGAGUCCGCUUAUCUUCAACUCGUUAACUUUGCCGAUACUAAGCUAUAUGAUAGCACCCCAUUUUUCAUGAUAGCACCCCAUUUUUCCGAUUCGGCAGCCUUAUCUUUUGGUUAGUAAGGGCUAAGCUAUGAUUUCUCAUUCAUGGACGUUGAUGAGAUUCUUCCAUUUAGCAGCACCUUAGGGGAUGGCAUAGCCUUAAUAAGGGCGAGGUUCAAACGAGGAAAGGCUUACGGUGGAUACCUAGGCACCCAGAGACGAGGAAGGGCGUAAUAAGCUUCGAAAUGCUUCGGGUAAUUUCCAAUAAGCAGAGAUCCUAUGAUUCCCGAAUAGGUCAACCUUUCGAACUGAUUCAAGAAAGCAAUGGCGCGAGGCAGCUCGAUAACGUGCUUAAUUAGCUUGUUGAGUUGAGUUCGGGCGUCCGCUUUGCUUUGGUGUUUAGGUAUAGCCAGCCUGCAGUCAGGAGUUUCGAGAGAUAAGUUAAUCAAGUAAACAAGGAAGAGAGCAAGUGUACGAGUUCAGUAACUGAAGUUCCGCAAGCCUUUGUCAGGAAAGGAAGUAAUGCAGUUUGUUUGCUCUUUGCUAUCAUAUGCUCUAUCUGGAUUCCAUGAAACAAGUGAGUGAGCAGUGCAUUGUUAAUAUUUUGCAUUAUUAUUCUCUUAUAUAUAUUAGAUGUGUGCGCACUUGGAUACUCUUUAGAGUCGGCAGUAAGCAGUGAGGUUCGAAGGAAAGGAAGCAAGCCCUUGUGCUUACGCUUAUGUCUUGGGGUGCAUUAGCGGGUCUUAGAGUGUUGUAGAGUCAAUGUCAAUAUAGAAAAGAAAGAAAAGGCUACCUUACCUCAUCAAUUACACAAGCCUAAGUGCUGACGUUUCUGUGUUAGGUGGAGCACUUUUGCGUUAGUUAGAAAGUGCUUGUGCUGACGUUUCGGUGUUAGGUUCCCCGGACUCUUUCGCGUUAGUGAUCAAAUCCUUGCUUAUGGCUCCGCGUUUUCUGACUUUAUGACUUUAUUGGUUGGUGCACUCUCCUCUUUAGAGUCAGGAGAGCAAGAAGCAACGGAAGAAUUGUUAGUGAAGCAGCAGGAACAAGACAAGUUAGCUAGUUUUGUUGCGGGAAGGGCCAAGCAACGGGACAAGCUACGAGGCAAGUAAUUACGUUAGACCAAGCAACUAGGCGCCGAGUAACGACUACAGUGUAGCGGCAGGCUGCUUAUAGGAGUUCUGAGAGUGCCCUGCGCCCCUAGUAUACGAGUCGUUUUUUCCGUAUUUUUCGCAAGAGGAGAUGCACACUAGGGCAGUGAGUUUACAAGGUAGGUAAGGGAGACUGCUUUUCCAGGGUAUAUACGAUGGAAUCUUUACUCGACAGCCGCAGUAGUAUACGUUUGGCCCUGCCGCUCGAACAUAGGUGUUUUUUCUCCUUUCUUUUGGUUUUAGUAAGCAGGGAUGGGUUUGAGUUUUGAGUGAGGUUAAGUUCGCGAACAAGCAACAACGGCUUUCGCACAAGCAAGGAAUUCCGUUCGGUUGAUUUUGCCUUUCAAGCGGCUUUGGGGUGUACUCUAAUGUGACUUUCUUCCAUCUAUACAAUGCCAGUGAAUGCUAAGCGAGAUUCCAUUCAGAAGAGAAACCCUAAUGGCACUUGCGCCAACAGCUCUCUUUUCUACGGCAUAUGUUCUGGUCGACUCCACUUUCCCUGCACCUUUAUUCAGUUGCUCGUUAGCGCUGUAGGUCAGUCAACUAAUACCGGAUUUCCUCUUUCUUUUCGAGGGCAGAAGAUCUCUUUUUUCUCUUCUAACAAGCUCCGCAGGAAGAUAUUUGAGGGCAUAAGUUAGUCCACUUGAUUGGGAUCCUUUAAGCCAUGUUCUCCUCCUCUUAUGACAAAUUACUUACCUAUCUUGCUCUCCUAGAAAAUAGGAAUGGAAUCUUGAGAUGAGAGUUAAGAGUCUAUAUUUCUGUAAAGUAGAACAGUACAAAUAACAGCCAAGCUACUAGGUGCCAAGUAUACGAGAUCAGAAGCGGGCCGUUAAUAAGCAUCAGAAGUUCACCUUUGCCCUUAAGUUAUUGGUGUCCGAGGAAGAAGAAAGUGCGGGCUUCGAAGCCAUAAGGGAAUGAGUUGGCUUAGAGUAUCUUUCUGUUCUUGUUGAAGACCGAGUUUGAAGCUUAAUUGUAAGGCUCGGAGUCGAGAGUCAGAAAGAAGAAUUCGUUUACCUAGGUAUCGGAGCCAAGCCAGAGUGAGAUUAGUAAGUCUUCCUCCAAGGGGCAUAAGCCAAAUCGACUCUCUUUUCUCUACUGCUGAAGGGGGUUGUGGUCGAUAACACCAAACUUACGCUAUCCUUAUAUAAGUGCACAGUGAAAAACAUGACCACUUUCUUUUGCUCUUCUCUGGUCUUAAGUAUAUACUUGUCCGCUUGGUCCCUACUACUAGGAAAACACGGAAUUCAUUUACAGGUGAUGAAGAAGGAUUUGUUAGUUAGUUUGAAGCAAGAUCAGAAGCAGUGUGGUAUGCUAGGUAGAAGUCAACAAGUCCAGUUUCUUUGGGUGCUUCCUCUGCGAUAAGGGCGUAGGAUAACCCAUGUUUGUAGCAGUGCCUAGUUAAAGUAAAGGCUUUGAUGCAGUAGAGAGAAAGUCAGCACAGCGGGAAGUAGAUCUGCUCCCGUUCCGUUGAAUAUAGUUUCCUCGGUGACAGUGGAAUUAUGAGUGGAAUACCGAGUUGAGCUCGGGGACUUAUUAUAGGUGUCGGGUUUACAAGGGAAGCAGUUUCUUGCUCUAGUAGUUGCGUGUCCCCUGUUUCUUACCAAAGAGUCAAAAGAGCCUAAUUCUGGUAUCAAACUAAAGAUCUAUAGUCUAGUACCCCGGACGGAGGAUGUCUUACUGCUGUGACUAAUUAAUAAGGCUUUCGAUCCACCCUACCCUCCCCUGUUUGUUACUUCGUUAUUAACAAGUCCAGUGUUUUUACCUAAUGAUACCAGAGUUUCCUUUCUUUUUAGAAGAGAUAGAAUAGGGACUGAAAGCUAACAUCAAGUUGGAAUAUAAAGAUUUUCCACCCGACUGGCCUUGAUUUCUGUUCAAUCCUUUAGGAGAUCGUCCGAUCCAUGUAGUGCUCAAUAAGAAAUGGAAUUGGAAUUCGAUGCUGCUUCCAAUAUGCUUUUCCCUAGCCUAGAUCCGGCUGUGCUGUUCAACAACCAUUCCCGUCUUCUCUAGUGAUUGAUGAUCCCACUCUUACCAAAUAUCCAAUUCUAUACUUUAUCCAUGAUAUCAGGGAAUCCGUACUCGAAUGCGGUGCUUUUUCCGUUUGCGAUAAGUCAGUCUAUUGCCCGUGCUUCCUUCAUUCGCUUGGGGCGGGACUCGCUAGCGACUGUUCUAUCUAGUUUUCACCGUUGGGGGGAAAGAAAGGAUUGUUAUUUUCCUAGUAGGAGCUCGUAGGCCUUGAGCUCAGAUUCUAACUUGAAGGACUCGGCCGUAACAGAACGAUAUGAAAAGAUAGUGGAUUGAUAUGCUGCUAGGCUUCUACAAUAAGGAAUAUAAGGAGAUCGCUACUUGUCAUAGUUGUGAUCCUUAAGGGGAUCGCUACCGGUCAUAGUUUUGAUCCUUGACAGAUUAUGAACUCCCCCUGAUUGGCUUGACACUCAUGGCCGGGCCCUGUUAUGAAACCGGAAUUGCUGGUAGAAUCUUCCUUCUCCGCUGCCUUUACUGAGUAGUUGAAGACUAGCUAUCAAGAAAGAGCCUUAUUGGGAGACUGUCCCGGGAAUAGGUCCAUACGAUCCAAUAGGGUCUCUGCCAACCAGUAAGUUGAAAAGUCCUUCUUGUUAAGCGUGUAAGGCAGGAAUCAAUUGAUAGUAGUUCUUCCGCAAUGCAAGAUAAAGCUAUCAAUUCUAUUACCCACCUUAUUAGAAAGUAGCUGUCCUUCGGCCCCUUCCUGUGAGCUAGGGCUAAUUUGAUGCAUCGAUGGCUGUUUUCUAUCUAAUUCAAGUCCUGUUCUUUUCCCUUAGAAAGUGGUACAUAUGAAGCGGGCGAACCCCUAUAAGCCAUGCCAGUCCCUUUUGGAUCCUUAAGAGGAGUCAAAUAAGCACGUUUCGAGUGUACUAUCUAUAUCAGUAUUAAGUAAAAGCGGAAAAAGCUUUCAAAAAGGGAAAUACCUACGGAAGUCAACAGAUGGAAUACAGCAGCACUGGAUUUCGGCACUUCUGCUAUCCGGCUAGCUAUUCAAAGCAUCGAUCAAAGUGCUGGGGUCGAUAUGCCUUUUCUUUUCUCCGUUCACUCCUCUCCCCUUUAGGUCUUUCACCUAGAAGACACCGGAAGGAAGCCUAAUGGUAGAAUUUCACAGACCGAGUAAUCCUUAGUUAGUGCUUUCUUUUGAAGUAUAUAUUUCGAUCUCUUUCCUCAGGUAUUUAGGAAACUGACCCUCUUCUCUUGUGUCACGAACCCUUUCUAUUCUUUUUGUUGAAUUGAAUCCUUCGGGUCGAACUAGCUCCACCCUUGGGAAUGUUCACUUCAUAUACUAGCUUUCUUUCGGGGCCAUUCGCCCUUUAUUGUUAGUGUUGGGCAUCUCCCUCUCGUCCUAUAUUGUGCCGUAAAGUAUUGUACAUAAGGGUUUUCAAUCAUUCCCACCCAUAACGUAUUGGCACUUUCCAUUAAGCCAUUCUGCUAUCAUUCUAGUUGUUAGUGAAGUUACUGCCGUUGUUGAUGUUCGAUCGUGUAACUGGCACCGCAGCCAAUGAAUGUCCUCAACUCAGCAAAGAAAGAAAGAGGUUUUACUGAGAGUACUUGGACUUUGAACUAAAGUAUAGUAGGCGCUGUUCCACCCUAGAAUAUAGAAACAUAUAUAAAGAAGUAGAACAUAUAUAAAGAAGUAGAAAGCGAAAGGAAGUUGCUUGGCCUGACCGCUUCUCUCUCUCUUCUCGAUUGGCUUGGCGCUGCUACGCCUAGGUCAAGCCCCUGAGGAGACGAGACCCUUACUUGCCUAAUCAAUAGCUUCUUGGCACUCUCAUUCUCAUCUUCGGUAUGUGACAAAGAAAGAUCUUUUUUCUCGUAUCAAAGAGUGAUGACCCCGCUCAGCUUUAUUCAGUUCCAGAGACAUUGGCACCCUCGCGAAUCACUUAGAUGGAGCUGACAAUAGACAAUAGAAGAGAUCGGGUUCAAACUAAUACUUGCUUAUACCUUACUCCCUCAUCCAUUCCAUGAUCUCAGGUUCUUCCCAACCGUGGAACUGGCUAAUCAAAUGCCGUUGCCGUUGAAUUGGCGUAGUCGUAACCGGCAGAGUCUUUCAACUCACACCCAUUUUCCUUUGGCUUAACUUCUAUCUUUUUGCGAUACUAUGAAUCUAUACUGAUAAGAUGAUCAAGACUGGGAUUCCUUUCUGGAAGAUUCCUACUCUUUCCCGUCUUCCAUUCGAAGGGAUGGAUGCACUUACCUGAAUUAAUCCUAUCUCCCGGCCUGGCCUCCUCUCUCGCCGUCAAUCGCUGCUCCUAGAACCGGGGGAAGACUAAAUGGGAGAAAAGAAGACAUUCAGGGGGCAACCUGUUAAUCAGGCUCCGUGCCUGUUUCUUUGGGAGGUUGGUUCGGGGCUUUACCUUAGCGGGGAGUAAACGGUUUCAAGUAGGCUUGCUCCUGGGCUGGAGUACGGUUGACAGGAAAGCGAGGGUAUAAAGGUAAGGACCAGGAUGUUUAGUUAUAGUCUAUAGAUUGUAGUUUCAGAGUUCAGUAUUUAAACAGAGAAAAUGGUUCUACUCUAAUAAGUACUGAUUCGGUUCUUGUUAGUAUCGGUUUGAGUGGAAAAGUGAGUAAAGGCAGCUUUUAUUGCAGUAGAGUAAGCCCUAGUUUUGUAUUGAGUUAUUGUCUACAUUGGUCCCAUUCCUUUUAUUGACUUAUAUCCUGGAUUAUUGUAUUGGUUCUUUUAGUUAGUAGUCACAGGCUUUAAUGCGGGAGCAGGAACGCAGCUGCCGGGGAGUAUUUACAAGCUAAAAGCCUAGCAAGCAAGACUCUAAAGAAGAAGUAAGAGAAUCAAAGCCAACUGUCAAAGAAAGAAAGUCAGGAAGGGCCCUUCCUUUGCUUGAAAAAGGACUCCUGCUUACCCGAUUGCUAUUAGCUCAAGUGAUCCAUUUUAGUGCUUUGUAAUACAUUAGUGAUCCAUUUUAGUGCUUUGUCUAGGGGUCAGCAGUCAAGUAACCUCAUUGCAACAAAAGUGCUUUAGUAAGUUUGCUUAGAAGAUACUACUCUAAGGUACAGUCAAUAAGGUAAAGUCAAUAAGGUACAGUCAAUAAGGUAAAGUCAAUAAGGUAAAGUAAAGGGUCUAUGUUAUUGGGGUAAUAGGUGAUUAGCCAUGAGCUCUGUUGAAUAUGGGUGUUACGACGAGAAUUGCCUGAUUGCCCUUACUUUAGAGGCGCUAAGCAUAUUUCUGCAACUCAACUACUUUGAGCUAUAGUGGCACAUUAUGGUCCAAGGAGCUAUUGCGGCACAUUGUGGUUCAAAGUCUUACGCACACUCGCCUCGGGUCGGGUACCCUCCUUUUUCGUGGAUAGUCUCAGUGAUAGCAACCAUUCUAUUACAUCUUACGAAGCAUAAAGGUGCGCCUCCCUUAAGAUUAUGGCCUUAUGAAGCAGGGUGUGUUGUGGUCCAAGACUUAUAUACGCGUCAACAGAUUGUCCCGAACAAGCAACGAAUAAUAGCUGCUUAGUUAGUUAGAAGACAUCAGCAAAGAGACUCAACCGACGCUGUUUAUCAUGAAAUUCUUCCAUUCUAGUAGGGGAGCUAUAGGGCGAGUGGAGUCUAUGAGAUCAGAAACAGUAGAAGGAAAGUCUAUUGUUGUUGGCCAAAGUGCCCUUCAUGUAUAGGUAUGGGAAGACUAUCAUCAACAUGUCAAAUAAUUUAGAUAAUCAUUUUUGUACCUUAUUAGGGGUCAAAGGGAAUGCUAGCAAUUUGCAUCUCACAUCAAUAAGUUCUUUCAAGAUGUAUUUCCGGGUAUAGUAAAUAUAAUGGAUUUGGUCCGCAAUGUCGGUUGGUUAUCCGCUGCCUUUGAGAAACCCGUCUUUCUUCUAUAGUACACCUAUAUUCACAACUGUACAGCACUAUAUGAAAACUCCAGCAGUAAAUAUAUAGAUAUACGAUCGUAUCCACAAGAAAAGGCGUCAAGUGACUCUAGUAAUUCCCACGUAAGAUAGGGAUCGAAGGAAGACUCAUUUCAAUAGUACUUGAAAGCAGGGGAGGGGCAUAAGCCUUAGUGAGAGAGUUGGCCGGCGCUAUAAUAUAUAGUACCUGAAAAGCAAGGGAACAAGCCUUAGUGAGAAAGAUAGAGUUGUCAUAAGUGAAUCAGGCAUGCGUGCGCUAUAAGUUGUAGAGCAACGAGCAAGCACAGUAAGGAGUGAGUAGAGAAACGAGCAAGCAGUAAGGAGUGAGUAGAGAAACGAGCAAGCAGUAAGGAGUGAGUUUGGAAGGCAGAAUAGAGUCCGCAGUAGGGUUCCGCACUUAUACACUUAGUUUAGUUGUCUUUCAUAUGCAUAUGAUUGGAUUUCGCCCUUUAGGUUAGCAAGUACAGUUUGCCAGAACAAGUUUUAGGCAAGGGAACCUGCUAACAAAGAUAUUCGAAAUACUUAGUGCUGUGCUUCAAGAAGGUCAGAUUCUUUCUCGUCAUUUAACGCAACUACCCGUCAUAGGGCAGUAGAGUCGUGACUUGACUUAGCGCUAUCGUUCCUUAAGACUUUUGAGCCUGCGCACAUUAUAUCUUUCCUUUCCCGAUUACACUUGAUACCCGCCGGAACCCUGCGCUUAAUCUUAUCUUACAGCAGGAGCAUACCCAGCUAGCAAACACGUAUAAAGAAGAGCAACCCGAUAUUCGUUCAACAAAAGUCAAAGAGUGAGUCAGCAGUAAGGGGGAAAGAGCUUAUUGGCUACGCUGGGAUAGUGAGUUUUCAUGGCGGUAGGAGUUAUCUUCCUUAGGCUCAAGAAGUGGAAAGUGGAUCCAGAGAAGCAAGCGGUAGCGGUCUCGUCUAAUGGCCUUCUGCUGCCUUACCUUCACUCGAAUCACCAAAACCCUUUGGGGUAGCAACCCAGCCCGAGUUCUUUUUCGGUUGUCAAAUGCGUGAAUUGGAAAGUGCUUUUAUUCUGGAAGUUCAAAGAUGUAAAGAAAGCAUUGAAGUCAUGGUCUAAGGAGGAAUCAAUAAGCUCUAACUAUAUCCUAAGAUAUCGGGUCUUCUUCAAUCCAACCUCAAAUCAAUCGGAUCCAAUGAAUCCCUUUCUCAGUAAAGAGGAGGAUCUUGUGCUACGAAGGCUCCAUGCAAUGCUUGGAAUAAUGAAAUAGGAACAUAUAAUGAAAUAAACUAUUUAGAUAGAAUACAGUGGCUUCAUUCAGGUGUUAGAAUACAGUGGCUUCAUUCAGGUGAUAGAAAUACAAGAAAGGGUUUUGAUUCUCAUCUAAGAAAAGUAGCAUUGCUGCAAAUACUAGAAGCAGGGUAAAGCUAUCUGAUCGGUUUUUGGAAAAAGAAUGAAAAGUGAUAAAGGACCAUAAGCUGUAAAAUCUAUUAAAGACCUGUUUUGUUCUGAUGCAGGCCAUGUUGACUACCCUUGAAAAACAGGAUUUUCUCAGAGGAAGCAACAACGGGUAGAUCGAUAAGCCCGCGCAUCAAAGGAAGCAAGCAGAAAGAGAAGCCCGCGCAUCAACUAAAACUGUCAGCGGUAGCACGCCCUGUAGUUUUGAUGCGUCAUCUGCCACCUGCAAAGAAGGAGCGGAUAGGGAAAGAAAGAGAAAAACGAAACCAAACCCCAAAGCAUAGAGAGUUAUUAUAUUAUGAAUGAAUAUACGAGACCGCCCCACCAUUCCUCAUUGAAGAUAGGCACUGGGAGGAAAGAGAUAAGCGCAUCCAAAACUGCCAGCGGAGUCAAAUAAGAAAGGUGCUGAAAGCCUAUUUCUGAAAGCUAUCACGCCGCUGCUGUAAAUGAAAAAAGAAGGACCGAUACGUAACUACUACUUCCACUACUACCUGCUUAUAUUAUACCUCUGGCUAAUUCCUAUAUUUAGGUGUAUUUCCUUACACUUGCAUUCUGACUUCUAGUUACUAGUCGGCUUGUCUUCUUUGCGAUGCUACUAAUUUCGCAAGGUUGGACAUAAGUCCCGCGGAGAAGCCCUAGUAUGCCGGCUUGAUUCAUUACUAAUAAGGUUAUUGGGAGCCUCUCGAAUGGUUGCAGCAAACCUUCCCUCAACUCGGUCUUGAGUACGAACCCGGUCUGUCUCUCUGAGGGGGAUAAUUUGUCUAUUUCUUAAUCCGUUUACUUAAUCUCGUACACUGCUAACGGAACUGUGGAAGAAAGAGGUCACUCACCUCUCGACAGCACUCCCACAGCCAAGUACUCCUGAGACGGCUUUAGCUUCAGAUUCUUAGUGCUUCCCUUGUGCUUGUGCAAUCACUGAGAAUCCCCACGAAUUUCUUUGAACUAACUCACUGGGCAAGAAAAGCUUCCAUUCCUCCGAUGCAUGCUUAAUAUUCUGCGACGUUCUUUGUUAAUUGUUCAAAAAAGCCAAAACAUUCCUUUGAUUAUUCCGCUUUCCUAUGAUAUAGAUUUGGCUGAGACUUCUCUGCGUCUACGGAUUCUCUAGUAGCUGCUCUAGCGUCUGCUUCGUCGGGUGCGGAAUCGGGGUGUUCCACGGAGUCGAAAGGAUACGUAAAAGCGCCAGGCCCCGCUCAGCCUUUUUGCCGAUACUUAGUGGUUGGAGGGCGACGGGUGGUCAUAUCCGAUAAGUAGACGCCCUUUCUGGAUCCGGCUCUCGUCUUCGAUUUCAAGAUUAGGGCUUCCCUCCUUAUAUAAGGAAGUGACUUUCUCAAGGAUGGCCGAGAUCCUUUGGUCGCCAGAGGAGGAAAUGUCGCUCAGUGGACUGCCACUCCUUGGAUUACAUAAGAGCUUUCCACUCCUCUUUUUCCUGCUUGACUUAGUGUCUUGCCAGCCCUUCCAUUUCGCAGAGUUAAGGUUGCUAGUGACUAAUGUGGUCAUGUCUUUUACAAUCCGACAGAAGUAGAUAGGACGGACUGUGUUGACUGACACUUUCGGUGCCUAUCGCUCCUAGCAAGUUCAUAAGAAGGAUGUUGUUCGGGAGCAGAGAAUAGCUGGUAGGACCAAUAGGCUCUUAGAUAGACUUCUUAGGAUAGGUCAGAAUGAAGCAAAUGUCUCUAGUGGAAGGAAUCCGCCUAUAAGAGGAUUCGAAAUCCAAAAAGAAAAUAAGAUAAGUAAGAUCGAAAGGGAAGGGGAUUCUCUGGAUUUUAGCAUCCUAAGGUAAAUCCUUGAAUCGAAGGAAGAGUAAGCGAAAGGAAAGGCUGCACAUUCAUGCAGAGACUAAGCUGUUGUAGGAAUAAGCGCUGUUCUUCUGACAGAGGGACUGAUUGACCACGGUCUUAAAGAAUCCGCAGUGAAGAUAGCCACGAGUAGGAAUUCCAUGGCAUUUAUAGGCUCUUUGGCUGGUGGAAGGCUCUCGCUCUGGAAAGAGGCAGGACCGGAACACUUCCUUUUGAAAAAAGGGCUUAUUUAAAGGUUGGAACACGCUCGACCAACGGGCAAGGAAUCAUUAGAAAACCAAAUGUGCGCAGGAACCAUAUAAUGGAAUUGCAUUAAGCAUUUAGUAAGAAAUAAUGCCCCAUUUCCGUCUGAGGAUAAGCAAUUGGCAGAUGAGGAGCAAGCAUGCAUAGUAGAGGUAUAGAUAAUGGAAUAUCAGCUCUUUGACACAGAUAUUAGAUAGAUGCCAAGAGGAAGACAAGGAAUUGCACUUCAACGCUUAGUAAGGCAAUAGGAAAAGCAUCGAGAGAGACUGCAGACGAUUUAGUGCAAUCAAUUCCUUUUUCAUCACUUUAUUUCGCUACGCUCCUUAAAGUCUUUUAUACUAUUUUUGGAAGGAUUUAUGAUUAUUUGUUUUAUCGAGACGUCUACUAAACGAAGAAGCCCGCUCGCAUUAGCACGCACGACAUCUUAUUGCGACUGUGUAAAGAGCUACCCUCUCAGACAUCUUAUUGCGACUGUGUAAAGAGCAACCCUCUCUUAUAAUGGGCAUAUAGGAAUGGAAUCUUUCUCGUAUUACCUCUUUAUAGACUUCACCCGCUUCUAAGCCAACACCUGGAGUAGCACCUUACUUGAGAUUGGAGUCUGCCCCGAUACCGGAACUUGAAUUUGCAGGCCCGCGCCUCUUCUCUCUCUCUUGUCGACUGAACUCACUCCUAUACAGGUCCUGGACUUGAUACUUCACUUUAAGACCCUACCUCUGCUUCUGCAGAUUGACUUUAUACAGCGGAUUCUGUUGAAACUCCUUAUGCAGCUGACUUGUUAGGUUUUGAAUCUCUAUCAGCUUACUUUGAAUCUACUACUGGCUGAACUACUUAUCUUUCUUGCGCCGUAAAGCAUUAACCUAGCUGUAAAGAAAGAAAGUUGGUAUUCAGUCAACUAAUCAUUAAUUUCUUAUCGAGCGGUCAACAACUCCCGUCCCGUCCGGAGCUAGUCAAGUUUUUCACGUUACUGAGCGGGCAGCUGACUACUCACUUUCUAGUGCUUCUAAUUCUUCUCCUGCAGGAUUAUUCUGAUUCCCCAUUUUGUAGGCUUGUCGGACUUGCUUAUGCCUCGUACCAACUCCAGCUUCAAAGCCAGGAGUAAUAACUGAUAUAGAGACGUCGUGUACUAAGCAAGACUUAGGUUGUGUGUUAGGAGUUUUCGGUAUGGGUUUCGGGGAACAAGUAAGUGGUAGAUAACCAGAAGCAAGAUCAUCAUAAAGUAAAGGGUCAGGGGCAAUUCCUAGUGUUGGCGCAAGUGCUGUGCCACUUAUAUAUCUGCGGUCUUCGUGCUCUAAGUCUUGUUCGGGAAUAAUCUCUUUUCGAAUGAAUGCCCACCGGAGUACUUAAGGCAAAAGUAAGGUAUCCACCCAUUUCUAAAGGCAGGUAGAAACCAAUUGUAAAUAACGGAGUUUUCAAUCAAGCUUGAGUUUAGGGAAAAAGCCAGAGGUAGAUUACAAUCAGAAGAUUCAAAAGAAGAAGGUGAGUUCCGGGCAGAAGAUUGAGCAGGAGCAGGAUCAUCCCCAGUUCGAUAAUCAGCAAAUGAACUGAAAGGAGAGGAUAGGUCGGAAAAACGAAAAGCUGUCUGUGUCUUGACUUCCAUCUAUACUAGGAUCGAUAAGAGAUAUAUUCCAAUUCAAAACUUCAAAGAGAGGUAGGGUGUGUUCAAGGGAUGCAGCAUCUUUCAGUUGGCUAUACCUAGUGCUCCACAAUUCCAUUCUUCAAUUCAAAACGGAGAUUGCAGCUGGCCUUGCAAGUUAAUAAGAUCUGAUUUGGGGAAAAGAGAAUAAGAAUACUGGAUAGUUUAGUCUCUCUAUCUCGCAUUCACCUUAACCUUUCAUUUGAGGAUUCUUUCUCUCUCUGAUGAGACUGUUUGACUUUAAGAACUGACAAAGCGAAUUGCCUUAACUUACGCAUAGCUUCUUUCUAUUGGAAAUGACACUGAUUCAUUUACCCCAACAAAAGCACCGCCCAAGACUAAAGCCUUUCCUGCCGCCGAAGGAACUGUGCCUUAGCUUUGCUUCGAACUCCCGUAAGCGAGUUAUGUUAGUUGGGCGCGCUAGUCCGUUUCUAGUUUGUUGCGGGGCGCGAAAGGAAAGGGGAAGUCAAUAGAAGAGCUCAGAUUAGAGCCAGCAGGAAGCAGUGAGUUUGUGUCCGCAGUAAGCUCUCUUUUGAAUUACUUCUAUACUUGGAUAGCUAAUUAAUAACUUCUCAACUUGGGGUGGGCAGAGACUUCUAGAUACAGGACUUGGCGGACGAACAGAUGAAACUCUGGAUUAGAAUUAGAUAUGAGGGAGCGGAUACGCGCAUUCCCUUCUUUUAUAGCGGACAACGAGCUGGAGCACCAACCCUCGCUACCAAUAGGGAGAGAACUUGUACCUUCUCCAACCCUCGCAUCCAACCCUCGAACUUCACUUUCACUGUAAACCCUAAACUUCUUAUAUAGGCCUCUAGUGUUAACGCCUACCUCGCAUCAAAGCCGGUAAGAGAAUCCCUUCUUCCCGACACCUCGUAGGCAUUUGAUAAGAACUAAAGUCUCUAGUUAUAGUAGAAAGUCCAGGGUAUCAAGUCUAGGUAUCAAGCCCAGGACCAGUGUAGUAGCGAGUUUUCUUCUUUAGUGUCAUUAUUAUAAGUAGUGGAAUGAUUUCCUAUUGAAGGAGUUAGAGUUUAGUCUCAUGGGGAAUUGCCAGCCCUUGACUAUUAAUUCGGUCAGUUCAUAAAGUGGAGUUCUUGCCCCAAACCCCGGACAGGUUAUCUAUUGGCUAGAAGGUAUAGGCGACAUCCCGAGUUGCAAGAGGAUAGGUCGGCACCCCUCGUUUUCUCACUUAUAUAAUCAAGAAAGAAAUCAAUCCAGUGCGGGGCGAGUUGAAAGAAGUUAUAGUUCCCAUAGGUAUGCCAGCAGGGUUCAAUCAAUAGUUUCGAGCAGGGUUCAAUGCAGAGUUCAGAGUUCGGGAAGUCAAGAAUAGUAGCUAGUGGCCCUUAUAGUAAGUCGGAGUGAAAGGGUUUCCCGAGUUGAAGAAGUUCUCAUCUUCCCGGCAUAUUUGAAUCGGUCACGAAUUCAACCCGAAAGUGGGAAUUUCCCUCUACUUCUUGAAACAAGCCCUGCUGCUAGGGAAUAAAGAGAAUAUGUUGCUACUGCUGCUAGGGGAAUAAAACAACUGUUGCUAAGGUUGCUAAUAUACUUGAUGCAGAGAAUUUGUCAUAGAGGCUAUAAGUAUGGAUAUGAAGCCGAAGAAUGGAAUGCUCUCGCCCUUAAGUUAAUUGCUGUAAGUAAAGAGUUUCGCCUAGUUUGUCAACUGACUGUAGAUGGAUUUCCCAAUAAGGGCUUUCCCCACUACCUUACUAAAUGAGAUAGAUACUACUAGUGCCCUGUUUAGUUGCUUGUUUAGUAGUUGCUUUGCGGCUUUCCCUAUAUAGGUUGGUAGGUGCUAUUGUUGUUGGUGAAGAAAGGAUAGUUCCGGUGGUGGGUUUGAUCCUUCUUUCUCUUACUCUUCUCAAGCUUAUGUAUCAAAGGAGGAAUUACAGAAUAGUUUGACUUAACACCCUUGGAAUCCCUAUAGUCCACUGAUAAACAAACAACUUGCAUUUCCCGUAUACCUACGCUAUACACACUCUGUAGAAAAACCCAUAUAUGUGAAUUCUACCAUAUAUGUGAAUUCUAUAUUAAUAAAGGAGAAAAGAAGUAUGGGCACCACCCUUUGUUUAUCGAGUGAAGUAAACUAUCAACUAGAAACUGGGGAUGAAACUAUCACUGCAAUAGCAUCAGAAGGAAUUGAUUCUUCCUCAACUUACUAUAGAGGCCUCUGCUCCGCCCUUAUAAUUAAUGCUAAAGAAAAGGUAGAAUACCAUUGUGGGGACUGCUCGAGGAAUGUAUCCAAGAGAAAUAAGAAUAAGCCUGAGCCAGGUAAGGUCAAUUCCAGAGUUCACCUUUAUUCAUGGCGUUAGUCCGAUCCGCGGGUGCCUCUAUUUGAAAGUCGGGGCGAGAAACUUGCUAUGUGCUCGGCCAUCAAGAGUUUUCUCAAUAGUAUAGGCGUGAUCCCGAGUAGCAAGAGGGGCUUGAAGUCUGAAACUACCUAGCAUCAGCUUGCCACUACACCUGGGUUCGCCAGGCUGAUACUACUCCUACUAAGAUUGAAGCUGGUGAGUUACAGGCUAAGAGUGGAGCUUCCAAGCCUGAUACUAGUGCUAGGCGGAUUUCAACCCUAGCUACUAGAAACUACGGGACUAAGGCUUCAACUAGUGCUAGUCAGAAUGGAACUACUCCUACUGAGACUACAACCCGUGAAUUUCCUAUUUCCUAACUUGAUUCUUAUAAGUAAGUAUUUUCUUUCCUACUCUCUUAUGUUGGACUUUCUAUAGAGCUUAUCUAGGCGAGCCUCCAUCAGUUAUGCGCGUAUUAAGGUGAGCUUCUACAGUCAAGUCCAUUCUUCGUUGCCUCUUUUUGCUAAGGUUAGCUUGGUCUCUAUUUUCCAAAGUAUAAGGAUUACCCAGAGACUGGUCGGGUUGGCAGGUAUUUACCAGAGCAUAAAGAAUAGGAUUUACCAAUGGCACCGGCUCUCCAGGAAAGACCUUCACUUCAUGUAUUUCCUUCACUUAAUGUAUCUCCUUCACUUAAUGUAUCUCGCGUAUUUCCUGAACUUCCCGGCAAUCCAUCAGCUCUUGGUCUUGAGUAAGAAUAAAAACCAGCUUUUUCUCUAAUUUCUUCUUAAAGUAUCUUCUGAACUUCAAAACAACUAAGAGACACAGAAAUUGUUCUGUUCAUAAUUAUUGGGUAGUUUACUUAAUUAGUAUUGGAUCCGCAGUUAACUGAAUAAUGAAUACCUGUGUUUGAGCGUCAGUAACUUUUGGCCAGGACUCCAUAAUAACUGGCAAUUGAAGUUUACCGCGAUGAUAAAGAUGGGUGUAAAGGGCCUUAAUGAGAAAUAUAGGGUCGACUUAUUGCUUGCACCAACACCGAGAUACUUUCCUGCUCCAGCUGAAGCACUUAGCGCUGAAAAGCCAAGUUAAGUUAUUGUGGCAGAAUAUACUAGUACUGGCUACGCUACGAUAGGUUCUCGGCCAAGGGUCUGUGAUAGAGGUCAAGUGGAAGGAUCCGAAGAUGUAAAGGAUGGUUCCGUUCUUGUGUAAUUCUCCCCGAAAGGCUCCUCUACGGCAUUGACGCCUCUAAUCUUUGCUUUCGAACUUGACUUUGAUUUCCUUACUUGACUCUCCUUUCAUUGCACUGCACAAGCAAGAACAUCAUGGAAUUGUGGCUGACCUCUUACUCGCUCAAAGAGCACUACUGGACAGGGAUAGCAAAAUUCUCCAAAGUCAACUUGAUGAACCGACUCACUACUCGCUGCUUUAAUAUAAGGGCAAGCAACUGGCAAAGAGUUACUUCAAACGGAAAGCAUAGUGAAGCGGAAGCUACAAGCCCGUCGUGAAGUACAGUUUUCGACUCCAACAGCGGAUUCUAUGAAAAACGGAUACAGCUCUAACAGCAAAUGACUAGAAGGCCUGACUUCACUUUCACUACUUCUGCUUUUUGGCCUGUACUGUCUGAAUCAUUAAUCGAAUCUCUGGCCUCGGGGUAAACUCGUCUUAGCGCUGAGUCUUCUUGCUUAGCGCCUGUACUUUAGGAUUCUUCUGACUCUAAUUCUCUUUUCUUCCCCGUACGAUUCCACUCCUUAUUAAAUACCCGAACUCGACUGCAAGUUGCAAAAAGAAUCUUGAUUGACGACACUCCUUCGCCACCUGGAGACAAAGAGAAAAUAGAUGUUGAUUCCCGCUCUGUCUUCUUUACCUGCUAAUUCAACACCUUUCGAACAGAAACAUAUCAAUCAGGCAAAGUGUAAUAAUCAAGGGCCUAGACUUUACAAGCACAAUAACUAAACCUUGAAGUGAAAAACGCACGAUUCAAGUCAAGCACUCGAACACUCCCCUGAAUUUCUUAACCGCUCACUCCUACCCAGGAACAUAACCUUUCUUUAUAAAGAUUAUUAUCGAGUCGAUUCUUCUUCUUAAUAUGAUUCAACUAGCACAGGGCUCGGGCAUGAAACUAGGGCAUGAAACUAGGUCGAAUGGGACUCAUAGACAAUACAAGCACCAACACAAGUCUCUCCUGACGCUAACUUCUCUUGGAGACUUAAACCAGAUUUAUGGAGUUCCUUCUGGUUCUGAUGGAUGUCAACACUAUCUUCAAUUCUGUCUUUCUAAAUAAGGGGUGCCUCUCUUCAAUGGUUAGGGAAAGCAUGGAGCAACGGGACAAACUACGGGAAAAGCUAACCUUAGCAACGUAGCUAGUAGACAAAGGCAAGGGAUCAACCAAGGGAAGAAGCAUCAGCUGGAUAAGAGUAAGUAGAGUUGAAGCCUAAGUGGCACUGGUUUGAGUCUGAGUCGACUUAGGUGCAUUCUUUCCCUUAGUAGCCCAGCAGCAGCUACCGAGGUGCAUUUUGUAACUACUUACUGGGUUGAUUCGGAGUCUACUAAGUUGCAUUCUUUAACUCCCGAAAACAGGACUUUAUGAAGAACCUAUCUAUACUGAUUGACUUAGGCGUUAGGGACAAUGACAGGAGCAAGAACAGUAGCUUCCUCUGGCAUAGAAACUUGGAAAUAACCAGCUCCAUCUGAGCCGUAUCAUUGGCAUAAGCUGCAUCUGGAUCUGAAGCCGUGCUAGCGGGUGUUGUAUCUUUGGGUGCUUCUGAAAGGAGAGUUUCUUCUGUUGUUGACGUCGGUUGUGGAUAGUGGAAUUGAAGAAUAUCCAUUUGAGAAUUGGGUUAUCCACUGCUGAAGCACUAAGUAAAGCAAGAAGUGGUUAUGAGAAGGUCUAUGUAUUGUCCCGCUGUAACUCUACGCUCAAACUAAGUAGUGGAGUUUUCAAGUCAGCAACAAGUAGGUAUGCAAAUGCAAGUGGCGUUCGAGAAUCAGCAAGCAGAGCCAGGAAAGGAAAUAGAAUAUCUUCCCGCUACCAUAUAGUCAGAAUUAGCACAACGGAACAAAACACAGGCAAAUCAAAUAGUAGAAGUCACGGUGUUAGGUAGCUUCAAGAGCACAAGUCCAGGUGCUCGAUACGCAUGAUUUGAAUUCAUUGAUUGUGGAAUUGACAACUUUCACUCUUUGUUGACUCUAAGCUUGAUAGAUGAAAUGAUUGUUUGACUGAAAACUCAAUUGUUACUGAAGACUAAACUGUUACAGAAGACUAAACUGUUCCCAACAAGACUAAGUGCGUUAAGAGUUACUGUUCCAUUAUCAGCAGCAAGAGGAGGUGAAGCAGUUCAAUUGUCAGCAGCAAUCGAUUCUUCCCAACACUUAGAUAUUCUUUAGAGCCAAGCCAGCAGUAAGCUAUGUUGUAACUCUCUUACAUAGUAGGUACACAGCACUCUCUUCUUUCUCACACUUCCGAAAUACUUAACCGACAUUGAUUGGAUCACAUCAAGAAGCAUAAAGCGACUUGGACCACACCCAUCUUGCAGACGGCUUAUUGACUAGACCGAGCUAGCAAACUAUAGCAUCAAAGCAAACUACAGCUUCAAAGAGAAACCGCUUAGACCAGUAAAGUAGUGAGCUUGACAAAGAGCCACUCCAUACCAAAAACUCUGCGUGUUGGCUAAGACAAACAUGUCAAACAAGUAAAUGAGCAACGGCUUUCAGAUAUUAGUUAGAAAGACUUAUUGAGUAAUGGAGCACUUAUAUGAUUUUCUUACUUUCCAUUAGUUUCAGCAGUGUUAGGGGGUUUUCAACAAGCAGUGAGGUUUGUUUGGUUAUUAACUAGAAUCUCAGGUUAGUUAGGUUGUUUAUCGAUUUAUAUACUAUGUCCCGUACAAUUCAUUCUUGGUUUACUGUACUCUGCGCUCUCAAGUCAGGGUUCCGGGCGGGUAAGAAUAUAAGAAAUGUGAAGCGGUCAGGAUAGGAUAGUUUUGGGGAGUUUCCGUUUAAGGAGAUUACAGUUUUGCUUGUGUCUAAGUAAUCAAGGAGAGUGAGAAAGGAAGCAGUUAGCGCAGUUCAAGAUCUUUUUGAAGAAGCUGAAGAAAGAAAGUAGACAUCAACGAGAUCAGGAUCAGAUGACGCAGAAGCUUUGAAAGAUCAUCGGCAGAAGAUUCAGUGCGUGGAAGGUAUCUCGGUGUUGGAGAAAGUCAAGUAGUUCCUUGUACGGAAGUUUGUUGAGUUAGCCGUUGCGCGUAAGCUUAUUGAUCCACGCUUAAGUCUAAAGUCAACUCGCCUACAUACUUAAUGCGGAUUCAGAUAACAUGCAGAUUCAGAUAACACAAUACGAUUGAUCUCGCCCAGUAUAGCUUGAUUAUGAGAUGAGAGCUCUUCCGUGCGCUUAUUAUUCGUUGCUUGUUGAGUAGUGCCUUGUUUAGCCGUUGCUUUAAGACUUGUUGCGAAACUGUAGUAGUCGGCUGCCGCGGCUGCGAGCUAAAAGCGGGUUAACCCCAUAUUAAUAACACAAAUCCAUAUGAGAAAAGAAUAUCUAGGUGUUGUCGACGAAGCAAAGCAAGAAGUAAAGAAUACGAAAGAAAGGGGUUUGCAGGAUCCGUAUAAGAUUUCGGGGGGGUUUUCUAUUGACUUCAUUCUAUAACAAGUGCUCGAUAAUCCAUUCAUGGUUUCCUCGGCCCAACUAGUGUAGUUCUUGUGUAAGCAUAAUAAUUGCCAGUGACAGGUAUGGAAAGGAGUCAAAAGAAUUAGGAGAAAAAGCUUCAGAAAGGAAAUCAAUCAGCAGGAAGCAGUUCUUCAAGUGUAGUUAUCGGGGAAGAAUCAAGUAAAGGCUUUGAUGCUAAUGCUGUAUUUGUUCUUGCUCCAGCAAAUCAUGGUAGAGAAAGAAAGUAAGCUAAACUCACUAAACAAGCAACUCGGGGUGCUAAGGAGAAAGAAUCUAUCCCUCUUAUUUCUUGGAGAAAGAAUCUAUCCCCCUAUUUCUAUUAAUUCUGACUUGUUCCACGGCCACUUAUAUAUCUGCAGCCUCUCUUAUUGCCCUGCUCCCGAGAUCCGAGAUCUGUUCUUAUUAGAAGAUUGAAUUGACUAUAGCUCUUAUAGUAAGUUGUUUGUCUACUUAGGGUAAAGCUCACUGACGCCGAUGUACUUGUUUAAGAAUCCUACUUUCUAUGUGGUUUGGGAGCUAGGUUCAGAAAGGAGAGUUCGACUCGAGAAAGAAGCAAAGCUGGAAAGUCAACUCAUGAAUCAUAGGUGCCAAAGUAAGCUACAAGCGGGUCAAUAAGCCGAUCCGAAGCUGUGUUUGGAAAGUGAAAGUUCCGGUUUGAAUGAAAGAGCACAUACUAGGUUAGUUACCAAUUCAUAAUAUCUAUCAUACAUAGUAGAAAUAAGAUGAAACAUGAAGAGAAGAAUCAAAGGUGAACAUACGAAUGAGCGUGCUUGCUUAUGCGCCAGAGACCUCGGGCUAACAAUCGUACACAGAGGGUUUAAGGCAUUAGUGUAAGUUUGCUAGUAGGGGCCAAGCAACGUAGUUCGCCCAGCAAGAUAAGAGAGAUAUUAUAGUCCUGCUCAGGUACGGGAUUCUGCUAAGCUAUUUCUUUACUUACUUAUUUAUAUGCUAGGCGAGAAAGAUUCCCCUUACGUUGGGGCAAGAACAAGUCCUUGGGGGAGUUCACCUUUGAAAUGCGAAGGCACAAAGCGCGCGUUCCCUGCCUGAGAGUCUUGUUUCGGGGAAAACCUGUAAAUGAAUGAUUUGUUGAGCCAGAUCCACCAGGAGUAAAGUAGCGAGGGAGCUUUCUCAGGAUCCUUAGCGGGAAGUUCCGGUGAAAAACCAUUAAUAUAUAAUAACAAUUAAUAUCUCUGAAAUAUACCUUUGACUCUUGAUGGCUCACUCUUGAUGGCCGAACACAUAGCAAGUAAUAAAUUAGUUAUAAUGCACAGAGUCUGGGCCUAAUCUCCAGCAUAAGCACCAAUGAUAGAAUCAAGUAAAGGCAUAGCAUCCCUCUGAAGAAUCUGACCUUACAAGCUAUACUUCCUUUCUCUGAAGAAUCUGACCUUACAAGCUAUACUUCCUUUCUACUUAAUUAAUCGCUGAUUCAUUAUCUGGUCGACAACUUCACUGUCUGCUACUACCACAUAAAGGUUAAUCCAAUACUAUAGGGGAGAGUUUUUUUCGGUCUCUACUUCAUUUCCUUCCCUACUAAUGGUGUUCUACUCACUCCGGAUAUUCCUAGUAAUGAGCUCCUCUGUCUUUACCACCUCUCCUCUGUAAACUAUCUUUCUUAUAUAAUGACUUUGGAACUCACUUUUCAACUUCACUUCUUCUUGUUCGGGUAAGGCUUCUGAAAGGCUGCUUUCUCGUUGUUUAAGCACCAGACUCAGUACCCAUCUCUUUAGUUACCCCAUUCUAUAACUGGUAUAGUGUACUUGUGCCUGCUUCCUUUCUAUUUGACCUCCCAAAGGAAGGAUACUUCUGUACUGAAGCACUAACUGAGGGAAAAGAGAUGAGAUGAGCCUGAGUUCACAGAGCCGAGGUCCAGUAUCAAGGAAGGAGUUAAUGGUUGGCGAGAGGGAGUAGAAAGAAGAUUGCAUCCACUCCCCCCAAAACAAUACUGGAACUUGAGAGAAGCAAUUCUUGUAGGAGAGCAGUAGAGCCAGUAAACCAACCGAUACUUCUAAGACAAGUCAGAAUAUCAGUGAAGUAUAAGGUACGAUCUAGCGGAUUAGAAUAAGACAAUAUAGUAUUAGUUACUAAGAGGGAUAGAUCUAGCGCAUCUUGUAUAGGAGUCCUGAGUUAAGGUAUUCAAUAGUCACCACUCCUGUUCCAGUUCGAGGUUAGGAAUACUGAUCAGAUGCGGGAACAACGGAAUCUACUGGAGAAGAAAGAAGAAUGGAAGGUAAUAAAGAACUCGAUUCCGUAGUCAUAGAGCCCAGUAGAAUAGCUGCCCUAAGCCCAUUAGAAAGAUUCUGAAACUACCCACGAACUAUCGGAAUGGAACCAAUAUCAAACUGCAAGAAGGAACUCCACAUUAUUUGUUUUGUAUGAGUUUGGUUACUGUGAUGUCUUCAUGGAAGAAAACUCUCAACUAGGAAUCUCCAUAAAAGAAUAAAGAACUAAACCAGCGAGUCAAAGGAUGAAACAGGCACAUAAGAAAUGGAAUCUAAGGUAUGAUCUAGUACAUCCAGCUACUAAAUAUAAGAAAUUCACCAAUGGUUUAAAGCCUACUAUUUCUUAACGGGUUUAGUCUCUUGCUUUCCACUAGCAAAUAGGGAAGCUAACCCAUAUAAGUAGGAAAUCAACUCAAACUAUGGGAAUUCCACUUUACCUAAUAGACUGGAACUUACUACUAGGAAAUAAACUACAAAUAGAGAAUAAGAAGCAUGGAACACGAAACUAAGGCUUUCAAUACGGGUUCCAAGACUUUUACUGCGGAUCAGGUCUUCAACCAAAGGCAAGCAACGACUCCUAUUAGAAUUAAACACUACCUUGAUCAGACUGAAAUAUGAAACACAGAAUUCUACCGUGAGACACCGGAUCCAAACACUGCUUAACUGGAAUUCCACUUGCAUUAUCAGAAUGAGGGUUCGGUGUGGGAAGUCGGAAUCAACCUAAUAAGUAAGGAAAGGAAACCGGUCUACGCCUUCGAGUAGUAAGUACCAGACUGGAGCGAGUGCCAAUAAGAUCAAAACAAGGAAUAUGGAAUAUAUGGGUACGAUCCAACUCAUUACCGAUGGGAAUCAAACUCCAAAGUCAAGAAUACCAAAAAGGAGUCUCAGACAUAACCCAGUGAAUCGAAGUAUAAAUAGGGAAUUUCACUCAGUGGGUCAAGCCUUACUUCGCUAACUCAAUCUUAUUUAGUGGACCCGCCCAUUCUCGUGGGUCAUUGAGCUCCUGUAGUUAAAGAAUGAGUAAAGGGACCUAUAAGGCAUAGGAGUGGAGUCAAAAGGCACCUACCGGGCAUAGGAGUAGAGCCGUAAGUCAAAAAACAUAGGAAGAGGAAUGCAAGGAGCCUAGGCCAUUUCCCACAACUAAAGACUUUAGGGAAAGAGUGGAAGAGUGAAACCAAGGAGUCGAAGUUUUAUACCCUAUGGAGAUGUGUCAGGUUAGCACUCGCACAUAGGAAAGUGAGUAGUCGGAUUUCUCAUUUCAUAAGUCAAUAUAAGCUUGAGAUAAAGGAGUCACAGGGCAGUGAGCAGAUUUCGAUUCAGGAGAGGAAGAAUCAAACCCCGGGCAGGAGCGGUUGGCAGUGAAGCAAAAUGACCUAAUGGAUCACUGACAACUAAGGUAAAGAACGUGACUUUGCGCUUCAACGCUAGGCCCUGUACUUUAUUAUGCCCUUAACAACACAGCAAAACCAGUACUCUCUUCUGCCCCGAACUCGACUUUCCUGUAAACCGUAUUCCACUACUUUGAACUCUAGCGGGACAAUGACUUCGUGGACAAGGAGCUACCACAGCAUCAACACAACCACUUCUCUAUACAGCAACACCUGCACCCGAAACAGAUUAACUUGCGGAACGUCUUGCUCUGGCAACUCCCGUUAGUGCAGAUCGAUUGAGCAGCUCAUCUUCAUCAUUAAUGGAAUCUCUUGCCUCGCCUCUUGCUCCCUUACGCGCGGAGCGGAUAAGAUAAGAUUGGAUCUAUUCUUUGGAAUCUGACAUUGCUGGUAUAGCAGUAGUAUGGCGUUCAUAGCGUUUAGUAGUUUUUGGGUAUGGAUAGGUAGCAGCAAGUAGUGCUUGAAUGGUAAUAGUUUUUUGAGUGGUUAUUCAGUCAAGAUAGGCAAUCCUCACCCGGGGCCAUCGAGCACUGAACUUAUAUCCCCGUCUGCAUUCUGCCCUUCUUCUAGAGUAGAGAUGGACUGACCAGUUAGCAGUAUAUCAUAAGCAUCAGAAAAGGGAUCUCGGCAAUAGCUACUAAAAUGACAUUUCUACAGACUGUAUGGAAAUGAAACAGAAAAUCAAGAAAGCCCCUAUUUUGGUUAUAAGGAGUGAGUUCAGCCCGGGAGAGUUAUUAUAUCCGCCGGCUAUUUUCAUAUUACUAUGUCAAGACUAGUGUGAUGAGACUUUCAUUCCCGUUUUGCUUGAAUCAACUAGCUCUUACUGAAAAGAGCAAGACUACGUGGCUUUACGAGUCUCUGAAUUCACAGUAAUAUGCCACUUUCCAAACUGACUUAUGGGGAUUCCGCUACAGCUCGCUCUGUCAGUCCACUAGCAAUAUACCAGCAGUAUAGUUACUUCCGCAACGCACCUGAAGCCUGAAAGCGUAGUGUUGUAAGAAAGCCUCGAACAUGAAUUCAGUAACAGUGGAAAUGGGACCUCUGGCGGCAAGGAAUGAGAACAACAACUAUUGACAGGCUUUUGAACACUUAUACUUCCGCACACAGUCGAUGCUGCAUCAAAGUAGAUUCUCUUCCCACGUAGCGGUAACUAGCCAAGGAAAGAUCCCGUCUUUAAAGCAAUGGUGUAUGCUGCUUAGCCCAUCUGCUAGCUCGCCUUAAAGUAAAGCAAAUAGUCUUGAAUACAGCAUAUUUGGGGCUUAUUUCCAAAACAGGCUCUCUUGUUAAAUCAUUCAUAAAUCAAUCUCUCCUAAGACAUGCAAAGAAAGACACUUACCCAAGAGCGCACUCACACACUCGCAACUUACUGGUUAGCUGACGGGCUUUGGCUCCUUUGAUUGGUACUCUUUUUCUGGCUACUGCUUCGCUGGACUGAUAGCGCACUGAACCGAACCGUAAAAGAAUGAACUAUGGACUGCCGCUUCAUGGUUAGAAGCUUAUAGGCAAGAUUGAGAACCCCGUAAGAAAGCACGAGACUAUUCGUGAAGGCUAAUGGCUAUGUCCGGCCUACGACCGCGGUCUAGUGCACUCCUACUGCAUGCUUUCUUUCUUCCUUCUGGUGAAGCACGAGUCUAACUCGCUGGACCGUAUAAGGAGCAAUCCGAAAGGUUAAGGGCUGCUUCUUUCUGUUUCUCUUUAUAUAUAGCGGAGAACUUCUUCCAUUCAACAAGAAUAAUAACUAGACUAUUCCACUCGCGAUUCCCACUCACACUUCGAUUCCACAGAGAAAUAUGAACUCACACCCGACCCGAACGAAACUGGAAACUGAACCUCGUCUCUUUGAACUAAGGCUUGGAUCCACUAUAUUUACUUGGGUUACAAAUCUUUCUAUAAGAGAACAGGUGCACCUACAUUCAACAAGUGCUUGCACAAGAACAAGUUCGUUAGAAGUAAAGUGACCAACAAGAGGUCUUAUAAAGGAAGAAUCCAUCUCUAAAGUCAGAAUGUCUAUUGAGGGGACUAAACAGCAGAAGGGUAUUUCGCUAGGUACAAUUGAAUAAAAUAAGGGAACUCGGUCCUAUAUUCUCAAAAGAAAGAAUCCAACUAGUACGUACAUAUAAUCAUUCCACUCUCAAAGAAGAAACUGAAUCAUGAGCCAUAGGGUAUAAACUGAAUCAUGAGCCAGGUAUGUUAGUAUACGCUUGUCUGGCUUUCUCCUUGCGUGGAACAGAGUUGAUAGUUCUUUCUCCGUUGCUUGUCGGCUUGGCGCUAUGUGUUCGUAGUUGACUUUCAUGCUAUAGUUGGUUACUCUCUUCUGUGUAAGUGAACAGUUUUCUUCUUUGAAUAAUAAGAUAAAGAUGAGAAUUGGAAUGGAAAUGGGAAUGAAGUCUAUGAAAGUAGCGAGAGUGAAGGAAUACAUCUAGUCUAGAUCCGUAAUAUAGUCAUAACAAAGUUAUUACAAUAUAUGUCGUCUACUACUACCUCAAACAAAGAGGAGAGGGAAAGGGCACUCUGAUCCGAGGGGAACUACAACAACAGCCGGAAGUCACUCAAACAAAGGCAAUGUAUACGCAUCAAAGUCAUUUCUUGAACGGAGAAGAAAAGUAGAUGAAUAAGAAGAAGUCUCAGAAUAAUAAGAGAAAUCAGAAGUCUAAUAAGAGAAAUAAUAAGUCUAAGAAUAAUCAGAUAGAUAGGGCGCAAACAAACAAACAAGUGGGAGAUGCGGAUCUAAGUGCUAUGUGUCGUUUACUUACACUUAUAUCACAUGCUAGAUAGAUUAUAUGAUUUCGCCGUAGUUAAGUGAGUGGAGUUCGGGUUCGGCUGUACACCACGCGCGGAAGAAGAGUUCCAGAAGAGAGAAGUAAACAUAGUUUCCUAAGUGCGUUAGCGAGCAAGUGCUUAUGUUUGCGUUAUUAGCUGCUGACUUUAGCGGGUGCGUGAGAGGUGCUUCUUCCGUAUUGGGUAGCUGCCUAUUAAGUAUUGGGUAGCGUUCUCCAAGUUUAGAGUCUACAGUGAGGUUACGUUCCUCUAUUAGUUGAUGUGCAUGACAUUCAACAAGCGAGUUUAGUUCGCCCUCCCUCCCUUAUUGGAGUUUCGCAGUGUUGUGAGUUUUUUAGGAAGCAAUGCUCUGUGUUUUUACUGUCGUUAGUAUAUCAUAUGCUAGGUAGAUGAUUUGAAACAAGCAUAGGAACAAGGAACGGAAACAAAUAGAAAAGCCAGUUUCGUUCCGCUCGCCUGAGUAAGUCAAUUCGGUAGCUCUUCACACAGGUCCAACUGUAGUUGCGCUCCAAGUAAAGUAGAAAAGUGAAGUUUUGAUGUUGGCGCUCCUAGUAAAGUAUCAAGUAAAGUAUCAAGUCAAAAGAAAGUACUAUCAAGUAUCAAGUGAAGUAAGAAAGCUGCUAGUCCCAGAAAGCUGUAAGUAGGAUGUCCUAUUCCGAUGGUUAAGGUUCUGUUGUAUAAAGUGGGGGUCAGUAACAUAAUUGCCUGAUAGUGAUUGUCCCGCUGAAGCUCAAAGUACUGAAGUAGAGUGUUUUUGGGUGUAAUAGUUCUCUUAUUAGAGAUGAAGCAGUGCUUUUUCAUGAUCUUUCUUUUUUCUGUUCUCAAGUAUUGAUCAAGAUUAUGGGCGUCAAAGCAUUAUCAGAGCAUUUCGGGACAGGGGUUAAUAAGACAGUGUUAGGCAUGGGAAGGAAAGGGGGUAAUAAGACAGUGUUAGGCAUGGGAAGGAAAGGAGAAUAGUAUAUUGGCUUAGCAGUUAAGGGAAGAAAAGGGAACAACUUAUAAUCCUAGGAUCCUGUAUUUGAUCGAGUCGACUUUCUUUCUUAUUCUUUUACUGGCAAUUCAUACAUAAGCUUACUAGAGAACUUUAACUCCACCUUAAAUCACCGCUCUAUUCUAUGACAAACAAACGGAUUCUAGGGAUUCAAACUCGCGCAGAGAAUUCUGUAACUACGUCUUCUGUUACUUCAGCACAAUAACCUUCACCUCUCUCGUCGUCUACGCUUGUGGAAUUGAAGAGAGCGUUGCUAAUAUGGAUUUGAGUAAAAGCACAGCAUUGCUUCCUUAUAGCAUAUUAUAUAUAAGAAAAUGAAGUCAAAAGACUUCCCACCACCACUUCUUCAAGACUUACGUGAGCUCAUGAAGAAUAGAAUCUAUAUUUAGGGCACCCGUAAUGAAACUAACUUAGAUUACAAAAAGACAAAAAAGGACUUCGCUUGCAGCAUACUUUCUCACUGCUGAUGAUCUAUCUUCUUUUCUAAUUACCCUAUAUUUAUUUCUAUACAAGGGCUCGCAACUCUGGGACUAUAUUCUUGCGCCUGCAUCCUCCCCGUUUAUUUUCUAUAAUUCCACUACUACACUCGGUUAGCCAAUAACCUAUCGCGACAAUGAUACAAAAACAACCUCUACGACUCUUCUCGUCUUUUCUACCUUCCUUCUUCUCUUCCGUGAUUGAAGCAGUAACUAACACGGCCUGAGCAAAACGAACUCUGCCCUACUUAGCUACAGCACCGCUUCCUACUAUGUCUUUCUGGAAUUCUCUCUGGUGUUGAUUGCUUAUAAAAGCGAAAGGGAAACCCCUAAAACCUGACCCUUGCGCUUUACCUCCGCCCUGUAAAGCCGGAUAGCCUCUCUGAUUUAUGUCACUUUCUCCCCCCAAAAUCCAGAGAGUAAGUAGGCCUUUGAGGUAUAGCCCGACUCGACUCAUCGGGUCUUUAAAAGCAUAAGAUUGAAUCUUGAGUAAACACAAGAUGGCACGAAGAAGUAAGCGCUUGUAUAGUAGUGUUUCGUCACCAACACCAGUGGCUUCUUUCUGCUCCUGCUCCUACAGCUGCUUCAUCUUCCGUUUCUGACCUGAGCCCUGCUUGAACUUCAUCUUGAGAGCCCUGCUAACGCGGCAGCGAGCAACUAUUAACUGACGCUACACAUGAGCAGUUACUUGUUGAGUCAAAGAGGAAUAUUACCGCAUCUUUAUCCAUAUCUCUACAUCUAACACCCCUCUCUUUUGUUCCUAAGAUUGUUGGCAAGUAUAGUUUCGUCUUCAAGUAUUGUUUCGGGUGCUAGUAAUCUUUAAGGAGGUGAUUCUGAUUCGGGUGCUAGUAAUCUUUAAGGAGGUGAUUCUGCUGGCGAACUCUACUUUUUUGACUGGAAACUGGCGCCGAGGAAACUAAUACGGGACAAGUAUGCUUCUUCCCUUGGUUGUUUACUUGCUAUCUUCUGAAUUGCUUGUAAAGACACUGAACGCACAAGCACUUCCUCAUCUGCUCAAGACUCUCCUCAAAGAAUGGAAUAUAUCUUACCCUAACCCGCCUAUAAAGCAAAGGAAUGUGAUCGCUCACUAAUGCGCAAGGGAAGGAAAGGGCUAUCGCAGUCAGGUAAACUCUACUUAGCACAACAUCUGGUUCUGGUUGCUAGAGUAUUGCCAACUUGAUCCGUAAGCCGAGUUGACUUGUAUCCUUCGAUCUACCAUUUGUUGAUUUGUUUGUUUCUGCUUAAGAUUGGAAUAGCAACUUGUGUGUUACGAGAUACUUGACUUCCGUUUUCGGGAAGCGGGACAAUAUGUGAAAGUACUUUGAGAUCCUGCAGGACAAGAAGUGGAGUGUUUUAAUAAGUGAAAGAGCAAAGGUAGAGAUGUCAUCGACCCGAACUAGACUUAGAGCUAGAGCACCUCUGCAGAGCUUCUAUUGGAGAUUCUACUGAUUGACUUGGGUAUCCAGUAAAAAGCUACCGUUCGUUCUUUCCGAUUGUCGGCUUGUCUCUACUUAACCGCAGCAUGGGCUAUCCGACCUCGCUUCGACUUGCCCUUAGAUUAAUUGCCAACAACACCCUAAACUCUACUUGAAGUUCCUUUACUUCCCGAAACAAAUCAUGUCCUGCUUGUCUGCAGCUGACUUUCUCCUUAACAGUGAGGAGCUCCAUCUUUAUCUCAUUCUUUACCUUCAGAUUCUCUCGUUGACAAAACCAGGGGACAAAUCAAUAGGAAAUGCUAUUUGCUUCGAAUAAUAAUGAACUUCUAUGGAAAUGAAAGACUUUCACGGGCGUCCGAUAUCAUUGAGAAAUAGAAGAAGUGUUAUCGAACGAUUUCCUGCAAUUCGCGUAUGGAAUGAGUCCAAAAUCCAGCAACAAGUCUCGAUCUAUACGAAUGGGUUUUUUGUGUUUCUUUCGGUAGCUUUUUUUGUUUCCAAAGGAUAGCUGAAUAGCCUUACUCCAUAGGGAUGCUAGCGCUUUACUAAGAACAUUGCCAGAAAAAGGGCUUUUCUCGCUUGUUUAGUAUGGUGCGCAGGUUUGGAACCGGGCUAGGGCGCAAUGGCUUUCUCUGCUGUAGGCUUCGCUUCUUCAAGCUUCGAUUGCUGCUUUUCAUUUUGAUAGGCGUAGGUGCUUGCUGCUCGCUCGCCGUCUACUAAAUGAGCCUUCACUGCCCGCUUAUCCAAAAAAGACCCUAUCUUUUCUCUUAAGUAAAGUGAAGUGAACACUUAGUUGGAAGCUUCGCUUUGCUUCCCCUAAUUCCGAAAGACAACACAACAAUAGACUUUCCACUCCAGUAUAGGAAAAAGCUUCUCUUUGAUAGCAAGGGGUUUCCGAAAGGAUCUGAUCGUAGAUAGAGACAUCAAUCUGUGCGGGGGUAGGGGCGGAUGUAGCCAAGUGGAUCAAGGCAGUGGAUUGUGAAUCCACCACGCGCGGGUUCAAUCCCCGUCGUUCGCCCAUCAAUAAAUGGACCAUUUCUUAAGGAGACACAAGACAAACAAGACAUUUUGAUGCAAGUAAUCUCGAGGCUUGAAAAAGCAUCCAAGCAAUUGGUAUCCGAUUGAAAGAUUCGCGUCGCCUACUUGAUUAAAGCACAAAUAGAAUGGCAGAUCAUGAAUUCCAUUAAGUUUUUAAGAGAGACCUUACCCUUUUUGUGAAUCCUUUCUCGGUUGUGGGAUAUAGCUUUCUCUUUCUGUCUUUUCAGUGCUAAUUGCCCCUUAGUUGAAUUCCUUACGAGCCUGGGCCAGCAGUAGCUCUAUCUUGUAAGCCACAAAGGAAAGGUUUUUCAUAUUCAUAUAUCAAAAGAGAAUAGAUCGAUUUUGGACCCUAUUGAAUGAUUUACCUUAGGGUCUAAGGAUUUCCCAUCUGACCGGAUGACCCCACUUAUCAAGCUUUACCUUAGUUUUUCGUUCCCUUCUCUCUCUUUUGCGCCUAUGGAAGUUUUGUUGUAUGUCGAUCUCGGCCCGUGGUGGAAGUUUGAAGGGUUUGAAGUUCUUUUUUGCCUUUGGCCUCCGUGUGUGAAAGGUCAAGUGGAAUAUUGAUUUACGUGGGGAAAAGUGGGAGUACUUCUUAAGUAGGGAUGAAGUAGCUCGACUAACUCAACUAACAAGAUUUGGAUUACAUUCUUCUCUUUUUGAAUGGAAUGAAUGUGAAUAUAAUUGAUAAGAAAGCCAGCUAGGGAAAUGGGAAUAGAAAAUGGCUUUUAUUACUAGUAGGCAUUGUAGGAAAAGACAAAGUUUACAAAAAGCUCCAGGGAAACACUUUGGAGGGCCUUUCUAUCUUUGUGUAAUAUGUAUUGUAAUAAGGCGGAAGGUUCAGUCCAAUAAGUGGAAUGUGGCAUAAGUUAUUGAUUCAUUACCGAGUGUGAGAUUAGACCUAUGUAGCGUUCUCUCUAGUCUUUCCCUCUGCGCCUCUCCUUUAUGGGCAUAUCACUAGGUAAGAAAUGAUACUUAUUGUAUAGGAGUGAGUCUUAGGAAAUGAUACUUAUUGUAUAGGAGUGAGUCUAUUGAUACCAUAAUGGUUGUUUACAUAUACAGUUAUACCAUAAUGGUUGUUUACAUAUAAAGAUAUGGAUGGAAUCUUCCCCCGGUUCUUGCUUUCCAUGGUUUGCUAUCCAUCCCUUCUUUGAACCCCUUUCACAGUUAAGUCAAAUCAAUAGGUCUUUCUUAGCCUCAUCCUCUGAUCAGUUGCUAGACUAGCUGAUUGCAAUUAUGGGUUUCGGCUUUUCUCUUUUUUCUCUACAAUAUCCUUAAUAUCCUUUCUUUCUUGGCCAGUACUCAAUUCUUCCCCUUUAUGUGGGAAUACUUUUACUGGAAUAUGGCCCUAUGCUUUUUCUCCGGGCUAGGUAAAGCAAACUCAUUCGUUUUUUCCAGCCCAGCAAGCUUUAGUAUUCAAAGCCCUCAGGUCAGGGUAAGCUAUGUGCCUUUUUUGAAUUUCUUGUGUGUGAAAAGAGUUAUAGUCCGACUUUAGUUGCUGGCAAGCUCUUCUCCAUGUCAGUGUAAUGCCUUUCUUGUAUAGUGGGUGAGUGUUGCAGGCAAGCUCUUCCCCAUGUCAGUGUAAUGCCUUUCUUGUAUAGUGGGGGUGAGUGCUCAGUCUUUCUAUAUCGUUCCCGUCUCGUUAUCUCAUUCCUCAGUCACAGAAUUCAAGCUAGUAUGUUAGCAAGUUACAAUUUGAUCCGUUUAGUAAGUUUCAAAGUGAGUUCAAGUUCCUGUCUGUUACUGGUAAAACUCCAUUCCUGGCCAUUACUCGUCGCUGUAACACUGUGGAAUCCGUUUCGUUUAUAGUCUAUCUGUUUCUUUGCCUUGCCCCUUUCUUUACCAUAGGUUAAUAUGGCUAAGUCCAAGCGAGUCUUUCUUAGCGGGCAGUCCUAGAAGUCUCAGUAGAUUCGUAUUUCCCUCCAUUAGUUUGGGGUUAAAGUCUAAGGCGAGGCGCUAAGAGAGAAAUGGGAUUCCUCGCCAGCUUUGCACUUAAUACAAAUCCAACUAGAAACCGGCCCAUUGGAAAAAAAGGACUAAAGGCCCUUAUUCCACAAAAGACACUCUGCGACCCUUGCUUAUAUAUAAGUGGAGGUAGUGUUUUUUUCUAGGGAUAGAUCCGUUUUGAGCGAGUAUACUAUUGGACUCUUUUUCUAUACUCUUAAGUAAAUGAAUAGAAUAUAGUGGCGGAAAUGUGAGUCUUGGAAAUAACUCGACCGAAAGGAAGAUCGACAGCAAAGCAAAAGGAAAUCGAAUCGAGGAUCUUUGUUUGCGGAACCUAUCUGCCUUCUUUGUCUUGGCAGACAGGGCCGACUCCUUUCAAGGGCUCCUCGGAAAAGGGAAACACGCGGGCCUCUUACCUACUGCUGGCUUGCUUUAUUGCCGCCCUAGUGGGUGGUUCUUAUCGAAGAGAAUAAACAGAAUCAAGAUCAAUUGCCACGUGCUCUAUUUCUCCUCCGUACCCCUCUGACUCUAUAGGGCUCCCUUGAGUUCAAGUUCCAAUUCCAAAGGGGAGCUACAAGUAGUAGGUAAAGUGAUUCGCAUCCCAUUCAUCAUCUCGUGAAUCUUUUGGUGGCUCAACAAUCUUCCAUUGAGAUGUAACCAACUUUCUCGAGGAUUGCACCCUUCCUGCAAAGAAAUUGAUCCUAAGAUCGCCUAAAGUAAGAGCCCCUUGAUUGAAGGUAGCUUGAGUUAACAAGACACGCCUUCCUGUUAGACAUACUCCCACAGGAUAGACUUCCAUGAAAGAAAACUCGAAUCCCUCCGCGACUGGCAGGCUGGGAAUUACAAUUGCUUACUUUCUUUAGCACUGGGAAAAGUAUUAGGCUAAGAAGAAAGAGCCGGAUUGGAGUAUGGGCCUUAUUCUAGUUCAUCAUUCAGUAGUGCUUGCGGCGUUUUGAUCUACAUCCCGCCUUACUUCAUGGCUGGUGCUGGUAUUGAACAUGCCGAGAGAGGUAGAACAGGGAUAGAACCAUUUGAUAGGUAGGAUGAAAGCGAUAGACCUACGGGUAUGGAAUCGCCCUGAAAGAAAGGUCAAAGCCAUAGGGAUAUGGAGGACAGGGUAAUCAAGAGCGAAUACAACUUCUUCUUUUUUCACAGGAUACUAAUAUGGAGGACAGGGUAAUCAAGAGCGAAUACAACUUCUUCUUUCAAAAUAGGAUACUACCCUUGCGAGUAGAGCAAUUUCAGAGAACAGACCAACAAUAGAUUAGAUACAAUUGCAUCGGGGACUUACACUUAUGUCAUACUUACACUUACUAAUACUAGGCUCAGAAACACCCACCUAUCAAAUGCGGCGAUUGCUAUCCACCUUUCAGAAUUUGUUGCAUAAAGCGCUACGUUUGGAUAGUCCCAUGCUCGGCUAAGCCAUUGAGAUUCAUUACUUUCGAGUCUAAACCCGGCUUCAGGGGGACCUACUUUGCUUCUAAACUGGACCUAUACCUGGCAUGACUUAACGCGGAAGUUGCCCCCCGCCUGAGCACAAUAAGCAUUAGCGUGUUGAAUGAUGGUGCACUCAUUAUUUGUAUCAUUCUUGUAAUCUUACAUUACCCCUCGUAUAUACAAUACUAAACUAAACAAGUAACAGAAGAAGAAAGGGAACCUCCACUAAACAAGUAACAGAAGAAGAAAGGGAACAAGCAAGUGAAGUCACGUUUGAGCAAGGGUAGCAAGUAGUCUAUAGGGAUAGGGAGCUAAGCAAAGUCCCUGAUUCUCUAUCUCUAUUUCGAAUUACUAAUUCUAUAAUAGACUCUAUUCAUACUUGACUAACGCGCAACCGAACUCUACCUUUUACUACUUGCUUCAUUUUCUCAUUGCUGAACUCCUCAUUUGUUUUUCUCGAGAAAUCAGCUCAAUCAAUCAUUGAUGAAAGUCAGAAUUGCCAACUUCCCCACUUGUUUAGGAAAAGAAAAAGGUAUAAAAAGACUCCUUCUUGACUUCUUAUACAACUCAUAGUAAAGCCAACCUCUAGUAACUUGUCUAAUGAGCCAACCCAUAACUCAUCUAAUAAGCUUAGCUUCAUUACAUCUACCCAGCUUCUCUUCUCUCUUUGCAUCUCAUUCUUAAGCUUAUAUCCGGCCUGGUAUUCUACUUGCUUUCCGCCGUGAUGGGACUAGGCUUCAAUUAUCCCCUUUACUUGGACAAAGAACUAGAAGGUCAAGAAAGAAUCCAACUCCAGAAAUAUAUAUCCAUCAGCAGCAUUUUCCCUUUAUUAAUGGCUUUUCUUUCUCAUAAGGUUUUUCUGUAUGAAUGGAAUCUGAAAGGAAUGGUUACGUAGGCUUUACUGUAGAAAGGAAUGUUACGUAGGCUUUACUGUAGAAAGGAAUGUUACGUAGGCUUCCAAGGUUCCUAUGAAUAGAAUCUUGCUGACUUUGGAGAUCUUUAUUCUAGAGUGGGUCUUCCAAUCUUACUUUUCUUAUUUCGAUGGACAAAACAAGGUAAGAAUGCGAAAAAGCUAUUGACUAAAGAGAAUAGGUAAUGUCAUUGUAAUUGAAAUAGGGUAAUUGAAUAGUCAUUUCAUUCUGAAAAGGGUCUUUCUUUAUCUCUGUAGUCCUUGACUCACUCGCUUUCUAACCAACCCGACGAGUUGAGUUACUUAUCCUUACCUGGCUAGCUAGUCUAAAGAAGUAUGACAUAUCACUGAUUUACCUUGCAGGCUCUCUUCCUCUUCCACUGUUACAUGAGUGCGAACCCUCCUUUUCCGAUUCUGCAUCAAUAUAAUGGAGUGGAGUAGAUCCUCAUUAUUCCACAGCAAUUCCAUUCGAGUUUGAACCCUCGAGUCAGUAGAUACUGGUUUCUAAUAAGGAGUGAAAGCGUCAUCUUCAAAAGUAGGAAUAAGGCUUGAUCUCGUCCCUUCAAUGUCCCCUGGUAGGCUAAACCGGCAAGAGAUAGCAGUCUAUACCUUAAAGCUCUAAGUCAAUAAGUCGGAAGGCUACUAAUAGAAAGAACAGAGCUCAUUUUCUCUCACCUCGGGAAAGGCCUGCCUAUUAAAGACAUAAGUGCAUCAAAGCCCCUUCCUGCUUUUGGGGAGCAAGUCAUAUUCUUUUUUCUACAAGAUAUCCUAGAACGUGCUACUGACAACAAGGAAGUCGGUAUUGUUUGCUUACAUGGUAAAUAACUCCAAAUCUAUGAUUGGGGCUACUAAAUUCAGAGUGAUCUGUCUAUUCAAGAAAAUAGCUUUUUGAUUAGUUUCAAAAACCCCAAACCUUGAUUUCUUGUUUCUUGGAUCAAGGGGGCUCCGUAGAGCUUCACUAUGCCCACCCGCUCCUUGAAGUAGAGCCUCCAUCAAAGCACCUGUACCCUAUCGGGGUAGCAUCUUUUCCUACCGGCCACAAGCUUGAAUCUUGACCCGCUUCUGAAUCUGAAACCCAGACUGACUGCUUCUUAACUUGCUUGCGUGAAGUGGUAUCCAUUGCGGCUUCUACCAAAGGGGCUUUCAAUGCUUUCAAAGAAUUCCAUGAUGAAUCGGGUUGCUGAAAACAAACCCCUUUUCUAAAGCUUUCCUAUCUAUUAAGUAAGAAAACUUAUGAAGUAACGCUUCUUUGAUUCAAGAGCACAUUCUCCUUCGGCAAUUUGAAAGCACUAGCGAUCCUAUCCUAUACCAGUCACUUAUGAUCGCUUCUAUCUCGGCUUUCUUUCUGUUGACUUUGGACUCAAUCUUUCAAAGGUGGAAGCGCUAACUAGUCUGUCUCACCUGGUCUCAAUGGAGAUGUGUAGGGUUCAGGACAUAACCCUCGUCCGUCUGCUACCAAGCCAUAAUCAAGUUCCAAAAAGGACUGAUGGCGAUCGACGAAUGCGUGCUCCGUAGCUGUUUUGAAUGAACGUCGUCUUUCUCAGACCGUGUAAGCUUAUAACCACUUUAUGGCUGUAUUGCAGUUGUGGAUUCAGAACAAACUUAGGAGAGAGAAAGUUCUUAGGACCUCCUUUUCUGAUAUCACGAUAUCUAAGAGUUUAAUGGACUGUGAAAAGGAAGUGAAGACAAGAAUAGAGGAAGAAUUCAGAAGGCAAGAAGAAACUACACUCGACCCAGAAAUAAGACUAUUGCCUAUAUAAUAUAGAUCAAAGAAUCAAGAAAUCAAUUUCGAAAGAAAAUAAGAUAAGAUCAUGUAUAUAAUUGUUAUUCAUAUAUUCUUAUUCAUUUGUGUGCUUAUUAUUAUGAGAUUUGGUUGGAUUAUUCCUUCUAUAUUAAUAUCCAUUCUUAUGAAAACUCUUUCUGCCCUAACUGCCUCGCUCUGUAACCCGGCGUUAUUUCCCUGAUAGUUCUUCUUCCUUCAAUCGAGUUGGAGUUAUUAUUCUCUCAAUAGAAAUAUCAGAAUGAUAGCAGCUAGUUUGAUUCGAGUGAUAAGGCCCCGGCCCUCAAAAGAGUCUGACUUCUUAAUCCCAUCCCCAACAUUCUAGCCAUAUAGUAGCUGUGAGAAUUGCCAGCCCUAUACUAUAGUGCCAAAAGGGAAUCUCCUAUUGAUUGUAUAAGUUAGAGUUUCCAGCCCUCCGAUAGGCUGCUUUCUUACCUGUUAUGAAGAAGACUCAUACUAUAGAUAGAUAUGCUUGACCUAAUAUGAUAGAUAUGCUUGACUCUCUCUUUCUGGGCAAUUCAUCGAUCAGUUAAUACAGCUGGUUUGUUGGAGAUAGCAGGUUAUCGAGCAAUAAAGCUUACUUAGGAAAGCUCGAGUUAUAGGCGAGUUAUAAGUCCGUCCUUCCAAUUUCACAGUUGCUAUAUGAUAGUCGCACUUAUAGGUAUUUUAGGCACGAAAGCAGGAUAGGAAAGAUGCUUCCUACGCGAGCUCAAAUCCAUUGCAGCAAGAAAGAUCAAGAAAAGAAACGGAUUCGCUCGACCGGGACUUGUGAACAGUGAGCAUAUGGGCAUAAAGGCAUCAAAUAAAUAGGAAAAACUCGAGUAGGCGGCUGACCCUCUUGAACCUCCCCUUUCAGAAACUCCUAUGGCCGAUCUUCCUUCUUAGACUCUAUUCCAUCCCGCUUAUCCUUUUGAAUAUCAUUGAUGAAUUGAUAGUUUUGCUACCGCCACUCCUGAAGAACGCCUGUUACGUUACUCUCUUAAUAAGGAGCGAGUCUCUCUUGAUUAAACGCUUAACGGACUAACUGGGGGUGAUUGGAUCGAGGUUCAAUAGGUAUGAUUAAAGAAAGAAUAGGUUGGUAUAGAAUAAGAUUGGGUCCUGAUGGUCUGCAUGAUUCACAAGAUAGACGGAGAGAGGUUCUGUUAACUGUGUGUUUUCCUUCCUCCCCUUGUCAGUCGAGUGCUUACGAGCAUCAAUCCUUUUCUAUUUCACUAAUUCUCACUGUCCCUAGAUAGAAUAGAUGAGAUUCCAGAAAGGGUAUGUAUGUCCCUAGAUAGAAUAGAUGAGAUUCCAGAAAGGGUAUGUGAGAUUCAAGGGUAUGUCCCUAUAGAUAGAAUAGAUGAGAUUCAAGGGUCUGGUCUGUCCCUAGAUUCUAUUUAAAGGUAUGUUCCUAGAUAUAAUGGAUUCUAUUAAGGGGUCUGUCCCUAGCCUGGAUAUGAUAGAAUCUAUUUGAUGGUGGAUUCGCCUAGAUAUGAUAGAAUCUAUUUUAGGGUGGAUUCAUGGAUGAGGUCGAGUGGUCUCAGUUGGAGAUGGUAUAUUGCACUAGUUUAUGGAUUGAACGAGAUUAACACUUGGAACAUAGGACAGGAAAAACAAGGGUCGAGACUGAUAGGCUGGCUUGGGGGAAUAAUAAUACUGUGGCCUCCGCAGAACGGAUUGGAUGCUCCCCUAUUAAUUAGAAUAUGCAAAGCCAAUGGAAUCGAGCUGACUAAGAUGGAUGUAAAGUACUUGUUUAAGUCCUAGCAACAAAUCUUCUGUUCUUUUCUUUCUUUGCGGGAUCGGUUUCAUUCCUAUCACUUUGCUUUGUUAUCAGCCCGGUAGAAGUCAGAGGGUUCCCUUGAUUGUUAUCGCUACCGGUGGAAGGAAGAGGGCAGUUCAAAUACCUUGAUUGAGACGAGACGGUAUAAGAGGGCAGCGUCAGCUGCUACCUUGAUUGAUAGCUAUUAUGAUCAGAUUCCAUGUAUCUGGAUGGAGUCUUCUAUCAUUUAUGAAAAACACUCCUGUCCUUACUGCCAAACUGUAGUAAGCUAUAGUAUUUUGCUUGUUUGCUUGUGUUGCUUCUUCACAGCAUAGCUUCAACACUCUCAACUCUACUUAAGAAAAUAAUACAUAUAAGUAACAAACGGUGAACGAAACUCUACCCUUGGCGCGCCCUAAAAGAGAAGUCCGUUAAUGUACCCCGGAAAGUAACCUAACGCUUGCACAUUCUAUACAAGAAUAAAGGUCAACAACUAGCGCUUAAGUAUCACAUUCUAGAAGAAAGGUCAACAACUAGGUAAACAAACGGAAUCAGAAUAAUAUCAUUGAGUGCCGGAGUAACAAAGCACUAGUGUGCGCUACUAAUGCACAACUCGCUAACGCAGGAGCUCAACUCAAGCUUCUAACUCAACGACUAACGCAAUUGAAUAUCACGUGUAACAUAGUUUCUAGUUGAUUAAACAAACAAGCAUUCUUAUUAACUGGGUAGCAAAGUCGACUCAACGGGCUGAGGUAAAUAAAUCCGAAUGGAAGAGAGCUCUUAAUACGCCAAGCCAAGAUAACCAUCACAACUUCUCAAGCCAAGAUAACCAGAACACAACGCUUCUAAAUUGAUUCUCUAAUAACUCGCCCGCCUAUAAUGAUAAGAUAAUAUAAGAAAGCCUUCACUGAACUUAUAAGUAUAGGCCGGUCUGCAACUAUCAAGGUUUUUUCCACUUUACGAGAUACAGCUAUCGCAGCUACAGUUUGGCCUUUCAGUCACGCGUACCCUAAACUCCAAAACCAACUUCAGGCUAAUGCACAACUCAAAGAACUCUGUUAGCCCAUACGAUCAAAUGGUUAUUCACAUAACUCAACAAACAACGGAACAAGCAAACUAACCGCAUUGCUUCUAUUGCUUGCUUCUUUUCUGAACCCUAGAUUUCAGUACUCAUUUAUUCUCUCAGCAGCCAGCAGCUGACGCUGACCUUGCUUUUUGACCUUGCUUGUUUUGUUCGAUAACUCACUGACGUCUGCUUGUUUACUUACUUAUGCCUUUCAGAAUGACUAUGGGCAUCCGAGUCAGCUAAGCUUCUAGGGAUGAUAAAACAAUCGUCUUCUCUCUUCCUACUCGAUCUUCUAGGGCGAAUUCAGAUCUUAGCUUUCCCGGUCGCUGGAGCAGCCGCCACUCUCCCUUCGCUCUGGAACACCAAUGAUGAUGAAGAUAAUCCUUCUGAUUCUGCUCUUAACAACUUCUUCUGGUAGUAAGAUACUCUUUCUUUUCUUCUCUUCUUCUGCUCUUAACUACACCUAUAUUUAUUGCGAAAAUAGACUCGCCUUUCUACAAGCAAGACAAAGAAGCAAAGCAAGAGCGUGAAGUUCCGCGAAGAGGGAAAGAACGUAGCUAGAGCAGUUCCAGCAGUAUUUCCUGAUGUGUCUUGCGGAUGCUGGUCUUUUUGGAGUUCUCGCAGUAUUUCCUGAUGUAUCUUGCUUGCGGGUGCUGUCACUCAUGCAGGAGCCUCUACACCAGGUGUCAUGCAAUAACUAUCAAAGUGGCAAACGCGGUGGCUUCGGGCAACAACGGGCAUUUCCCAUUCUUCUCUUAGUGGGUGGGACAGCCAGAGAUGUAGGGUCUAGUGGUUUUCAGCCUAGAUAAGCUACAGCGGCAAAUCACUUCUUACGAGUUCCCAACACAACUACGCGUAAUACUUUAAACAGGUGUGGCUGGAUGCUUCUUCUCAAUAGGAAUAGUAGUCCAAAUCCAAGCAAGCUUAUUAUGAACAUCUAUUGGAGUCGAUCAUUUCCAAGAUCCAAUUCUAGUUUCUUAUUAUGUAAUGGAAUAGCUUUACAAUCUUCCGUUUUACGCUGUAGCUUAAAGGAGAAAAUGUUCUUGGUGGAUGCAGGACCAGGUACCCCACUCAAUUGUAUGGAAGAUGAGCUUACAGGAGUGCCAAUAAACCGAGCCACGAGCCACAGGUUUGAGAAUAAGGUGGGAUCCCAGAAUGUAGUGGCAGGUGACUCACAGAUUCCAGAGCGGAUUAAUGAUAGAUUCUUAAUGGAUCUAGUGGCCGGUCAAUCACAGAUCAAAGAGCGAGCUGUCUUAAGGUUUCAUGAUUUUUGGGGAUCCCUGGAUGUAUUGGCUGGUGAACCGCUUCUUCUUCCACGAAGAUUAAGACAAAACCGAGCUUGGAUAGAACUGCAGAAGAAUUGGCGAACGAAUAAGAAGGUCAAAGGCUUCAUUAUUAACAAAGUCAAAGGUGGUUAUUCAGUAGCCAUCGCGGGUUUCAUUACCUUUCUUCCAUUCUUUCCUCUCAACACUCAAAAGAUAGCGAAUGAUAGAUUCACCAUUGAGAGCAUUAAUCCCAAUAGGAGGAAAAUUGUGGUGUUCUAACAGCAGUAGAUCCAAGUAAGAUCAAAAUCCAAUCAAAAGGAAAGGCUCUCAGCUCCUUUCUUUUGUUGAGGGAACUUCUUACUGCUUGCUCUUUGAUAAGGUAAGCAGAGGAGCAUUGUAUGCUUUUUUGACCCUUGUCCCAUCCAUUCUAGAAGUCAACAACAGCUUCAUCUCGGCUUAGCUUACGGCUUCAUCUUCGUCAUAGAACAUAAAUAGUCCAUCCCGUGCUCAAGCUUUCUCUUCUAGGUUUGGUCCUACUUAUUAUUCUUUACGAAAAACAAACAAACCCCAAUUCUCAACCGGCGUGGCACAGCCUUCUUCUCAAUAGAACAGGAAGAGGAGCAAAUAAGGACCACCAAAAGUAACGACAACCAAGAUAGGCAUAGUGAUUCGAUCCUUUGAGAACCCUAUUUUGAAGAACCACUAUUUGUUGGGGCUUACCCCUAACACACUACAGAUUGGAUUGCCUGAUUCACGAGUCUUAUAUACAUUGUUACGAUCACCUUUUAUUGAUCAAAAGUCCAGAGAACAAUUUGAAAUGAGAAUAAAGAAACAAUAUCUGGUCAUAAAAACAGAAAGGCAUGAUUCAUUGCGCAAGAAGUUCUUUCGGUUAAAACGCCGUGCGACUCGGAGAACAUAAGACUCUUUUGUAAGGCUUCUAAUCUUGCCUUGCCGACGGAAUGCUCCUACCCCACCAUGCCUAGCCCUUUCCCUUAAUCAUAGGAGAGGAGGUAUGAAGCGUGGAAAAGAAUGCAAUCAGUGUAUAUGACAUCAUCAUGUAACCUUAAGGAGUGGAGGUAGCAAAACUCAACAUUGAUCAACGCGAGUGAACUGUGCUUAGACGCUUCGUCAAACCGCACCACAUCUACAAGAGGAGCAAAUUGAUGAGUGGGCUUCCCCUUUCGAUUCACGGAAUGUGAUCUGAGACACGAUGGGAGUUUGCGUGCCUCGGUAGGCAAGAGAUCACCGGAGUAUAGCACAAGAUCGCCUUUUCUUGCUGCCAUGGGGUCAACCUGUUAACAAGGUAAACCCAAUGGGAUGGGAACCAAAAAACAGUAGGGUACCGCAUUGGGCAGAAGACGAUUCAAAAAGCGAAGGCUCACCCUUGGAAGUGCCGGGUGAGAUAGGCAACAGGUAGCUUGCUUCCAUGCCGUCUACGAGGAAUCAAUAUCUCUUUGCCGGUGCUGACUUGGAUCUCGGGUGACGGAAUAAGGCGGCCAGAAGCCACUUUUCGUUUACAGCUUACUUAGCGGGCGAAGCUUUACCGAUAUAGGCAGUAAGCUUGGCCACAGCGAAGCGCUUACCAAACGCUAAAUCAAGAGGGCCUUCGACACUUGAGCCGUAUGCGGGGGAACUCGCACGUUCGGUUCUUUGGGGGGGAGACCGUCGGUUGAGCCAUUCCAUCCCAAUAGCGUAUAUUUGGAGCUCAAUAUUCAAUCCGUCUUUCUUGCAAGACCCGUUUAGAUAAGGGAAAACUCAAGAGAUUGCUUCGAAAGCUAUCGAAAAUACCUUGAAUACACUAACCGAAUCAUAUCAUAAACCAGAACCACAUUGGAUAUUGUGUCUUGGGUUCUUUUGGGAUAAUGGAUAACAAAUGUAUUUUCUUACGCGCUAUAUCCCCUGCUGUUUGUUGUGGCUUUCUCAUUCUUGUACAACACCCAACCUCUGGAGUUGAUUCAUUCUGUCAUCAUUGUACCACUAAAUGUUCAGGACGAGGGCAAGUCCCCAUUUGGAAGAUGCUACUCCGGUGACUUUGGUCCGCAACCGACAUCAACUAUUUCGUUUCGUUCGUAUAGAAGUCUGAGUGGAUCAGUAGCUUCUGCAUAAGCAGUGAAUUAUAAGACUGCGUGGAAGCUGGUCCGGGUUUCUGCAAUAGGGAGCAGAGCAAGUAGGUCUUCGGCACGCCACACUUGAAGAGCUUUCCCGCUCGCUUUCUGACGACACUGUCCUUUACCUGAGCACUGUUACACUGUAGUGAAUGUACAGGCAUUCAAAUAGUUUCUACGAAGUCGUAUAUUUAGGUAGGACUUAUGAGAUGAGAACUUACAACCACUAGGCAACCAAAGUCAUUAUCUCAAAUCUCUAAAGUGAAUUGAGUUAAGGGAGGACCUUGGGGUGUCGUGGAAUAAUUUGGUUCGAUUCCCGUUAUACGUGAUGUGGCAAAAAACACUUAUGGAAGGGGAAAUUUCAUGCCUGCAUUAAGAUUUCAAGCGUGUCGUCUACUUCUAGGAAAUGUUCGGAACAGAGAACUUUCUCUAAUACAACGCAGCAUUCUCCGAAGAUUGAGGAACAAGAGGAGAUCAAUCCAAAUCAAUCUUUCUAGGAGAGAAAAUCGAAACUGUUACAUUAAAUCACAAACAACACGAAAGUUGUCCCUUUAUUAUGGAGAUUUACCUACAAGGGGGCUUCUUCGGAGAGGAAGAGAACGAACUUCAUAUAUCCCUUUUCUACUCAAUCAAGAAACAAGAUCGGACGUGAUUCUGGUUCGUCUCCAUUUUAGUAAAACCAUUCCUCAAGCAAGGCAGCCGAUAAGUCAUCGAAAGGUUAGUUUGAAUAAUGGACAGGUCAGCAUAACAAGUUCUCAAGUUUCCCACGGUGAUCUAAUAUCUUUUCCAGAAACUAUAGCCGAAAUACAAAUAAGGAGAUCUUUCUAUAUCGACAUAUCAGUUGGCAAAAUAAUAGGGAAAUUCCUGCCGGUCAGAAUGUGGAGAAGAACCAAAACAGAAUGGUUCCGCUUACUCAAAACAAAGAGGGGGUGCCGUCUACUACUCCAAUCCGGGUUUUUGCAAGAGUUGCGUGAUUCUAUGCAAGAAGAAGACUUAGAAAGAACAAAGAAGUUUGGAUCCGCUAAAGUAUGCUUAGGCAGUUCCUUCGCUGAGCACAACAGAAUGAAGAAGAAUUUGUUUCAUUUCAAAUACUUUUUCUUAUUGAAGAGAAGGAAGGAGAAAAACCGAAAUCCUCCAACUCUUUCCAUAUGCGCUUUUGUUGACAAGUAUAAAGUAUAUUGUAAUUCGACCUAUUGCUCUGGAUCCCCUUUUACUAGGAAGAUAAGAAUCAAAAGGAUCGAACUACCUACUCAUUAUUCGGAGGUAAAUCAUAGAACACCAAAAGCUGUGGUAUCUUAUGGACCUAACUUAGGGAACAUCCCUCACGACAUAAGAUUGAAAGAUCCAAACCUUCCUCUUUAGAGCUGAUAAGUAAGAAAACGUGGCCAAAGCAUAUAAGCCCUCAUAGGGAAAUAUCCAUCCUGGGAGUAUAUCUCUCCUUAUAGAGAGGGUCUCCCUUUGGAUAGAAAUCAAUAUGUAAGACCGUCGCAGUCGACUAUAAGUAUCAGAUUGCUGGCCUGAGAGAAGGCAGUCUCUCUCGGGAAAACAUUGCCCAAUUUCUCUUCUUUCUUUUCACACAGGCGAAUAAAAGACACUAUGAACGAACAUGAGUUUCAAAUGCUCAAAGGGGAACACACUUUAGACAAAGGGAUUUGUUGUCAGGAGGAGUUUGGACUUUUCUUAGAAAGUCAAGCUCUUGACAAGUCCCAAGUGGAUUCAUAGGUCAUUAAUUCAUGAAUUCUUGUAAAGCUCUUGACAAGUCCCAAGUGGAUUCAUAGGUCAUUAAUGAAUGAAUUCAUUCCUCAUUUGUUGACUACAGAGAGGCGGAACAAGACUCAUUUUGUUGCUGUAGAUCCUGAUUAAUAGCGGCAGUGAGCUUUCUAGAAAACCACUUCUCUUUCCCGUCUACCAACUCUGUAGACUUUCUGUAUAAGAAAAGAAAAGCCUAUCAAAUUAUAUCUGAUAUUUAUAAAGAAUAAGAGUGGUCUGGUCCACAGAUAUAGGAUUCUGUUUAGAAGUUUGAGAGCAGUAGAGCCAGUAAACCUAUACUGAGGGGAAUUGACUUACUUACUUAAAUGUGGAAGAUUGCUCAUAUCUAAUCCCUUAUACUUGGCCUAUUAAUUAACUUGUUGUUACUAUAUCCGUUCUUUAAUUAACUUGUUGUUACUAUAUCCGUUCUUCUGCUCCCGUUAGCUUAGUGUUUCAAGCAGACAAAAGUAGUGAGUGACUUAGAAGCGGUUUCUCUAGGGUGUAGUGGUCCGGUCCUGUUUCAUCUGUCUUUGUUUUAUUAGUUGACACGCGUAGUAUUAGUUUACACUGGUCCAGACUUAUUAAUGGUUGCGAUAGCAGUAGCAAGUCAAGCAGAAGGUAUCUCAACUAUGAAUCAGCAGGAUCAGAGGAAGAAUUCUAAGAAAGAUCCUUAUUGAGAGUCGAGCGCAGAAGAAUCACCUCUCUCGUCCAAAAACGGAUUCCACUUUUCUCUAAAGUUGCCAACUAACAAGCAGAGCUACGGCAGGACAAUAUGGCAAUUCCUCAUCACCCAUAGGAAAUGACUGGAAAUCUGAGUUGAAGCGUUAACCGACACCACUACCCGGGCCGGGCCCUCAAACGGAAGUAUACCACCGCACAGAUAGAAUAUGGUUUUUCGGUAGAACUGCUUAUAUACGAUACUUAAUAGAAUACGGGUUCGUUUGUUCCACUAUCUGCUCUCGAGUCGCCAACACUUAUUGUUUGAGUUUGGGAAUGUUUUAUUACUUAAGUGUAUCUUAUGUCAGUGAUAUCUUAAGUCUAUCUUAUGUCUGUGAUAUUAUAUUAUUCCAUUCUGAAAGCCGUUGCGCAAGUUCUCGAGUUACUAGAAUCAGGUGUUACUAGUUUAUAUGAUCAGUGUGCACUCAUCAAUGAUAUUUCAACGAGCUCGCUAAGGGAACUACACCUCUGAUUCAGCUACACCUCUUCUCUUCUCUUCUCUUCUUUACCGCCUCUAAUGUUUGCAGAAUGUCUUUCAUCUUUCGAUUCGGCUUCUAUAUCGGAUUCCAAUAAUUCUGAACUGAUGUGAUAUACCCGAGGAAAGUCAACAACUCGCAUUGCGACAUGAAAUUGAGACUCAGUUAGCGCACGACCUCUCUUUGAAGAACUGCUUGUGGCAGACUGAACUCUUACUGCGGAUUCUUGAUACAAAGGCUUUCGCCCCUCAUUCUAUUCCAUAUUCUCUUACUGCCCCACAAGUAGGACUUUCCUUCACUCGCUUGACGAUGAAACUAGAACAGUCAAUUGCGCCUGAAAUCCCCUGCCUUAAAAGAUGCAAAAGCACUUGCUUGUUCCUAAGCUUGUUUAGUAGUGACUUGGCGGGUUGGUCUUAAAGUCAACAAGAGGCAAAAGGUAUGCUGUGUAUUUACAUACAUCUAUGCCAGGUGAUCCAUUUCUAGUUGAUAGUUACCCCAGUAGUAGGAAAUGUAGUUGCUCGCCUCUAAGCUACCUGCCGCUCUAACACCCCCUUAUAUACAAGUUCACUGUUGUACUGCCGCUACACAUUAGUAUACGCUUGUCGGGGCUUACUUUACUAUAUCUAAGGCUUUUACUGCCGGGGCUUACUUUACUAUAUCUAAGGCUUUUACUGCCGGGUUUAGCUCUUCUACUAAUGAGUCAAACUCUGUCCCCUCGCCCUCUGCCUGGCCUGGUUCACUCUAAUACCGAUGAGCUAAAUCAUAUCCCCGGCACGCCGACUACUAUGUUGAUUUACUUAUAUUUCUCAUAUGUUUUAUCGUAUUCUAUUUGAUAUUAGUUUCUUAGGCUCCACUAGGUUCUUUUUCGAGUAGUUUCUUCUAGUUUAUUGGUUCCAAAACUAUAUGACUUUUGAUCUUUUCUAUUUCUAUGUUAGUUCCGGUGUGAAGUCAAUGCUUUCCCCGAGCAAAGAGAUAGGUUUGGUCAAGUGGCUAGUAAGCUAAAGAAUGAGAAGGCAUAGCUAAAGACUUUAUGCUGGGGCACUCUUAUUGUAAUCCAGGAUGAGCUAGUGAGGGAACCCGGUGGAGUUUCACUCGUUGGCGUAGGAAUGACCUUGGAAGUUGGAAUGAAAGGACCGAGUCACAGAAUUGACACUAUGUUUCAAAGGGCAGGUGCGUAGAUCAGCUCUAAGGGCCAAGCAACGACUUAUAAAUGUUCUCCUAAUGGGCCAAGCUACUACGAACAAGUACUACCGGUCUGACUUGCUAGCGCAUAUAGUAUAGGAGUCAAGAGUUAAGGAAAGCUCUGCUCGAAAGUAAGCAGCAAGAUGUUUUUCCAGAAAUAUGACAAGUGGGAGUUUGACUCGGUGCAAGCAAGUUCCAUCCUUGGCUUUACUGGUUAACUCUCCAAAUCUUAGUUAACAGUCUUGUCUUAACCGAACAGCCAACACCGAUAAGUACUCUCCGGCGUGAAAGCGGAAUCCGGAGAAGAUCUGGAUCAGAUGAAUCCGCAAGUCCUGUCGUCAUUGAACUUAAUAAGUGAGUUGGUAACCACAGAGCAGGGUAGCUUGUUUCCCGACGCCCCAGUUCCGUUGUCAACGAGAGAAGAAUGCCGAGAUGCGAGAGAAUAUACAGUGCUUGUCAAGUCUAAGUUCGGUGCUUGGCUUGCUUUAUGUUAAGGGUAGAAAAGAGAGUUGGGACUCGACUGAAGAAUGAAUGAAAUCGUAGUCCUAUUUCUGCUGCGCUAAGUCCUGAUUGUCCUGCUUGCUGUAGCUCCUCUUUAGUCGGAUAGUCCCACUGUAGCUCCUUCCCUUGUUGUAGAGAGAGAGGUUUUUGUCCUUCCCGAGCCAAGUAGUGAGUCGGCCUAUUCUUCUUGUCCUGCUGGAGCUCAAGCAAAGUACUCUCGUGAAAUACCUGUUCCAAUUCUAGGAUCUGGUAAGGAAGCAGAAUCAAGAAAGUAGACAUCAACGAGAUCAUAUCAUAAUAUAGACUAUUGGCACCACUAUCCCAAACGAUCUAUCUAAUCUUAACUGCUUACAGAAACUAGAAACUUGAAGAAGAAGAUAAUAUCACGUUCCACAUACAUAUGGAAUGAAGUAAAAACACCUCAAUGCUAUCCUUUUGCUUCCAUACUAUAUUACAAGACUGCUAUCCUUUUCUCUUUUUCACUCUAUAAUGUUCUAAUAUUUCUCAGAUACGGAUCCUGUUUCAUAUAAUACUCCUGAUUCUUUACCUAUUUCUAUACUAGACUCCCUUUCCUUUCCCUUUGAUUUUGGCUACUUGACCUCUCCUUGAAGUUCAGAAUUCAUUGAAUCUUUCCGAGUCGUUUAACCUAUGCCCAUGUUUAAGGACUGGGGGCGUAAGAAGGUCGGGCAAUUCUCUAAGUCAGGCAAUCGAUUUCUUUUCAUAUGAUUAAAGUAGAACAGAAAGCCAAUGGAACAGCUCAAUCCUCUGUCUAAUUACCAAGUUGUUCUAUACUUGACUAAACUAGCUUCUUUCGAACAGCUUCUUCAGUAGGGAAAGCUAUGACCACCUUGAUUACCUGCUGACUUUCGAAUGGAAUCUUUGACUUGCGCUAACGGAGUGUAGUCGGCCAACACUGAUUCAUUAUCAGGUCGACAAACUGAUGAAACUAUACCACAAGGAGCAGAUCUCGCAUCUGAUCUUACAACAUAAAGAAACUAGUCUACAACACUUGUGGAAUGUCAUUGCCUCUCAAGAACUGGAAUGGUAGCUUCAGAUCCUUUACUCUCUUCUGCUAACUCGAAAUCAGGUGUUGUAAUAAGUUCAUCUUAUGAAUGGAGUGUACCUAGUAUAGACCCAUGGAGCGGUAACAACACAUCUGACUUUAGGGAAAACUUAUAGACCUACGGUAGGAUACGGAGUUGAGAGAAUUCGCUGUAGAAAGUAAGUAAGGCACGGCACUCGAAAGAUUCAAUCCAAUCCUUUGCUCGAACUCAAUUUCUCCUCUUAAUACAACAGAUUCAGUUGUUCCUACUCCUUCUAUUGUUCUAGCCUCUGAUCAAGUAUCUUCUCCAUUCUCUUGUUCGCACAGAGAAUCUAGUUUAUUUACCUACUCCGGGGACAGUCUCUCCAUCUUCUCUAAGCCAAGACCGGAACUCAUAUUUGUGGUUUUCCAUUCUUCAAUUCCAGGUAUCAAACGGAAUUCUUAAAGGCAGAAGGAGCACACGGUUGGUUUAGAGCCCAAGAACACACGGUUGGUUAAGAGCCCGUGGUGGAUUACCUCAUUAUAUAAAACAUGGCUAAGUCCUAUCAUUCUGAAAUUGCGUACUGCGCUAAGUAAACUAGAUUCUGCAAUUCAAACGGAAAGAACACUUGGUUAGUUACCCGGUUCUAUGAGAUCCCUCUGGCUAAUUAUUCCCGGACUGGGUGUUGAGUAAGUACAUUCGAAAUCGUACCCUAGCGCUUCAAAGCCAGAGUACUAUCCUUGCCUUGCACCCUCACUCAUUCACUCCCCGCUUCUGACCAAUACCCAGCUUAGAAUUCUUUACCAACUUAAUAUCCCGGUCUCGCUCUUGGAACUGUGCAUCCUCACCGGAUUCUGUUGUCGGUGUACACUUCCCUGCUCCUUUACCUGCCUCCAAUCCUUCCUACCCUUACCUUCAUUCUGAAACUAGACCUUCCCAUAUAAGAGAAAGGUUCCGGGUUAAAUCACUUAUAUAAGAGAAGGUUCCGGGUUCAAUCACGUAUAUAAGAGGUUCAAUCACUUAUAUGUUUGGUUUCCAUUCAAUUAGUUCUCUGUCAUCUCUUGGUUGAUCCCUUGCAAAUAAGACGGAAUUUCAUCUAGUGUGUUUCUACGUUCCAACUGUUUCUUUUCCUGACUUAGAGUAAAUCCAACCCUAUACUCUCGCAUUCAAAACAAUAACUACGCUGACAACAAGGAAUUAGGAAACGGAAAUCAAGAUAGUAAAGUAGGAUUUUCAGAAUGGAAUUGAGGAGCAAUAACAAGAUCCGGAGUUGUAGUUAAGUAUCCAAGAUAACAUACAAGAAUAAGUGUAUUUCCAGAAUUCUAUACUAUAUCCCUUUGGCUCAAUAAGAGAGAUAUUAAUGGAAAUGAAACAAUCAACGGAACCAGCAAGCUCAAGCGCAUCUGUACUGAAGCUUAAUACUUGUUCUGGGCACGGCAAAGCGGGACAAUCCGAAAGUGUUGGCGACUCGAAUCCCAGUUCUGUAAAUGGAAUUGAGGCAUCCAUCCCUACUAGGUUGAUAAGUUAAGCACCGAACCUUUACUUCGCAACGUUACGUUUCUAUACAACACACACUGCAUCCCUUUCUUUUGUCGACUUCUCCUGCAUAAGUAGUAUCAAUCCCUUUCUUUUGUCGACUUCUCCUUCAUAAGUAGUUUCAACAGAAUAAAAAGAAACUAGAUAAGGAUAAAAGGCUUUAGCAUAAGAAGAAGCUUUAUCCGGAUAAAGAGGCUUGAGCAAGUAGUUAUUCCGUUUCUGCGCUCGAUGAUACAUUCCAUUCAUUCUUUUUGUUGCGGGAAGGAACUAAAGGUGGAGUUCGGGAAGGGAGUUGAUAGUUUACAGAAAAGCUAAUAAACAAGUAGUAGAUCCAAAGAAAGCAAGAGAUGAGUCAAGUAAGUCGUCAGCAAAAGAUCUGGAUCAUAAGCCAUUACUAGUUUUCCUGGCGCUAGUUCAAGUCCAGUUUUCUCCUUGGUUCACGAAAAAAAGAGAAGUGGACCUGAGCCCGCGAUAGCAAGAGGAACCAUAGACUAAAGAGAAUAGAAAUGAGUCAAUGAAGACUUUCUUUAGGACUGAAGCCGAUCCUUUAGUAGAUGCCACAGUCACGUCAACUCAAGUAAGCGUUAGCGCCUGCAUACUCACUUCACUUCACUUUACUUUUCUCUUGCUUGCCACAAUCCUUUCCAUUAUAAAGGAAGACCAACCAAGACUGACUUGGGAAGACUAACCAAGACUGACUUGCAGGGACUAAUUCCUCGCUUGCAACUACUUUAAUAGAGACUAUAUCUAUGACACCUUAUUCAUUAUAUACUAUAUCUAUGUUAUUCAUUAAUUACUUUAUCUAUGACUCUAUGACACCUUAUUCAUUAAUAGAGACUAUAUCUAUGACACCAGAAGGGCAGGGAACAUACCAUACCAAUAACAUACUAUACUCUACGGUCGGCAAUAACAUACUAUACUCUACGGUCGGCUAGGAAUGAGGAAGCCGUCAAAGCCCCUCGACACCCAUAUAGGGAGAAUUGAGCAUCAAGAAAAGCACGAGAUUGAUGAUCCAAAAGAAACUAACAACACUUUGGAUUUCAAGAAGGAGCAGCUAGUAGUCCUUCCUUAUCAUUCUUCAUAACUUAGACUCUCAUAUAUGACCGAUGAAGGGCUGAAAAGGAUGUUUCAAUCGAAGCUUCUUGGGUAGGAUCUUUGCGCCAGAUAGUGGGGAGUUUCCUUCUCUCUGUCCCUAUACCCGAAUCGUACCUAUUCCAUUGGUUACCCGAAUCGUACCUAUUCCAUUGGUCAAGGGCUAGCUCCCCUUUCUCUUCCCCAAUUUAGCAGAAUGAGUAGGAGCUGUGCUUUUACGCGAUAAAGAAAGACGAACACUUGUGGCUUUUACCCUUGGCCCAACAAACUAAUGCAGUAAAUGAGCCGAUCAAUGAUUGCGCGAGGGAAGAUAGGGGUUGGGGAAAGACAAGAGAACUAAUUGAUGAAACCUACUCUCCAGGACAACUUCUUGCGGCGCUUUUCUACUUAUAUCAUAAUAGACGGGUUUAACCAUACAUACGAGCACUGGCUGGGAAUGCCACUACUGGGAUUUAUACGAAGGCAGGUGGGAAUGGGCCUGUAGAUCCAAAAAGAAAGAUGUAAACCCUAUUUAUUGCAAAGAUAGUAAGAUAACACUGCUGACAUAUUAAAUAAAGUAACAAAACAGCUUCAAGUUUUCUGACAUAUCACUUUCAUCACUCAUAUCGGUCUCUGUUGUUUGAGGGAAGAAUGGUCUUACUCAAAGGUUCUGCCUGCUCAGUUUGCUGUCUUUACUAAUAGCUCCGAUAGAAUCUCUUUUUGCGGUGAUUAGACUAGAUCAGUAAGAAAAUGGUAUCCAAACCUGUAAAUGGCUAUCUUAUUCUUCAUGGCACCCUUGUGUAUUGACAUGAGGAGUGCCUUUUCUCGAGAUUGUUGGCAUCCAAUUGUAAUCACAUCUCAUGGUGAAAGAGAAGGGAACGAGACUCAGGGCGGUCACCCACCUGUAAGAUAUAAGAAAAUGCUAUUCCAACCCACCAGGAGGAGAGAGAUUAGCUAGUUGCAAGAGGAGAUGCGAGAGAAUAUACAGUGCUUGUCAAGUCUAAGUUCGGUGCUUGGCUUGCUUUAUGUUAAGGGUAGUUUAGUUCGGCUCUUCAAGGGGAGUAUCUUAGUUUGCUGGUUUUCCCUUGCCUUAAGCUUGUUCCGUUGUUUGUUGCCUUCACAGAGCAGAGACCUUAAGACGAGACUAAAGGCUUUUGGCUUAACCGAGUUAUGGUAGGUAACACCUUUGCAUGCUUGGUUUGACCGAGUCGUGAGUUGGUUCAAGGAUCAAGUUGGCAAUUCCGUUUGUUUUGUCUUGCUUGUGUCCAAGUGUCAUAAAGUGGAGUUCCAGCAUUGGCUUGACCGAGUAAAGAAAGAGUCAACAGUGAGAUUACCGCGUACGCUACGUGGAGUAAUAGAUGGAAUAAGUGAGUUUUAGUUCUUAUAUAUGUGAUCUAUGUGAGUGAAAUGCUUUUAAACAAGUUAAGGUCCAAUAAUAGUAUAGGACUUUCAAGCAAGGGUAGCAAGUCAAGUGUGUUUUCGUAUCGGCAUUAUAAGGAGUGCAAGUCAAGUGUGUUUGGGGGAUCUGAAUCCGUAUUUGUUGAAGAGAAUGAAGAAGCUGUUCCGCCUUCCAGUUUUGUGUUUGAGUUGAAAGCUUACGCGAGUUCUGCGCACCCAUAAUCUAUAUAGUAUGAUUUCGUUCCGGCUAUCCGAACUACCUUAACAGAGACAAUAGCUUGUUCCCCUUAUACUCCCAACGCAGUUAGUGCUGAUAUAUGAGUGGAACUCACACCCCGUCCACGCCCGAACCUUACCUUAAUGAGAGAAUAAGUGGCCUUAGUGAUGCUUGUGCGAAUCUAAUUGUAUAUGGAAGCCGAGAAUCAACAGUCGAAAGGUGUUACACGGAGCGGUUAAGGUCAUAAUCAAUUCCUUCUGAUGAAGCUAAUGCAGAGAAAGGAACGAAUAGGCUCUGUUGCCCACCGAAAGUAGAGUUCACCUUCCAAAUCAAAGAAGUAAUAAUAUGACUAACAAAAGUCAAAGGUCAAAUCACGUAUUGGUGCUUGGUAUGCGAGUUAAGUAUUGGUGCUUUCACUGGACCACAUAAAGGUUAGUCGAAAGUAAGGGUAUAAAGCUUUAAAGGUUGAGUAUGGAGGAGAGUUUAUAUAGAAUGUCUUUGGGAAUACCUCAAUCAUUAUUCUUUUCUUCAAGUAUGGAGGGUUCGAGGAAAGGAAACUUCAGCUCGACAAAAAGAGAGGAAAGGAAAGUUGUAAAGAUCAGUUUCAAGAUCUUCUGCUGUAUAGAUUCGGCUUGCUUCGUAAACAAGGGGAGUGAAAGUUAUAGUUUCAGAAGCAGCAUCUGAGGCAGGAUAAUCCGCUGUAGAAAGUAAGUCAUCAAACGAUUCUUCAAGUAUAGUUUUGUAUCAGCAGCAAGCGGUAGACCAGACCAGGCAAUUCCAUCAGUGUCUUGUUAACCUUUUGAAUGCCCACGUAGCUUGGCGCAAGGUUUAGUAUCAAGUAAGCUGCAUAGACUGGAUAUGAGGCUGGCUAAAGUGAGUUACAAAGAAAGUAUAGUUAAGGUAAAAAGCUGGAUCAGGUGUUUAAGCGGGAAGGAAGUUCGUUUUCUUUUCAAUUCCUCUCUUAUAUGACAUGGAGUCGAAUCCCAAUCUUCAACUUUACCCUUUUCACUCAGACAGGAGUACCGAUACUGACUUCAAGUAUUCCUAUCUAAACUAAAGAAUAUAAGUUUACUGGUAGACGGGAAAGACAGAGAUGGGUUUACAGCCCAGCCCGCUAACUAAGUUAAGUACUCUCCAUCAGGUGUUCAAACCGUUGCUAAGUAUUAGCUUGUCCCGAUUCUUGCUCUAGUACUGUUGCUUGCCCAGCGGCUAAAGGAUCCGAAUCCGUGGUGAAAUAAUGAAAAAGUGCUAGUGGUAGGUCGGAACCAAGCAAAGACAGGCUAAAGAGAUGGUAAAGCAAGGUCCUUUUCCGCAGUGAAAGUAUUAGCCGGCAGUAGUCAAUUCAUAGUUUUGAGCUACAGCCCCGUUAGCAGCAGUUCGGGUGCGAGAAGCACCGGUGCUAUUCCUGUCCGCGCCAGUGCAAUUAUGAUUAGCUUUAGGUCUAGUCUUUCUUUUUCUGUCCAGGUGUUAGAGUUAUGUCCGGGAUCCCUACCUUAUAGCUCGAUCCCUUAUUUCUACUUUGAUUAUGUUACUAAUGAGUUGGAUUCCUACUUAUGAGGUUGUCUCUGACUUUCCCACUCCUGAGUGCAAUUCUAACUAGUCUCAUUCCGACUUCCCUUGCCUCUGAGUUGCUUCCUGAGUCUACUUAGUUUCAUUCUGAUCUCUAACUUGGGAACUAUGGGGAGUUAACUCUACGACUAAAGGCUCGGCUCCAGGUGGUAUUGGUUUAAGUCUUGAUAGUAGUAGUUCUAUUCUGUUACUGACUAGUUCAAUUCUGACCUUUCCUACUAGCUCAACCGAGGUUCAUUCUUGGUGCAAAAGGGUUUGAAGUCUGAAGUAGUACCCUAAUAGGCAGGGACGGUGGAGCAAGUCAAGGGAAUCGGUAGGCUUGGUAUUAGUCUUGAAGUUAGUGCUUUCAUUCAGGCUUAGUAGCUGUUGUUGAAGCCUUUGCCCUAGUGGGUUGGUUCUUAGUAGCUGCUGUCUCAGCAAUUAUAAUAAGGUUGGUGUGAGUUGAAGGCUCGCUCUCUCUUGUUUGAGUCUAUCCCUCCUUAGCUGCAGGCUUGGAAGCGGUGUUUGAAGUCUUGCUGGCACUAGUGGAAGGCUUGCACCGGUCAGCUUCAUUCUCUAACUCCUUAGCUACAGCCUGUAACUCCCUGGGUUAAGUCUUGAUAGCAGUGGUGGAAUUCUUAGACACCCGAGUAGAAUCCUAAAUGUAAUCCUUAAUAAGAAGAGAUAGAAUUUAGUAGUUAAUUAGUAGAGAUCAGAGCCACACAAUUAUAUCUUUUGAUCAUUGCUUAACACAAGCACUAGACCUAGCGCACAUCUCCCUGAAUUCUGACUUUCCCUUAAGGGCAUGCUAUAUAAAUACGGGUGGAAUUGACACCCCGACCCGUAAUCCUUAGUUUGAGCACCCUAGCACUAAAGUGAUCUUUCCACUCUACCACACAGAUAAGUACUGCCGCUAGUGCCACUUAACUAUUUGCUCCUCUCUUGCUUCUUUUGUAACACCAGAUAGAUGGUUGCUUGGCCCGGACUCAUGUAUUGGUAUUAUAACACCUUAAGAUGUGAGUCAGUUGUUCUUUAGUUCCCGGUGCCCAAGUAGAAGAAUGAGGCUGUUGAAAGAUCCCCUCUUACUAACGCUAUACAUUAGUGGUCGACCAGAGAAGAAAGAGCAUCCGCAGUUUCAAGGUAUAGUUAUAGUGUUGGCGACUCGGAACCCUAAUGCUUUUUGCACCCUAUUCUUAAUUGAGCCUCUUUUCCAGUGUGACUUCCACCGCUCAACCUCUGCUUCCUGCUAAAGACUAAAGGAAUAUCAGCUUCACUCGGUUCUUAAAGUCUUGUUUGUUGAGAUUGAGGUUCUUCUUCACCGACACAAUCACUUCUCUACUUUAUACUUCUGGAAUAAGAUUUCAAAACAUAGGGAAUGUCCUCAGAAUUAAUUGAAUCUUUUGAUCCGCGAGGCAAGACUGAAUUUGGAACUCCUUUAGCCGACGCCGAGUCAACAACUUCUGUUAGCGCCUCAAAGCCUGUAGCUUAAGAUUCUUAUAGCAUUGGUUACUGGGUUGGUAAAGAGCACAGGGUUCCUAACGCGCCCCACCCCAAGAGGAAGGAUAGGUCGGGGUUGUCAGUUCAUCAAAUCCAGUUCUGGUAUAGAUUGCUGAGUUGCGGUAAACCAUUGAUUUGAAGCUGUUCUCAAGUCAGCUGCUGUGAGAUGUGAGAGUUGCAGACCGGAGAAGGAUAUUCAUAAGAAACAGGAACCAGAGGCAGAAGCUAAGAAUACAGAAAAAGCCAAGCGUAUACUAGUGGAAUUAGUUUCAUCCCCAUAUUCCCUUGUUUCAUCCCUUGUGUCAGUUGCCAGAGGAACAGAAAUGGGUAAGCUUAUGAAUUGCCAGUUUACAGUUUCAUCUUAUUAUAAAGAAAAGUCUCAAGCAGUAGCGGAAUGAAGUAUCUGAGGCUGUAUCCAAAUCCUUAUUUGUAUCAGAAUACGAAGCGGAAUCGGCUGUGGAAGUAGUUCUGGCAUUGUCUUAGUUCUGGCAUUGUCUUAUUAUAGGUUCAAUAUUUCCUUUCCCCGGUGAACUCACAUAUGUAAGCCAGUGAAAACAGGACAGUACUUGAGCCAAGGAUCGGAUACAGAUGAACUUAGCGCUUCAACUUCCUACAAGUCCUUUGUUUAGCAAGCGGGUAUCUCGGGUUCAAGUAAGCUGUUAGAGCGGAUACAGCAGUAGAUGAUUCAAAAUACCAGAAGAGAGGCAAGUCACUGUAGUAGUAGCAGUUAGAGCAGUUGCAAUAAAGAAAGGUGUAUUGUUGGGUUCUUGUUUUCCUGCGUAACACGGGUGGAUAUCCCUCUUCUUUUCUCCUACUCUAGAUACGGAUACAGCAACUGAUCCUUCAACUGAAACUACCUAUUCUCUCGUCGAUUCAUUUAUAUAGCAAUAGCACAGGUGGGAUACCGCAAGGACAGAAAGAUACUCGUCUCCAACAACAAGAACAAGAGCUGGACUCCUACUACUGGGCAGCUACUACCCGGCUUGGCACUGCUUCCAUUGGACUCCUACUACUGGGCUGCUACUACCAGGUCGAUCAUAGGAUUAUGUUUAGAUCCAUAGCACUUAAUAUAGGAUUAUGUUUAUAAAGACACUCGCAACGAAUACACUCGGUAUUCCACAAUAACAGAAACAUCAUUUCUAACAGAAACAUCAUUUACUGAUCUAGCAUCUAAUCUUUAUUCGACUCCUGCAGAAAUACAAUCAACAGGCAAUUGAAUUGGGCCAGCGGGAUUACACUUGAACUCGAGUAGCAUGUCGUCCGCCCUUACCUUACCUGUAAACCUGGACUACCACUAGUUGGGGCUGGAAACCCGGACUUCUCCUCUUGCUCCUAGUAGUAGCUUUCCGGCUUGGCUCUUACUUGAAACUAACACUCCUGGCUCGGCUCCUGUACAUAAGGUAGGAAUUCUCCGAUCAUAAGAUCUAGUACAGAAGAAUAAGGGAUCUACUAAUAAGAUACUAAAACUAAGGGACCUGUCUGAAACUAACACUCUCAACGGGGGAUCUAACUGCCUAACUAUACGGCUGCGACUACUGAUUCUAAGACAACAACCAGUGCUGGAAAGAAUGACUCUAUUGAAGCAUACUUCCAUUGGAAACUCGGAACCAACUACUAGCUAGUAGGAUCGAACUGUUGCUUCUCGGGCUGCCCUUACUCGCUUCAACUCUAGCUAUCCAUUCUUUGACUUACUUAUUCCAUUAUGUACUCCUACAUAGAGAUACUGGGCUCCUUUACGGAGUAGAGUUCUUGCUUGUGAGUUUUUGUAUCGUACUCCCGGGGUUCAAACAACAUCCCUGCCUCUUAUCCUACUAUUGAAGGACUCGAUGCAGUCUUUUACUUACUUCUCCGAUUCUCCAAAUGCUGGCUAUUAACCUGAUAGGUUCCCCAAUAAGCUUCUAUUCUUUAGCUUCAAUAUCAACAUCAACCUGGCUCUAACUCCUCCGCUACUUAUUCUCAAACUCACUACCUUGCGCUUCAGUCUAUAACCCAGUACUAGUGCUUCUAUAUAGCUACUUCAGACUGAAACAAGUGGUAUCAAGACCAACAACCCUAGUCACUUCCUUCAUAACUACUAACUGCCUUCCUCGCCUAGUAACAGACUUCAUAACUAGUAGUGGGCUUCGGGGAGUCGAUAGGCUUCCUAACAACUAACUGACCUAGCCCAGUAACUGAAUGAAACAACAAUCCCUAGUAUAGGAAUGCAACCAGCCUCCCCUAGCCUUCAUUUCCUUCUUCUCAACCUAUACCUAUUGUUUCAUCCUAUUAUAAAGAAAGAAUAUCAUAGUAUACAUAGGCAAAGAGUGACUUAUACUUAGAGGAGUUGUGUUAAGACUUCAUAGCUCAAUACUCUUAUUAUGUUUUAUACCUGAAUUCGGCUCCUCGCCAGUACUUUACUCUGCCCCGACCUAUCUCCGACAAAGAAAGUACUUAUUCUAUUGAUUUACUAAAUGCUAUACUACUCGUGAUAAGAGAUAUAUUCCAAUUCUGAACUGAAAGUCUAUACGAUUGAAGGCAGAAUCAAAUCGAAAAGAAGCUGCCCGCUCACUAUAGCCCUCCGCUCCAACUCCCAGGUAGCCUAAUUCAGUAUCAACGUCAGUAUCAUCUCAUUCUUUACUAACAGGAGCUCGAACCACAAGUGAAAUUCCCUUAGUUUCAAUUCCACAAGCAGGAGAAGUCCAGUCGACAAAAGAUGGAGCUGGAUCAAGAUCAAGUUAGUCAGCAGUGUUAGAGCCUGUUGAGUUAGGAGUGAGCGGUUCCUCGAACACUAGUGGCCCUGCCGCCCUUAAUGCAGGACUCCCGAAGAAAGGUUAACUCUGGAUGCGGUUAUAUCGUAUUUCUUAUUCAUUCCCUAUUCAUUCUAGUUAAUAAUGUCUUUCUUACUUGCUUUGAUAUGAGGUGUACAAAACCCUCUGUUCGCCUAGUGCUUGUUGGGAAAGUUGACUGCCGCGUAACUAGAACUCGCUGACGCACUUGUUCUUGCGGAACUCCCGUUAGCACAAGUAAAAGAUGCAAAUGCUAUAAGGUAUAUCAAAAGUCAUAUUACUUCUCUAAUGGACUAUAGACCUAUAUUAUCUAAUAUACAAUAGGCGUAGCGCAAGUCCAGAAUCAACAGUUGCUUGUUUGGUGCUAGUUUCUUUAAUCCUAUCAUCCUAUAAGAGGUAUGGGGGUGAAGCAGGGAGAGGUGCGAUAUCUCGGUGUUGCAGUAAGUUCAUAGUCUUCUAGUCCCGCUCUAGCAAGCAAAGUGAGUUCUUGUUGUACGGUUGACUUUCUUGUCGGUUCAGUUCUGCAAGUGGAGUUUGCUUUAGGAAAGUUCGUUUGUGUGCGAGUCGAGUAUCACGGUGUUGUAUCAAGCAAGUGUCUACUAGUAGCUCUCAUAUCGCCCAAAGUGUCUUCACCUAUAAACCCAACAAGUAACCACUAGACAAGUCACUUGUUACGCGUCAUCGAGUUACCUGUUACGCGUUAUAAAAGUUUCAUCAUAUGUAAGAAGAAGAUCUCGGAUCAACUGCAGAAGUCAAGUAUAAAGAAUCAUAAAUAGAAAGUUCGUCAGCAGCAAGCGCUAAGUCAAGAAGAAGCAAGUAACUGUAAUCAAACAAAGAGAGGCGAUAAAGAAGGAGGUAAUCAAACAUAUAGGUAGCUGAACCAGCAACAGAACUGGAUCAAGCAACAAGACUCAGUGCUAAUGUUCCAUUUCCAUUCAUGUUUUCCUCUGCGCUCGAUGUCAAGUCAGUGCCGAUUUCGGGUGCACCAUCUUACAACUAUUUCUUAUUAGAGUAACAAAGGGAAAGCCUAUAUACAGAACAGGAACACGGAUCGGAUUCCACUCAUACAUAAGUCAGAAUGGGAUCUCUCUUGCACACUGAUAGAGGGAUGUCAUAACCAAACUGUUUCUUCCGUUGUUUGUAGAAUGGAAGAAAAGAAUGGAACUGACACGUAAAAGGGAAUAGGAUAGGGUAUGGUCUCGUAUAGAAAGCUUGUAAUAAGGGAAUCCGAGUUAUAGGCCUUUCUUGGGACUUACCCGCUUCGCUUCCUUUAGCCUCUAAUUCGAUAUAAGAUUGAAGUUAAGGUGAAACACCAACCUCUAUAGGAUUCAAGUUGCAAAGAGCUGAACCCCUAUUAGACGUAAAGCCAACAAACACGGAUUCAACAAUCACAGUCAAUUCAUAAGCUCACUUUUGAACGGCUUCAUAUCUUUCUUCCUCACUAAGCAUCUAAUCUUGUUUGCCAACACAGAUUCCACUCGGGAUGCUAAGGGCUAACAUGUGGUAGAGUCAAGUCACUAGAGUCAAGUCACAAGUAUUUCUAUACAAUAUGCUACUAAAAAGCGACUCGCGAUGAAACAGAUGAAACACCCCAACCGCCUCCGGACUCUUUUCUUUAACCUAACUAGAAUAAGGUACUCUGGCUUUGAAGCGCUAAGUGGUCAAUGUUUCUUUGGGUGCUUCUUAAACUGGAGCGAGAAAGUAAGGUGUUUAGGUCAGAUCAUCGCUGGUCACAUAGUCGCCCGAGGUAUUAUAUCAGAUAGUUGCCAUAGUCGCCACCAAGUAUAAGAAAUAACAUCUGAAUUCUCUCUUCUCUGACAUGCCUAGCUCCCUCUUUUUUGUCGGUAGGGAGAAUCAGUGCCCUUACUGGGUUAGUUACAGGGUUCAAUGAAUUGUAGCCCGAGUGAAAAUAGCCAUAGGUAGAUUAGAGUCCAGGUCCAGGCACAGGCCCAACAACAACAAGAUCUGAAGCCGGGGAAGACCUUUAGCUAUCGGGCGUAAGGCAGCUAGGCACUACUAAUCUCUGGAAACACAGAUCUUUCAGCAGCAAGUGGUGAUGUUUUCGUAAUAACUCUUAUUGGCUGCCGUUUUUCAGCUCGCUGACGCUCUUUUAACUCGCUACCGUUUAGCUCAGGCUCCUACCGCACAACGUCCGAGCACAGAUACUGUAAUAACUUCGUUAUGACUUCUGACUAUUGCUGACGCACAACAUUAGCAGUUGUUUGUCCCGUUGCUUGGUCAUUAGUAGUUGCUUGGUCGAACACAUAACUAGUAAUAACUGGGGAACUCUAGCGGCCCUGCCGCGCAACAUUAGUAGUUGCUUGGCCCUAUUGUUGUUACUGCCGCACAACGGCGUAGCCGUUGCUUGGCGUCUAGUCUAAGCUUGGCCCCCAACAAGCAAUGGGAGAGAGGCGAGAAAAGAAGCAAGCUACGUUCGAGUUAAGUCCAUUAGAUCAUCAGUAGUUUCAAGAUCAUAAGCAGUGGGGUAUUUCGGAAACAACUAUCAAUCUGGUCUUCAAGCCUUCAACUAGAAAUCCGCUUUCUCUUGCCUUUACUCGGACAAGGGGUCGGGGUUUCUAUUGCCUAUAAAACAGUGUAGCUCCCCCGCUCCCUUAUGAUGACUUUAGAAUCGACAGAAGCACAAGAUCGGAAGAAACGGAAUCAGGGUAUUGAGCUAGGCAUGCUAGAUCUACUAGGUAACUUCCCUCCCCUUUUGCCGACCUAACGGCUUCUUCUCUUGAUUCUACUCCUGCAGAAAUACAAUUAACAGGCGCAGGACUUACUCAUAACCGCCGGACUUAACCGGAGUUUGCUUGAGAAUUAUGGCUUGAGGUAUGGGAUAAGAGGAGAGAGAGGCUUUGUUGCGAGGUGUGGUCCACAGAAUAGAGUUUUCUACUUAAAGAAUCGAUUGUAGCUGACUUUAUCACUCUCACUGGAACACCGGAUUUAGAGUGGAAUACCGAGUUUCGUCUUCAAGUCCUGUGUUCGCCUUCCUCAUCAGUACAAGAAUCCAUACUUUAUUAAACGCACACAGGUAAGGGGCGGGCCUUAGCUCGCUUGCUUAUUGACUUUCGAGCAGAGGAAUAAGAAUAAGGGAAUAUAGAAUCCGACUACUGCUUUUCCUCCUUUAACUUAGAACUUUGACUUCACUACUGGUAGCUAACUCUUGCUUGACUUUCUUUUGAAACUUAUACUGAUGCUAAUAAUAAUUGAGCUACUACUGGCAAGGACCGAACAGGUGCUAUGAUAGAACCCAACUGCUGGUAACAAGAAUUGAUUACUACCUACUAAGACUUUCAUCACUGUUAGCAAGGCUUUCACAACAAAUAGGGAAGUUACACUCACCCUGACUUUCCGUUUAUAGCUGCUGAACCGGCUCUCAACACCGUAUCCAUGCUUUGAUUCUAACUAUCCUGAUUGACUCUUGCUUUGAGUCUACAUAUCCCCUGCACCUAAUUCUCUGACUUGCUAGGGGGCUGAUCUGCAACUUCGCCUACACCCUAUUAGUAAGUCCGCCUUUCCUGUAACUCAGACUUCCCUUACUGUAUACUUACCUUACUGUAUAUAAGGCUUACUAUCCAACCGAACGAACUAAGUCUCACUUUCCUAGCUAACAAACUCAAACUACCGAUCUGGUUUCUUCUGUUAUACUAGUACAGUCCACCCUACCUCUGACUUUACUGAGACCUAUGAGCCUUCCACCUGGUCUUUCAAUCCAUAUCUCCUUGAUCUCCGCCUGCCCACUCCUUGUACGGGUAAUAAGAAUCAGAAUAGUACUUAAUAGGAAGGUAAUAAGAAUAUAGGAAGGUAAUAAGAAUCAGAAUAGUACUCAAUUGGAAGGUAAUAAGAAUCAGAAUAGUACCUAAUAGGUGAGUAUCCGAAUAGCAAUAAGAGUAUAGGAAGUUCACUACAGGUAACAAGGGUCGAUGUAAUUGAGCUACUGAUAAUGCCCGUAAGUAGAAAACUGCUGAUCUAGCAUCCGGUAACCAAUCAGAAUUACCUCCAGGAGUGCAAGAACCAAACCAGUGCUAACAAGAAUGUAACUCACUAGUCCAAGCCUGAAAGCACUAAAGAUAGGGCUCGCGGGUAUAGCACUAAGAAUUGCACUCAGCUAACUCAGGCUCAUCUAAUCUACUUAUUGCUCCUAUCGACUACUACUUUGCCUCACUCCUACAGUUGCUACUAUCUCCUCGCUUCCUCGCCUGUAGACUCCACUCUCACUGCAGACUGCUUUCCUGGCACAUAGUUUUGACUAACAAUUCUAUUUUGGGUAGGAUAGCUCUAUAGUAGUUGGCAUUAACUUGUCCGGUGAAGGGUAAGCAAAAGGGGGGUUGGUUUCUAGCGCGGUGUGUACUUUCAUUGUCUACAAGUUCUGUUAUAGGCUUGACGUCUAUGAAGGAUGGGUUUAAAGCCCCCCGAGUCUGUUGGUAGUUUCUUUAGUGGUGGAUCAAUUCGUUCUUCAGCAGUAAGCAAAGCAGUGUCAUCGUAUCCUGUUGGUUAAGUAUAAAGUGAUCUCCACGAUAGAUAGUCUCUUUCUUUGUUUUCUAAUUCCUUGCUUUGACUACUAAUCAUUACAGCCUUAACCGAGCGCAGAGUUGUUUCAACUCCCGGUAUAAGCUGCUCCAUUAUACACUAUGUUCUGUGUGAAGUUACUAGCCCCCUCUUAUUCUAACUGACUAAUGCCUUUACGCUAAAGAAGCUUAUUUGACUUGUGCCUUAGCGAGCGAAUGUAUUUGACUACUACUACUAUUCCACUCACUUGUUGAAAAGAGUGAAAGAAUAGAGGAUAGACCCGUUACUUUGAAAAAGGAGUGCCAAAAAAGAAGACAAUAAAAUCAGAUAGGUCCGUAGCUUUGAAAGGAGUGCAAGAAUAGAGGAUGGGCCCCUUGAAACUAAUAGAAUAGAGCUACCCACUACAUAUGUAAUAUCGUUCGUAAAAGCAAUUAUUCCAUGCUAUGCCAUUCGAGGACCCUUUUCCUACUCCUAACCUAAUAAGUGAAAUCGACCUACAUUUGCAUUUUCCCGAAAAUGAAGGCAUAGAUUUGCUUUCUUUCCUUCCCCAGUGAUCCUUCCUUUACCUUUAAGAAUGGAGUUUCAGUAUUGCCAGUUGCCUGAGUUCGGGAAGUAUAGUCAAUAAGAUGUAUAGAUUGCUGAGUUGAAGACCGCAUAGUUAUAUAGUAUAGUUAUCAUAUGAGCUAUUGGAUAAGAAACCCUAUCAAAUAAAGGGGUUGGUGCAAAGUUAAUGUCUACUCGAUCAGAGGUUGGAAAAGAAAGGUUCACUCUGGUAUGCCUGCUUGGCCUGUAUGCCCGGGAUGCCUGCUUGGCCCCUACUAAAGGAUAUCUUCUCUUCAAUUUCCUGUUCUUGCUACUUAAUAUAAGGGCAACUAACCACUCCUUUGACUUUUGUCUGCUUGUCCGGCAGGGAAGGAGACUCUCCCAUUAAUAAGUAAGAUAAAAGCUUGUUACCCGCCUAGGUAUUCUAGAGCUAGAGCACCCACCCUCGCUACUUUAUAUUACAAUUGAACUAAGUCGCCUUAGAGAGUUAUAGGCUUUCCUCGCCAUAAAUAAGUGUAUAGGCUUUUAAGCUGGAAGGAAUGUACUGGUCGGGAAGAUACUUGUUCUCGAAAGAAAAGAAUCGAAUUAGUUGACAGCAGGGCUUUCAGGCGGGAAAGGUAGAGUGCAAGAGGCGAGUAGGCAUCCGAUGUUAGUAUUACAAGAAAGAAAGUGAGGGUGCUUGGUCCGCUAGGUUUAGUUCAAUAGGGUAGUGUUUUUGUCUUGUUAAUCCUUAGUGGGUUUCCCUAUUUCUUGUUUAAGUGCGAGAAGCAGUAAAGUGAAGCCUAUGAGCAGGGUAGGACGUCUUUGAGUAAGCAGUAACAGUAUUCGAAGCAGCGGUCUCAGGUUCAGAACAAGGGGGUCAGUUCAGAGGAUAAGUCUUGUCGGGCACUAAGUUCAGUUAGCACCGGUUCAUUUCGAAAAGUCGUAUUUUAUAGCCAGGAAAGGUAUACUAAAACAAACAAGCAAGAAUCAAGGUAAGAAGUAGAAGACUCCGAAGUGAAAUGCAUAACGCAAGAAAAAGGGCAGGGCUAGGUUCCGAGUUGAGAUCUUGUAGUUGUAGUAGAAUCUCUAGUUCCCAGUUAAAGGAUUCAAAGCAGUAGUUCUUUUCUUUGUAGCAGUGUGUUUCUAUUCUCUUUUCUAUACAGUUGUACUCCUUAAGAUAGUAGCGCGUAUCGGGGACAUAUGGGUGAACUGCGGAAUGCAAGUAACCUGUAUAGGAUAGAAUGUCGGGAAGCAAAGAGAAAAGGCAAAGGGAUAUCUGAUUUCAUUCAAGUAGGGAUAGACUAACAGGUGUGUCCAGAGAGAAUGAAACCCUGCAGAGAUAGAUUGAUAGCCAGUAAGGUAAGCCUAUGAGUGGGGAAUGGCAGACUAACAGGCGAGAUAGAAAUGGGAGAUAAAGACCUGGGACGCAGUAGAGCGAAUCCUAUAGUCUAGGGAGUUUCAGGAUCAAAGUGAAGAUAGUAGUAGCUAGCUUGGAAGCACCAGUGACAGCUUGAAGCGAGGAGAGGCAUACUUCAACAUACAAGCAGGCUAAGGGAAUAGAUGGUAAGCCUAAGAGCCGAGGAACGAGUAAAAGAACCGGCAAUACAUAAUUCAAAGUCAUAAGUAUAAGCCUAUAGCCCUGCUAGCAGUGGUUCAACUCCGAGUUAUAAGAACAAGUAUUUGUUGGCAGCGGCUCAAUUCACAAAGACAUAACAGUAACCCCCAACUAACAAAACGGAUUUGGGGGUUUUGAUUCUUGCAGAUGUCCCCUGGGUGCUGUAUUCCCUUCCCGUGUUUAAAUCCUUAGACUCCUUUCUGCAAUGCCUAGUUCCAAGUUCCGUUUGAUAUCCUUAUUACGUUAUGAGAACAAGUGGGUAGGGCACCGUAUCAGAGUGAAGGCAAGUCAAUUAAGCCUUACAGUCCAACUACAAAAUACAAAUAAGCAAUGGGAGUUUUAGAGCUCGAGCGAGGAACUGCAUAAUUGAGGUACGGCACCUAGUUCUUUCAGGUGAGAAAUCAGAAUCAAAGUUGGAGUCAAGUGAUCCGGAUCUCCUUUCACCCAAAUGCCCCCAUAAGAAUUUGACUCAUCAGUAGCAGACCUAAGCUAAGGCGGGAAAACAUAUAAGUUAGCCCUACAUCCCUGUCUUCUAUUCUUUCUCUACAAACUACGAUUCUACCGCUCCUUACUGACUUUCUUUAACACUGACAUGGAAUCCCUGCUUCUUAGAUUUAGUACUCUCCUCUCCUUUCUGAAUCGAUUGUUCCCAGAAGCUAUAGCUUGUUCCACUUGUUCUGCGUGUGCCUCAAUUCAUUCUUAUACUUCUUACUAUCGUCGACUUCUACUUUCAUUUAUUCUCCAGCAGAUGAUCUUGUCGACUUGACUUCUUCUGAUUUAUAUCCUGUUCAAUCUACAGGCUAAGAUCGUAGGAAGAAAAGGAAGUCCUAUUUAUAAGGGUAAGUGUCUUGCUAUCAGCUGUUUUUGUCGGUAGUGUCACAGUUUCAUUCCCUGUUUCUAGUAAGAGUAUUGCUCGUAGUAGAUCUAUUCCGGUAUGCCUAACCACCUAGGGUACAGUUCCAUUUUCUUAUCACUAGUCCAAUUCUAUCCAUUGCCCGUUUUAUUAUGAGAAGCACUUGUUCCUUCUAUUAGGAGUGACAUUCCAAUAAGUACUAGUUCAGUUCAAUUAUGGAUUCCCCAGCUUAUCCUUGUAAGCAGUAGGGGCGCAGCCUCAGUUUCAAGUUAAGGUCUUGUCAGCACUAGUUGAUUCCCUAUAUGGAGUGUUCGAUUCACACUGAGUUGGUUUCGUUGUUGCCUUAGCUGUAGUCGGUUCAGUCUUGUUGGCCUGGGUUUCCUAGUUCCGGGUGUCGGUAUUGUUAGUAGCAGCUCCAUUCCUUUGAGUAGUGAUAGCAAUCUCAUCAGCAGCGGAAUUAGGACUUGCACAAGUUAUAACAAUUCCUUUCUUCGCAUUACAAUUCCUGUUUUUGGGAGUUCAAACACUUCUUUAAUAACUAUGGAUUGCUCCCCCACCUCUGUAAACAAAUACAGAUUCGACUACUCUACUACUUAAGGAUGAAACUGGGAAUUCCACUGAUUGAACUCUUGAUGGCAACUAUGAACUUAAUUCAGCUAAUCUAACUCAUGCUCAUCUACCGGAGUCAACCAAUACAGAUGCAACUUUACCACUACACUCAAGCUUGCUUCUCUGGCUCAUAACUCUAACUCUGACAACCCUUACUAUUAAAGCUUCCACUCUAACAAGUACAGGAACAGAUCCUAUUGCUACUACUACAACUACUACUCCGAUAUUUCACUAAUUCUUCUUUCUGACCAGACCCGUUAGCUGACCUCUUACCUGGUAGCUGACCUCUUACCAGCGCCUAAACCCUACUUGAGAACAGAAGAGCAAAGUAACUACUAGACAAGUAAAGGAACAGACCCGCUUGCAACAGGCUUGGCUCUGUAAACUAACUAUUCCUCUGAUCUUGCUAAUCUACCUCGACUCUGGACUAGAGCAUCUCAGCUAACUUCAUUCGGCUCAUCCAACUUGAAACAAGCACUCCUGGCUCAUCCAACUCGGGCAACGAAUCAAGAUGAAACUUGGCCAAUCCACUACUACUACAUUACAUCUGGUGGAACACUAAGAAUUGAACCACUGUUUCCUUUCUAAUAGGAGCUUGUUUGUAGUAGGAUUCGGCAUUAUCUUAGUUGUACAUAGGCAUAUGGAUGCAAUAAGGCUACUCUCGGCGGGGUGGAUUAGCUUACAUUCGCUACUGCUGCAGCUUGUUUGUUUGCGCCCUAGCUUAAAAGUGCUCUAUGCCCAACACCGGGAAAGAAGAGUGUUUUGCCGUUGAAGCGCGAGCUUAGAUCCAUUUUUCUUAUGCAACUUAACAACAGAAAUGCGCGUCGUACUGAAAGUAGAGUCUCCGAGUUAGUGUUAGAGUCUCCUUUAGAAUAAUAGGAUGGAGCUAUAAGGGGAAGAACCAGAGUGCUGAGCUAGGUAUGCUCAAAGAAUCUAUAAUAAGAGAAUCAAUAGCCCACUAUAUGGGUAAGAACCAGAGUUAUGAGCUAGGUACGCUAGCCGAGUUAGUGUUAGAGUCUCCUUUUUAGUAUCCAUGUGUUAGAGUUCCCGCUGCUUUCGAUCCACCCCUUCCCUUGCUUUAAUCAUUUUAUUGAGUGCACCACUACCACAAAUAUAUAAUAGUCAACAACUAUAAGGAAGAAUCAAGAAUAAAGUAGGAUAACUUCGGAUUGAAAACUAUCUAAUGAACCCACGCACCCUGCAAUAACUCUAUUAGAUUAAGUUAGCACAACGGAACAAGGCGAAAUCUCUCUUAAGGAAGAAGCCCAGCCCAGCCCAGAACAAGCUUUAGGCAGUGAGGUGAUGUGACCAGUAACUUGUUAUUCUAUAAGUUGUGCCAUGAAAGCAGUCAGCAGAAGAAGUAGCGUUUGUAGAGUCUCGAGUUGGUUACUCAGAUACAUGUUGGUUACUCAGAUACAUAAGUUGUGCCAUGAAAGCAGUCAGCAGUCUUAGGUUACUAUCCUUUAAGCAAGGGUGAAAGAAUGAACACGCUAAAAGAGAAAAGGGGCACCUUAUAGAGCCGAGCGUAAUGGGUCAAUAAAAGCAGAAGCCUUAGCGAGAUCUACUGAAGUGGAGUAUCUUAAAGCAGAAGCCUUAGCGGGGUCUACUGAAGUGGAGUAUCUUAAAGCAAUGCAACGGAGUCAAGCUCUUUAGUCAAGUAAACAAACCGUAUUGCUUCCAACAAGAAACUACUAACGCAGAAGUUCAUAACAACACUGCGAACUCAAGUAAAGUAACAAAACACUAUUUUCUGUGCUUCAAAACUCCUAAUGCACAACAAGGCCUUGAGCCAGAUACUGGUAUUAGAGCUAGCUUAUAUAGUAUUUGUAUCAGGUAUUAGAGCUAGCUUAUAUAGUAUUAGUAUCAAUCAGCCCUGCCCUAGCCUUGCCUGUUUCAUUUCACUGACAAAGAAAAGAAGCAUUGAACUAACACGAACAUUAUAUGGAAUUGGGUAAAAAAGAGAUGGGUAGGUUCUCCAAAGAGCAUAGGUAGGUUGUUUCUACUCGUAUUCAAAAUAGAAAAUAAUAAUAAGAAUUUUGGAACUUGCAAAGAAGUCAUCAACGGCUUGCGGAACUCACAUUAGCACUUAUAGGUUACUAUACUAAAGAAAGAAGCGACUCUCGUCUCAGGUCAACAACAACGGCGCUAACAGAAGCUUGAAAGAUGGAAUUGACUCUUGACUUGUGCACUUACGGAGUUUGCCCCACCCUACCAGAUAGUCAGCCUUAGCUAUAGGCCACACCUGCCACGCUCAAGCAAGGACAAGAAGUCUCUCGCGGAUACCCAUACUUGCUCGAAGUAAAGUAUCUCGUCUCGUAAGGUAUCAAUCAAUUCUUCAAUUCCUGAACUUUAGGGAAAGAGUACUUAGGCGGGUUAGCAUACUUUACAGGCAAUAAGCAGGCAAUAAGAGUUUACGCGGAUCCAACAAGGGAUUCAACUCCAAGCGCAUAAGCAUUAGAUCCUUUAUCUCUUCUUACUCAAACACCAUUUGAAAACCACUCACUUCCUGGAGGAACUCUAUUUUGUGACCAAUAUCUAUCAUACCGAGCUAAUGAUUCUGUUUAUUAUCUUUCUAACUUAACGGAAACUGCUUCUUCCCCGGAUCCGUAUCCAGAUCCAGCAUCUGCUUAUACCUCUUUCUCCCCUGUGUUACAUAGAUAUAUCCAUACUAAACUAGAAACGCUAGAUUCCGAUUAUGAAAUACACUGUCGACCCGACCACCUCUACUUAUAAGUGCAGAAUGUCAUUAAGCAACUUCUCUCGCGGGUCCACGCAUACGCACAAAAUGCAAUUGAAAACUCCUAAUGCAUAAGCCAAAGAAGGUAUUGUUUUACUGUCUAUGAGCUCUAAAACGGUGUUUUGUACUUUCUUCUUCUAUUGAAUAACUAAAAAGCUACCACUCGGGUCUAUCAGACUCACUACCUUAUCAAAUAAGUCUUCCUUUCGCCUCUAAACUCCUUACUAGCAAAGGAAUCAGAUUUAGUGUCCCGGGUUAUAAGACCUAGACGAGAGGGUGACUUCACUCGACUUACAGGAAAGGGUGACAAGUGUUUCAGUUAUCCGCAUACUGUGUCAAAACUCACCUCUUUAUGUUGAACAAAAGAUUUCCACAUUACUCCGCUCUUCUUACUAAACCUACACCAAUAAGCUCCCGUAGCAAUAUAUGCCCAUGUGUUAGCAUCUUAGGAAGCCUUGAUAGGAUAAGCAUCUCCGUCCAUGGUAGGAAUCGAGCCAAGCGCAACUUUUAGGCUAUACUUCAAUCAAUAAUUCAAGGCUUUUAGUCAUCGCUCUGUGAAGGAGUGGGCGAAUCAACAUCCGGCAAAGGCACUGCUAGCGCACUCUCGUCGAUCCACCACAAAGGUUAACGACGUAUAAGAGUUUUGAAUCCAAUGGGGUAAGCUCUAAACCAAGAUUGGAUACUAGGUAAAGAACUUAACUCUACGCACUGAAACAAGCGACGGAACAAGAAGAAGCACCGCCCUCCUUACUCCCUAAACACAAUGACACAUGAACUCAAACAUCAUUUCCUCGCACCCUCUGGAUACGAGUGUAAUUGAAUUUCCUCGCACCCUCUGGAUACGAGUGUAAUUGAAUUUCCUCGCAACCGACCUAUACUUGCCUAUUCUCUUAGCGCCUAAGCUUGUUCACUUACUGAUGCCUACUGAGUAAGUCUGGUCCCGGACUUUUACUGUUUGAAUAAUUCAUGGAAUCUUUCUUUCUUGCAGACAAUGCUAGAACUACACUUGAUUGACUUCCUACUUCGCGCUUGCUGCUGAUUGACUUUAUACUGUAAUUACCCGAGAGUUGAUUCUUCCCCUAACUGCCCCCACUCGAUAAGAAUGGAAUGGAAUCUCUGCUGACCUGAGCUUUCGCACACCAUCCCUUUCUUUGGAAUCUGAUUAUGAUCGGCUUGGCACAGAUCCAUCUUUCGCUUCUGAUCCUUCACUUGCUGUUGACGACUAAAUUGAUUAACUACUUCUUAUCGGUUCGGCUUCAUAUCCUGCUCCUAAUAGAGAUGAUUCCUUGCGCUUAGACCAGUUCCAAAUAUGCUUCUGAUUCAAUGCGCUCUUCCUAGGUGAGAGAAAUUCCUUUCUUUAGAGUCAAGAGAGAGAGCAAGCAAGUGGUUAAGUUACAGAUGCAACAAACAACGGGUAGAAUGAACAAGCAAUGGAUCGAGUCACUACUAAACAAGCAUCAUUUUUGGAAUCCUUUGAGCGCCUUAGAUGAAACUCGGGAUUAACGGAGAUUGCUGCUGUCAACGCGGAACUCAAACCUGCUUGCUACUGCGGGAAGUGACUGUUAAUAAGUUGUUCCAGAGGUCUUUCUUUGUCUUCAUUUUCUUUCUUUGUCUUCAUUUGUUUAAGAUCACUACAAGGGGCUGAAGAAGGCAAUAAUCUCGGUGUUGGACUCGGGUCUCUGUUACUGUUAAGAGAGUUCGUGCGGGGGCGGGGUGUGUUAGUGAGUGGUGCGGCGGAUGACUCUCGGGGUGCUAAAGGAAAGGCGAGCAGUCUGAGGUCACUUUAAUGAAAGAUGUAAGCAGCGAGGAAGCAGUUAGGUUACCUUCAAGGAGUGGGUGCUUACGUGAGUUCCAGAGUUCGGUUCCGCAGCCUCCGCAGUUGCUUUAUAUUUGACCUACGUCUCAGCAGUUGAUCUUCAAUCAACAAAGAACUCCUUAGCGGUAAACUCGCAAACUCCCUUACGAAAAUCCCUUCCCUUUUCGUUUGCCCGAAGAAUCCAAUCAGUAUUCAAUCUCCCAUAUAAGUUGAGAAAGAGUCGUUUUAGGUUGUCCCUUAUUGAUAGCCCCGAGUCAGCAUUUAUGAGCUUAGCGGGUGGAUAGUGCAAUAAGCCUAUAUCGAUCCUACCACCUUUCAAAUCCAUAUUUUGGAUAGCCUCUCGCCUUUCGAAAUCAGGUCUAGCAUCAACUCAGUCAGAUCUUCUCUUGUUUGCCCGCUUUUAUUAGGCUUCCAAAUCAUCUUUGAUCGGCAUUUCGUGCCUGCAUCCCUGAUCCAUUCGACCUUUUCUCUGUGAGUGUAGUUGUAGUAAGGUUAGAGGCGCCACUAUCAGAGUAGGCCAGGCGCUAGUUUCUUUUUUCUUAUAUGUCUUUCUGUCUCCGAAGUCCCUUUUUCUCAAUGCUGUCUGUCUCCGAUGAUCCAAAUCUUGCUUAUUAUUCUAAUCUAGCUUCAUAUCCAUCUUCGGCUUCAUAUCCUACAAUAACAGUCCAUUCAGCUGCUGCUUAUUCUGAUUCUAGGGAUUCUUCUUGGCCCAUUUCUUAUUGAUUAUUUCCCCUAUCCCCUGUGUGCCUUGUCAACAACUACUUUAUUGAAUCUUGGUUGCGCAGAGUAAACCUUUUAUGUUAUUGAAUCCUUCUUGACUUGCAAAUAACUCGCCGCGCUACUGACUACUAAGCUUGGCCCAGGAGUGCAUACCGAAGCCCAUAUCCAUUAACAGCUCAUGGGAAUGGUCAUAUGUGGCAGUAGGCAUCAAGACCGACCCUUUCAAAGAGCCUAUUCUAUUCCAUUCCUCAAUAGAGGCACAAGCUAUUAUUGAAAUAUGCGUAGUCAUAGUGUGCUCAUUUAACCCAUUGAAGUGAAGUCUUGUCUUGUCCACCGAUUGUGGGGUAACGGGAACUUUUCUUUGGGAUUCGCUUGGUUAAUCGUACUUCCAAGGGUGUCGUACUCCAGCUUGCCAGGACUUUUGACUGGCCUAGGACCACGAGUCAGAGGCGCAUCUCUUGUCUGUCUCACGAUGGUGCACCACUAAGGGCUUUUCCCUAACAGCGGAUUCCUAGAAUGGAUUAGAAUGUCAACUGAAUCCGGAGUGCAUCAUCCGCCCCAAAAAGGCAACUUCUUUCUUGGUGUACAGCGUCGACUACUGAGUCGUCUGCCUCUUCUUAAGAGAAUUUGAUCAGGCACGCGUUUCUCUAUAGAGUGUCCUACUACACACACCUCCGUGAAACUCAAAAAAACACUUCUUUCUUCGGGAGAAUCUAAUUAAUAUAAAUAAUACCUGAGGUCGGGAUCGAGGAACUACUGCUGGAGAACUGCUGCUUACUAACUGAACUUUCCAUAUCGUUUUGAAUUGGGAACUUCAAGUAUCGUUUGCGUCGACAAGCGAGUUCCCCAUCUCAACGUCUUCCUUCUCAUGAUCCAAAAACCAAAUUCACUACUGUCAACUAUUUCCGCUAUUCUUGAAGCUAAGUCGACUAUUCGGCAUUCAACAUUCUUCAGAAGUACUCUCUUAUUGCGCACCGUCUUUUCAAGUUAUCGAAUUCUUUUUCCCUUGCGAGUUCCGUUGCUUUAAGAUACUCCCCGUACUCUGUACUUUUAAGAAGGUCAUAAUCAAGGUGAAAGGCAGGGCUAUAAGGCUUAUUUCUCUAAGUGGAAGGCAGGGCUAUAAGGCUUAUUUCUCUAAGUGGAAGGCAGGGUAAACGAUACUCUUAUGUGGAAUCUAUCAUUGAGGGUCCGCUCUGAGAAUACAUUAGUAGCCUCAAAUACUGGAUUUGCAAGCACAGAGUCAAUACAUAAUCCUUUUAGCACGAGAAGAUCAGAUCAGAGAACUCCGUAAGCAGAAGUCAAACAAUCAUUUCAUCUAUCGAGCUAAAGUCAAACAUUCAAAUCAGCUGUUGUUUAACCCGCUAACGCACCCGCUCCAGAAUGAAAGGAAGUAGUAGGAAGUAGUUCAAGCUUAAAGCAUAUAGUAUGAUUAACUCGGGACUGGAACUCCACAUUAAGAAGAACCUAGGGCUGCUGAUGAUUCGGCUUCGCCUUUUUCUCCGGAUCCUUCUCCAAAUGCUUUUAUUCUCUUGUCCACUCUACUAGAAUGGAAUUUGAUGAUUCGGCUUCGCCCACCCGACCUCUCCUUAAACAUUAAUUUCCAUCUAUCGCUGUCAGGUAAACUCCCUUUAGCCGCUGAUACACUUAUUCUUGUUGGGCUGGGCCUGUCUGUGAACAAGCAGUAAAGGUCAACUUUCCUUCCCACGGAGUUUGCAACUAACUUGCAUUCGGCUUCAGUCAAACUAAGAAAGAAUUUCCAUCUAUACUUUGCGCCUACGCCUAUAAGAUUGGAUUUGAGAUCAGUUGCACAUGGGGAAUUCCGUAAAUACAUAGCUUGUUAACCUUUUGAAUUAGCAUUAGCGAGUUAACCCUUGAGAACUGCUUCCUUAUAUGAUGAAACAUAUCCUUAAAAGAAAGCAAGCGCCUUAACCGAUUAACUGCGUAGCUACGUGAGAGAAAAGAAAAGAGAUGAGCCUAUAGCCCUAUGCAUUCUAUUAUAGAGUUGAGUAGAUUCCGCUUCAACAUAUGAUAUAAGUGGAACUGGGCGAAGGAUACUUCCGGACAGAUGCGCUUUCGCCAACACCGAUACACCUCUUCUUCACGGCAACACUUCUUAUUACUCAGAUUACCGCUCCGGGGGGCUAUACUGAGUCUAUACAAUAAAUACUUUCGCUUCUAAACUCAUCUGCGCAUAUGAAAGAAAAGAGUAGUAAACUACGGGCUUGACGGAGCUUCUUCUCUCGUUGACAACACUGCACCCUUACAAGACUCUCUGGGCUAUCUUUCUGUACAACUAAAUAAUGAGACCAGCCCUGGAAUUCCAUCUGGGUUUUCCCUUGUAGUGGUCCAGUCCAAGCACCGAACCGCGACUUGACUUCCAUAACUAUCCCAUCCCCGCGUAGUAACUAAACUAUACUUGCAGACCCAAUGGCUUUAUACCCUUACUUUCGACCCUUGCUUGUUCCCCGAACUUCCUUAACUGAGACCAUUGCACUUUUUGCUAACUUAACCUAUGUGAAACAGUGCUAAUAGAAAAAUCCCUUCAUGGAAACUCUCCAACUGGACUUAUAAUGAAUUUCGCCUAAGAAACAUAGACCCACUCCUUGACCUGACAUUACUUAACGCUUUAGUCAAGUCAGAAAAUAGUACAUUUCCAUCUUCGGCAUCAGAUCCAGCUUAGACAGCUUACUUGAGAGCUACUUCUUCUGUUGGGCCAGCGCCAGUACCUGUAAUUGAUCCAUCCCCUUAUUCCCCUUAAACAAACAGCCGCAGAAUGGAAUGACACCUUUCGAGCACAUUAUGGAGAUGGUAUAGAAAUGGGGAAUAUGACCUAAUCUAUACUUCACUUUAUACUUUACUGAGUUUUGCUUGUUUGCUUGUUCGGGACUUGGUCAUAACUUGGCAAAUGGAGAAUCUCUCCUCUGAUCUUGCCUCUGCCCUUAUAAUAAAUGGUAGACUCACUACUUCCCGCCUCAGAUCUUCCUUCUUCUAUGGGAACUCUACUUUCAACAAAUCAUUCUUUACUUAGCUCUCCCUCUUACCUCUGACUCUUGCUCCUCUGUUGCUAUUAUACCUAAGGCAACUAACACUCUCCUCUGGCUCUGGCUCUUUAAUAAGUGCUCUAGAGCUUAAGUCUCCUUUCCUCUUGAACUCCUAUUUCCUAGUUUCCUAUUUCCUCUUUCUCUAGAAACUCAUAGCUUACCGCAAGCACCUAAACUAGUCUCUGCAGAGGCAAACAAAGGGCCCUUACUAUCAUUUCUGCCAAUAAGUCAACAACUACGGGAGGGGUGCCGGUCUUCAAGCCAACAGAUACUGAAUGGAAUUCCGAGGGAACAAACAAGAGUCAGUUUCCCAGUCAGAAGAAGUUCAUUCUACCCUAUAAAGUGGAAAGUCAGCAGCAAGCGCAAAAGAAAGUCAAGGUGGUCGAGGAAAGUCUAUCAGAGAAAGAUGUAGAAGAUGGAAAGUCGAAUGGACGACACUUUACUAAGAUCUAUACUAUGUGCCCGCUAGCGGAGUUCUCUUGUUCGCAAAUCCAGAUUGAGUCCAGGCCAUAUAUUAGAUAGAGACACUCUUUCUUUUUCCCCUUCUCGCCAUUUGUUGUAAGAUAUGCUUUGUUGUAAGAUAUGAUAUAUGGCUGUUUGGUUACUGAAGCAUAUCCAUGUGCAAUAAUCAGAUUCUUGACCUGUGCUAUAUUACCAUAUUAGGAAGCUAUAGAUGCCGGAAGAGAGAAAGAAGCCCAAUUCAAACAAUCAAUACAAAUAGAGAGCUAAAAAAGUGCUAUAUUGCUUCAACGCUAAGGUACCAUUUCGAAUGUCCUUCCUCCGCGCUAAGAUCCUUCCUUUACUGUUUCCGUUCUACUUUCAUCGCUAGUUUCAUCCUAUAUUAUGCAUGUUUCACUCGGCACAAGAAAAAUGACUGGUUGACUCUCGCCCUACUGCUCGAAAGAAAAAAGUGUCAUAUUUCUCAUAUCAUUGCUUAACACAAGCACCGAACCCAUGCCUAUUAAGAAGUGAAGAACCUACUAUCCACCAAUCAACUACUAGGCACCAAUACUAGGCAAAACGGGACCCAUACCUGAACUAACUCUAUCUGACUUGCCGACUUCAACUCGUCUUGAUUGAUUUCCUUCCCUAGUGCUACUCUCUGGCAACAAUUAACUAUAUAAGAAUUCUACUCUCUAUAAUACCUAGGCGGUGUAACAAGACUGAUUCAGUUGCUCCCUAACCCGAUCUUGACUCUCUACUUUAAGUUUCAGAAUAUCUUGCAGCUUAUGGAACUCUACUCACCAAGCUUAUACAAGAGUCGAAUCUCCUUCUUUAUUUCAUAAUUCGUUUAAGUAGUGGGGUCGAGAACUUGAACUGGGCAUUCAACGUCAACAAACAAGGAUUGAACUCACCAAUCAACCUAGAAAUCAAAAGUAUAUAUUGUCUAAGUAGUCAAAGAAUUCAACUAGUUGUCGACUUGGGUGCUAUGCCCAAUAUUCUGCUAUUGCCUACCUAUCCGAUGGCUGAGCCUUUAUCCUAUGCCUUUUCAUCUAAUCCAACUCAUUUGUUUUCAACUUGAUUUGAUAUCUGAAUUAGGCUCAUCUACUUACCCAAGGCAACAAGACCUAUGGCUACAAUUUCAUAAUGCCACUAGUAGUUAAGGCCACUACUCGGGGAUGUAAACCUAGACCGCUCUACUACACCUAUUGCUACUAAUAAAGAAUUGCACUCGGAUCAUCUACUUCAUAAGCUAGAUCAGCUACAGGCAGAAUAUCUUCCUUCUUCAAGCGAGGUAUCUUCGAAGCACCUUUGUAUGCGAAGGAGCGGUCACUGGAACAAGACUUGUGGAACGGGUCGAUAACACACCUAUGGGCUGGGCUAGAUAUGGAACUAAUUGUCCUGAGAAGAAACCCUAUCAAAUGAUAUAUUCUCUUUUACAGAUGAAACUACUCUACUACUUGUUUAAGGGUCAAGGGUCAUCGCCUAUGUCUUCCAAUUCUAUUCCUCAGUUGUUUUUGCUUGGCCCGAUCCUUUACUUCUUUUAGAGGGUCCGCUUGGCCUCACUACUAUAGUUACAAAUCUUGUAGUUGCAGUGAUUGGCUUGACCGAGUUUCAUCAGUUAUCCUUAAUAAGAACAUAUACCUAAUUGAGUAUGGGAAUAGUAUAGAUCAUAUCCAAAGAAAGGGAACUCGUUUCUCACUUUUUGGAAUGUUUUUUCAAUUAGAAAUUAUUUCACCACUACUCAGGUAGUUGCGGCGUUAACUGGGCCCUCUCUUUGCCUUUACCUGCUUGCCCCCUUGUUGGAUCUGUUCUCGUAUAGUUUCAUCUGUUCUCGUAUAGUAAGUAGAAGAAAAGACAUAGCUUGUUCACCCUUUCGCCCGAUAUACCCGGAUGAAAACCCUUCUUUUGAGUCCAGUGUUUUAGGGCUGAUUGAUACGGCAGGGCAAUUCAUAGUUACUAGUGGCAUUCUUAGUCGAGCUGGUAUAGUUGACUUUUGAACUCACCCCUCGUAGUAGUUUUGACUUGUAUGCUUGGCCCUUCCACCGGCAAUCCAAUCCACCGGUUACGGACAUUCCUUUCCUCAUAAGGAUAGUCUAUCUCAGUAUAGUGGGCAACUCGUUUUUCAAAGAUCAAGAUAGGCAGGAGUCACUUUUGUAUCGACAUAUAGCUGCAAAAGUCCUUAAUUCUAAAUAAGUGAGACAGGGAAGACAAGCCAGCAAUAAGCAAUGGAAGCAAUGCCCCAGCUUUUGAACUCAACCAGACCUAGGAACUGCAAUGCCUGUAAAAGAAAGAAGUAAAGCUUGCCAGUCUACUCAUUGCAUUGCUAUCUGAUAGCCAUUGGAAACCUUCUCACUAUUAUCACAUAUAGAAGAAUGCUGCUAUUCGGACAAUCUUCUUCUAGCGAGUCAAUGUCGGAUAAUCUAGCAAGAGCUUAUAGUGCAAGGUGCGGAAAGCCGGAUGGAGCUUAAACAAGUGGGAAUCAAGACAGCAACAAGUCCCAUGUUGAAUGAGAUAGCUUGAAUCUUCCAAUCUUUCUGAGCUAUGAAGUGGAAUAGGCUGUCUUCCCUGUAACUCGGAAGGCGGAUCAAGGUACAUGAACCACUACCGGUGUUGAACCGCUCCUGCCGCUACACUCGAAGACAUCGGAGGUCAAAGGAAAGUCGACAUCGAUAACAGAAUAAUAAGUGGAAGUUUCAGUUUCCAGUGAAAGUUAAGGAAAAGUGAUGGAAUUCUUUGUUGCUUCAGUAAAGUGAUAGUUUAGGUCGGAAAUGCAAAAGAUAAGGGAAUAGAGUAUUGCAUAGACCCCCACGGAGCGGUAAUGAAAGAGGUGAAGCUGUAAGAAAGUAAGCUGCCCAACUUAGAUAAGCGAGACCAGCCCAGGCAAUGAAAUCUGUGUAAAAGUAUCAAUGAAAGUAGGCGAGAGGCCAAAACGAAGCCAAGCCCUUUGUUUACUCGAAUCUAUCAUAAGAAGCAAUAAGGUAUAUUUGGAUUAGGAAUCUGACCCCAGUAUCUAUACGAUCUCGAAAGCCAUCCAUAUCAUAUAUCAUGUCAGUCCUCGUUCCCAUAUACCCAGUGUAGUAUAUGAGUUCAUAGCAGAUUCUGGCUCCUAUUUCUACCAUUUCAUAUUGAAUAAGUUCACGAAGUACUAGGCGGAGCUACUAUUGAGACAGAAAACUCCACGCCGAUACCUAUUAAGGAGGGCUCUCCUUUUUCAUUCCCUUUCUUUCUUCAAUAAAAUAAGCUAAGUAAAGAAGCGAGUUCCCUUUCCUGGCCAGUAAAUGCCAGCGGGAGUGCCUGUUUCAAUUCCCUUUCGAUUAUCGCAGUCGCCGUAUGCUUCACACGUGGUGUAGCGAAAGCAAGGUCAUGGUAUAAAGGCUUGGUUCUCUUCUCGGUCAAAAGCCUAGUUCUCAGUUAGCUAAAAAGAUAUGGGCUAGAGCAAGGCAGAGGAUUUGAAGCAGGUCUAGUCUUCAAAAGCAUCGAUUGGCAGAGGUUUUUUUGUAGCCCAUUGUGAUGAAUAUUGGAAGUUGGAGUUGAUUUUGAUGUCGCUAGGAGUUAUCUUACACCCUACCAGUCUCCCUUUUUGAAAGCCUUUCCGUCCCUUUCCUGUUUCGAUGAGUCAUAAAUGGAAAAAAGCUUAAUAAUCUACUUUCGAGCUUUUCUUCUCGCUCCAAGUUCAUCAAUUGCAAACUUACUUAUUACUUCGAUCGAGCAAGAAUUGAAAGCAAAUUGGAGUCUACAUAUAAGAAGUGGUUUACUUAGGCUAAGGCAUUUCAGUUUACACCCCAUACUAAUUCAUAUGUUAAAGAGUCAAGCGCCUUCCCAUACCCUUAGGAAAACCAGUGUGAAAGCAAACGCAGAAAUCAAUAAUGUGUUUGUUUCUUUAAUCAAAAAAGCAUCGAUUGCUGUUCGAGUCUGAAGGUAAUCUCUUUGGAAAGGAAAGUUCAAGUUCUCUUGCUGAGAGAGAGAGUUCCUGGGAGUUGGAGUCUCCAGACGAGUGUCUCUCAAGUGGAGAUAUUUUCUGACUCGAUCCAUAGGUAAGGGAUAGGAUCUAGCAAGUAUGUUAUUACGCUUAGGAAAGUUCCCCGUCAUCAAAUUCGAAUCCUUCUGCUUUCGAUGGCGCCGAUCUAAUAAUAUACCUUAUAAAUCCAAUAAUAUACCUUAUAAAGAAAAGAUCAAGACUAUAUAAUCCGCUAGCCUAGUUGCAGGGAAUUGGAUUUCUCAGUGCCCGUUGGGAUAAGGUGGAGUCUCUUGGGGCUUACAUCUCGCGCUGUAAUAGAUCUCUUUCCCUUAAAGGUGAUAGUUUCUCUUAAUAAUUCGUUCUUUCCUUUCACUCUAUCGAAGGAUAUGUGUAGGUCUAAGGCGCUGAUAGAUUGAUUUCCUUUCCAAGUGCUAUCUAAGAAGUGAGUGCUCAAUCGAGUUUCAAGUAUGACCGAGUAAUAGGAUUACAGCUUAUACAGGAAUACCCUUUUCUGCUUUUGCUUGAUUCGAUUCAUAAAGUGCUCAAAGAUAAGUGCGUUUUCAAUACCUAAGGCAAGUGUUCUAUAAAUUCGUUAAUAAAGUCCGGGUAGAAAUCAAUACGGAUGGAUUUGAUUGAAGCCUAUAUCUGCCGAUCUUUUGUUGCUCUUGAGCGAACGAAUAGGUUACCUUAUUAUUCCAUAUCCCUCUGCUGGAACAGAAGUCGAGUGGAUCAGUAGCAUCUUGGUAUAAGUAAGUACCGAUAUCGAUAUAGAGCAAUUGUUGCCGGCCUAAAUAGUUGGGCAGGAUAACUCCUGAUAGAUUAACCGAUCUGAGUUUGGUAUUUCCAUUCCUAUAGGAUUUGGGCGGAAUUCCUUUUUGAGAGAAAGAACCAAAUCAAAAGAAAAACAAUGGAGAUCCAUUCACCCUGUCUUUAGAUUCUCAUUCUAUGCUAGGGGGAACUGUUCUACUUUCAUGCAAGGCUUAUUGACGCUGAUGUUCGAAAUCGCUCUGUGUCCAUCUUUACUAACAUGCCUUUGAGAAAUAGAGUCCUUGGUUAUGAUUAUACUGUUCUAUGCCCUCGGGUUCCUUCACUCGCUUAAGAGAACUAUAUUCUUUGCUCUUUCCCCAGACACCGAGACUUGCACUUUUGACUGACAUUCCGCUUGUGUUCCGUGGAGUAGCUUCUUUAUCCCGUCGCAGGAAAGGAGCGACUACUCUUGCUUGGCCGUUAAGAGUUCUGCUAUUUUCUUCUUUUGUGGGGCAUCUUAUAAUCCUUAGUUUUGCUUGCUUCUGUGAGCAUAUCCUGUUCAACGAGUAUGGUUUCUUAGCUACUGGCAUCCUUUCCUUCGUGCUAACAGCCAAAGACCCAUUUGUCCAAUCCAAACCUAUAAGGCGCACAAAGAAGCACUUCUCUUACGAACGUUGGAGCAUCACUUACUCGCGAAUCCCGAAAGACAGACUUCCUGAGCACUUGCCUAUUUCUAUUCAUUUCUAUUCCUUGCCUAUUUCUAUUCAUUUCGAUUCUAUUAUUCUUUGUUAGGCUAUUCGCGGGGAAAAAGAAGGGCCUUUCCUCUUGGCAUCGAUCUCAUAUCUGUGUCAAAGAGCGGAGAUUCUCUUAUCUAUGUCUCUUCUAAACUAUGCAUGCCUGCUCCUAAAAUGCAUUCUUUGUUUAGUUCAUACACUGCACUCCUUCGCCACCCGGAGACAAAGAUUCCAUAAAUGAAGUUUCCUGCAAGCGCAAAGUAGACCAGAGAAUCAAAAGGAGAACGAUCUAAAGUAGAAAGAUACGGGUCUCAAGUAGGAGUAGGAUCUUAUGUGGGUAAAGAAUAUAGAGCUGGUGAGGAAGCCGGGUUCACUCAUAGAAUUAUUCAGAAGCUAACUACAGCGGAAAAGAAGAAAGAGUCAACCUAAAGCAUUAAAGAGAGAAACAGCCCUUAUGUUUUCAAGAGAAAGAAGAUACUUGCUAAGAUAGAUAUACCCCGUUUUGAAGCAAUGCUCUGUUAGGUUAAGAAUUGAUGGAAUAUGCGGAUCAUGUUAUUCAAGCAAGGGCAGCUUAUUUAUUAGAUGGGGAGCGGGUAGUUACAUCAAAAUAAGUAUAGCAAGCCCGAGUUCCCGGUUGAGUCUAUCAGGUAGUAAGCCGAUUCCCUCUUUUGCUUGUUUCGACCUUACCGGUAUUGUAUUGGUGACAGGAUCCGGGUAUCGAGUGCAACUCUUUCCAUUAGUAGUCAAAGGCUAAGUUCCUAGUUAAAGUACUUCCAUUAGCUGUUCCAUCCGCCAAGUCACUACCACAGAUGAGACUGACAUCGCUACUAACGACACAACUAGGCGAUUUAGUUACUACCGGCAAGACUUCACCUAGUACUUCCAAAGCAUUACUCGACCCACACAGGGUUUAGUAGCCCCUGACUUGCUUUCGUUCUCGUAGUCGUCCCUGGCGUUCCGGCUCAACACUUAUACCAUUACUCAUGAGAAUUCAUUGUUGUAGCCCAAGCCGUAGUCUUAUGCCACGCCCAGAGCAGAAAAAAACACGAGUCCUCUGUGUUUCAAAGCUGACACUACUAAGCCAUCAAGUCACCCAACUAUUAGAUCCACCCUAGUGUUAUAGAAAGAAAGUAUAGAUGGUAAGGCGGGGAAACAUAGAUAUCAGAUCUGAAGUAAGUAGUCGAUUUCCUAUUGAGUAGAGCAAGUCUGCUCCAAGCGAGUAAGGAUCUAAAUCAGUAGACACAGGGUGAGAUCGAGCUUUGAGGUAGGUGGUGGCAGUAGAUAGGUCAUAAGUAAAAACAGGCCUAUUAGCAGUAGUUGGUUUCCCGGUUGCUAGUUAAGGACCUGUUAGUGCUAGUGGAAUUCUCUUUUCUUGGAUUCAUUGCUAGAUGCGCUAUAGAUUAUACCUAUGCUUCUAAAUGCCCUAAUAAAUAAGUUCAUUAAGGGUUGCAUUAUGGUUGCAUUCUUAGAAGAACACGGAUAACUAAUUGAAUAAUGAAAAGCGAUAAAAGAAAGAAACACAUAAUAUAGAAUAGAACCCGGGCGGAAAAGACUGCUACUUACUAAUAUAGGAAUAAAAGAACUACUAGAAAGAGUCACUACCUGCCCAACAAACAAGACAACAACUCAUAAGUAGGAGAAUGCGAUCAAUAACAGGAAGACCAGAACUAGCGGUGUAAAGAACUUCUAUAAGAAUACUGAAUUGAGAAGGACACUUGGAAUCCAGCCGUAUAGGAAUAACGACUACCAUAUGGAAUGCAACUAACAACCAUUAGCCUUAAGUUGCUACUGAUAGGGUUCAGUCGGAAUACACCGAACUUGGUCAAGCGCCAAUACUAAUAUAUCAAUAAAAGAAUUGCACCGAUACCAAUAAGGACGGAACUACCAGCCAGCAGCCAGCAGCUGACGCUGACCUUACUUUUCUUCUUUCACUAAUGACCCGGAACCCUGUCGUCUGUAUUGCACCUCGGAUUCUUACACACUCCAUAGAGAUAGGCCUUACUCAUAUAGCCAUAAAACGGAUAAUACUUUCUAUUAGAAUAGAGAAUUGCGCUGGCAUUAGCAGGAUGAAACCGCUGUUUUUAAGGCUGCAUUUAGACAAAAAGAAAGACUUCUUAACGAAAUGGGAGGGAAUUCUUUCACUGCCGGGCAUGAUCCUGAUCCUGUCUCCUUGCUUACUUUAACUGAUUAAGAUAAGACUUGCUCUUUGGCACAAGAGAAUCGAACCUUAUGGCACGUACUCAAAACAGGCAAUCCGAAUAAACCCAAUGAAACAAACCAAUAAGAAGAAUACUAGAAAUAGGAACUAAGCCUGGCAACUACUACCCAUAAUGUAAGUAUUAAUACGGGAGGGCAAAAAGGCAAGUAAAUAAGGAUCGAACUAAGGGAGAAGGAUUGUGCUACUGGGUUGAGUUCUAUGAGUGAAUUUAUUGAUUAUGAGUUGGCAAAGGCAAAGCAAGGAAUAGCUACGUUAUAAUGAGUUAUUCCGGUUUCUCAUUUGUGUUUCUUAGUUUCAUUCCCGUUUUCUUGUUUCGUUAGUGCACAGUUGGAUUCGUUAUGGGCUGUGUCUCAGCCAUGCCCCCCAGGAGAAAGUAUCAUCGGUUUCAGUUCUAUUCAGGGGUUAUCGUCAGAGUAGGAAGAAAGAUGUUUGCUGAGCACCUGCACCAACUGUUAUCAAGGGAAGAGAAAAACAACUACCUUUUUUCACUAAGAAACUAGAAGCAAACUACUAAUAAACUAGAUUCAAAUCUCAUAUAAGAAAAACAUUCUAUCUAACAUGCAUGAGUGAACAAAUUAAUAGAAGAGUGGAACUGGAACAUAGGCAUUUACGAGCUAGCUACUAUAAUACAAAGAAGGGAUAGGCAUAUUUCAAAAAGGCAGGACAGACUUGAUCGAUAGGAUAGUAAGGAUGCCGGAUAGCAGUUUCAGAGCUAAAGCAAGGGUCGACAUACUGAGCUCGCUGGGGAGAUGCUAGAUGAUAAAAGGAACCCCGAUUUCGGUAUGAUUGAAUAUACCACUUUUUCUUAAGGUGCUCGCCCAAGGCUAAUUAUUAUAUCUUAUCUAAUGACAAAUCAUUCUUUCUUUCCCACUUGGCACUUGUGGUAGCUUAGCUGCAUUCCGCUUACUAGUUUUGUUGAGGUCGCUACUCUUUCUUCUCCUUGUUUAGGUCGGCUUACUCUUUCUUCUCCUUGUUUAGGGCGCUUACUCUUUCUUCUCCUACUGAGUUGUUUUAUGUAUUCUGGAAAUGACUGAUUCAGCUAAGGAUCUUACUUAAGCCAAAGAUAUCGUUAUGUUCUUAUUAUUGAUUAUGUCUAUAAGGGGUAAUUGACGAAUUACUAAUUCCAAAAGAGUCUUGACUAGCGCCCAAAGAGUCAAAGUAGGGCGUGGCCAAGCGGUAAGGCAUCGGGGUCCCUACAUUCGGAGGUUAUAAUCCUUCCGUCCCAGAUCGUUUCCAUCAUAAACUCAAGAUGGGAUCACAUUGUAUCCCACAUAAGUGUCAAAAUCAUAAAGAUAACAACCUUUUCUUUUGUUCUGAAUUAGGAGAAUGGAUUCUUAGAAUCCUAUUGCUUUCUAUCUUAUAUCUGACAUGUCAAAAAUCAAUAUAUUUGGAAAUCCAUGUAACGGGGCGGGGGGAUAUUUUGAUAUGGGGAAUCUAUUGGAACUUGAUUGUAAGGUAUAUAUGGAAGAAUUGUUGUAAGGGUAUAUAUGGAAGAAUUGUUGUAAGGGUAUAUAUGGAAGAAUUGAUUGUAAGGUAUAUAUGGAAGAAUUGUUGAACCGGUGAAAACAAUAUAUAAUAUAUCCUUAGAAUUGGAACUAGGCCUAUGUAAUCCGCUUGCUAUCCCUAUAUGUGUCUAUGCUAUCCAUGCUUUCCCUAUAUGCUAUCCCUAUAUGUGCUUAUGCUAUAUCAAAUAAGUUUCUUGUCAUUGUUGUAUUUCAAUAGCAAUGGCCUUUCACUAAAUCAUUUUAGGAAGGGGUGGAGAUCUCUUCUUCUUCAAAUAUCCACGAUUACCCCCAGUUACAAUAUGAUGAUUCGUAUACUUAGGGAAUGAACUAUCCGCUAUGAAUUUGGAGCAACUCAUUGUGCGUCGACUUGGUGAUGGAAUUAUAGAUCCAGUUCUUUAGUCAUGACUAUAAAACAUAGUUCCAGUCAUAAUGCUGAAGUGAAGUCGGAGAUCUUUUCAAACAUUCUUUUAUUAACUCUUGGUUGGUACUCGAAGAAGUAUGAGAAAUCCAUAGUAUAUCAACAAGAAAGGCAGUGAUUCAAGAGGAAUAAUUCCUAUCGGUGAAAUUCAUCUCUUCUCCCAGAUCUUCUUUGUAGUCCGGUAUAUGUCUGAAUUCAUCUUGUCAGUGUCAGUUAGAGGAAUUGUUUGACUUGGCUGCUUCCUUCGAUAAGUAGGUUCUUCCUUUUUUUGACUAUAUACCCCCUCGCUCUUCUUCUCCGUUUUGUAAGUGAAUUAAAGACGAACAUAAGAAAUAGUUGAACGAUCCACUUUUCUAUCCGGCUAGAAAUCCCAGAUAAGCAGUUUUGCCUUCUACACGUACUUUUGCCAAUGCAUCGGCUCUCUGUCCUAAAAACCACACCCGAAGAAAGGCCAGCCCAGAGCUGCUAUUCUAGUUAUUAUAGUCAAAAAGAGGCUAGGCAACGACUCUUCUUUGGUUAUUCUAGUGAAAAGAGGCUAGGCAACAACUCCUCUUUUGGCGGGAACACGAGCAAAGGCAACUUCCAAGUCAGCGGGUACUAGCCUGACAGCCCGACCUCACUAAGGAAUAGAAACAUAGAAAGGCCCUCAAUAAAAGGAAAGAAAGAGUCUCUUCCCCGGAAAACUCUCCUCUUGGUCAGCUGCUCCUCGGUCUCGAACGGUCCCCAGUUCGUUCCUUAAAACAAGAAUCCGCGCCUCUGGUCUUGUCUUGAAAUGAAAGCAAUCUCCUCUGGAAAGGCAUUACUGAGACGUCCGAAUCUCUUCUUAUCUUAUAUUCGAAGCAAGGACAUGUUGGCAGUGAAGUUCCACAGACGUGGUCCAGACAGAGACUAUACUUUCCCUUUCCAUUAGGGUUUUCUAUUGACCACAGACACAGUGCCCCAGAAAAGGCUUAGUAUUCGAUACUGUCGCAGGUGUCCCUACGGCUUCAGGCAGUUCUAUAGCCCGUGCCCACUUUCCCCACCGAGUCAAUCAAAAGUGUUUUGCUUUGGCUAAAGCCCUUUUGUAGAUCCAUGUGGGUCUCCGCCUUUGUCUUUUAGGCUAUAAGGUUGGCGCCCCCCUUUCCCCUGCCCCCCUGUCGUUAAAGAACUUAUUUAGACUUUCGCUUUCGGUUUCAUUUCAUCAGCAGUGAGGGUCUAGAAAAAACUCCUUUCACUGGUUUCCCCUAUACCCUAAGCCGGGCGACGUACGGUGUGACAGACAAAGAAGAUAUGCGUGGGAUUUAGUACCUUACGAAGGGGUAAUCCGACAACCUGUUUCAUCCAACGACAUCGAGGGAAACCCCAAGUCUUCGGGGGCAAGUAGACUAAAUGGAAUAUGAAAUCGCGGAUACACUCGGAACCACUCAAAUCAUGACGAGGUGAAAGCAAACUACUGCUGCAUUCUCAAUAUAUCAUAAGAUCGAUCUCAAAGUAAGGGCGGCAACUAUUAAUAUAAAGAAGGAGAGUGCGCGCUUCCCUUCACUGAUAAGACGGUACGAAAAAGAGUCUGCCUGCAUGAUCGUCCGCUACCUUAGAUUAUACAUCUGUCUUCGCCUAACCAACAUUACUGCAUUGGAUACUAGUGCAUACAGAGAAAAGCCCCUCUCGCUCAAGAUUUCAGGAGGUUACGACCUACUUUUCCUACAAAAACUCACCGCUUUAACUAACUGAGCUGCUUCCACUCCUUAAAGCACUAUCGCUUCCUACUGCUUUAAGUACCAAAAUAGUAUUAGCAUAUAAUAAGAUGAAGAUGCUCGAAAGGGUUCUUUGUCAAGCCAGAAAGCGCAAACCAAAGUUUUUCGAGAGGCCGACCACUUGAGACGGGUAUAAGAACUCACCCUUGUUAGGAAGUUUCCAGAGGGGCGCUUCAAUAGUGUAGAAAUGGGAAUCAAAGACGGAGGAGCCUAGCCUGAUUCUCCUGCUUCCUUCCUUAUCGCUAACCGAUGCUAAUCAUGCUUGACUUUACCUCUGAGAUUGUCCCCAGGCCCUUCUCCUACCUCUAUUGAUGGAAAAUAAGUAGGUCUGUGGUAAUGUCAAAGGUUCCCCACACCUUCUUUGUCUGAGUGCUGCCUCCUUCCUUCUUCCCGUCAAUCAUCGUUAAGGGUUUCAAAUCCAUAGGCGCUGCUAAAAUGGCUUCUUUCUGCCUUGGCUAUAGGAACAUAAUCUCCAUAAUAGGGCGGUUUGCUUCUGAGUAGUUCUGUCCUUCCCUCCCCUAUCCGAGAUGUGCUCUUGAAAGAUCUCCCUCUUCAGCUUGGUUAGGUCUUAGAGAAGUCACUUCUUUACCUAAGGUUGUAGCCAAGGGGAUACUUGAUUCUUCUAACAAAGAAGUAGCCAAGGGGAUACUUGAUUCUUCUAACAAAGAAAGCAAAGGAAAAUCUAUUAUGAGAGAAUCUUCCUUCAAAGAUGCUUUUCUCGAUUCCCCUACAUCUACGAAUGGCUAAAUGCUUUCUCACGUAGGGCUUACUAUAAGGGAGGGGUUCCGCUUUCUUUCAUUCCUAAAGAAGGAAGGGGAAGGUAUUUCCUCAUAAAGGAGUUUGUUCUUAGUAGCAGCCGGAUACCUUUAAAGAGAUAAGUCUACCUUUGUUCCAGCCAUUCUCAAGAUCUUUCAUUUCCGGUUUCAUAAGAGAGGAUAGCAUAUAGCUUAGCCUCAUUCCUAUAGCUCAUAGAGAAGUUCCUCUUAUCCAGCAUAUUUACAUUAGUCAAAUCCUACUGGUCGAUCAAUGGUUGUGCUUGAAGCCUUAUUCUCUGUAUCAGGCAAGAAGAGGAAAGGAAGGUAAGUUCGAGAUAUAUCAUAAGAAAGAGAAGAAAGAAAGAGAUGAACUCUUUAUAAGAAAGAGAAGAAAGAAAGAGAUGAACUCUUUGGAGCGCUUCUCGGCGGUAAGACAGACCGUGAAUGAAUAAGAAAGAAAGAAGAUAUAGUUCUAUUUCCUGCAUGAGGGAAAUCGACCGAUGGACAUGCUUGACUUUACGUAUAAGUAGUGCUAGGAUUACUUGCCUUAUUACAUAUGUCUUGCUAGUAUAUAGCAGUAGUCGGAGUAGCACUAGGAUAAGUCGGGGUCAGCACUUAGUAAACCUUUCCACUCAUACUUAAUAGUAUACCAUCACUGUUAGCAGACUGUGCCAUUCCUUACACUGUUAGAAUAACUUCUCAUCUCCCACCUUCUAUAAUGCGCAUAUUGAGACUGAGCUUGCUUGCAUUAAGCCUAUCGCCUGCCUCCCUAAGACCUUUCUAUUGUGCCUGUCGUUAACUCCAGUGUACCUUCCUUUCGGAGAGUGCCUUACUCUGAAGUAAUAGACUGAUUAGAUUGCCGGGAGUGGAUUCUUCUUUUUACCAAACAUAUGGGAAAAGGAUCCAAUCCAAUGACUUCGAAAGAAUGGAACGAGGAGCAUUCCACGGCCGGGGGAACAGAGGUAUCUCAUGGUUAGUUCUGUAGAGUAGCAGUAAGUGGGGAAUACUAGCUUGCUUUAGGAACUUACUAACUUCGCCGAGGUAACUAUGUCCUCAGCCGAGCCAACUUCAUCAGCAGUUCUAUAUAUGGGUGUUGUCGACACAAGAGAAGAAGCACAAUCCGGAUUAGCAGAUGUGUUUUCAAGUCCACUAUACUCAAUAAUUAGCUUUGCAUUAAAGUCAAGGUUGUCGACAGGAGAAUCUCAAGUGUCUUUCUUUUCUUCUAUACCAAAAGCUCAAUAAGAGAGAUAUUCAAUUCAAAGGUAGACAUCAGAAGAUGCUGUGCCAGGUAAAGUCAAGUUCCGGGAAAGAAUCUAUUACUGGCCGGGGAAGGUAAGAAGAAAAUACUGGCUACGCGGUUCAGGGAAGAGAAUAAUAAAGUACUUCCGAAGCAAGGUGUCAUGGAGACGCGACAUCAAGCCAAUAAUCUCUCUAUACUGUAAGUUAAGGGUUUAGGGCCGCCGGUGACGAAGAAAACACUUUGAUCAGGGUCCUUACACCUUUCCAUACUAUAUGCAAAAGAGAGAGAUUCCGCAAUUCCAGAAUCCGCUGGAGAAGGUUAGGAAGCAGUUCUGGUUUUGCCGACGAGAUCAGUAGAGUAUCUUUCCGUGCAAGUGAAGUCUACGAGAUCAUCCGGAUCUGAAUAAGAAGGGAAGGAGUGGAGUCAGAAGAAAAUAGCCAGUACCAUCUUCUGCCCUACCCAAAAGAAAGUAAUCCUUCCUUGCCUACCCAAAAGAAAGUAAUCCUUCUUUGCUCUUCCUUUCAUGGGGUUUAUUCUGCCGCAAUCCUUCUUUGCUCUUCCUUUCAUGGGGUUUCUUCCGCCGCCCUUAUUAUCUGUCAACAAACAAAGCAUUAGUUUGAGAGUGAGAUUCUGGAAAAGGAACUAAAGCAGAGGCUUUAGAAAGAGGAUCCGACCUCCCGAGCUUAUUAUCUUUAGAAAGAGGAUCCGACCUAGCUUAUUAUCUGUCUUCGGCAGGCAGGAUCGAAUGAGGAUGAUGGGACGAAUGAAUGCUUUUGAAACUACAGUUAAGAGCUUGCUUCAUUUGAUGCUAAGGAACGGAACCUUACUUAUCUAAGUUGCCGGAUAGUGGGAUAUGCCGUACUCUGAUUCAACCGCUUAUGUUCUUCGCCAAUGUUCCAAGGAUAAGGUUGAACACCUUCUAACAUAUACUUACGGACUACUCUGUUUUCUCACUUUUCGAAAUGCUCCUAAGGUAAACAACAUUUUGGACUAGUGGAAUUAGGAGACAAUCUUCUAAAUGUGCCAAGAAAGAGGUGCCCCAAUAGAUAGCUCUGCGGGACAGAUUCCUUCUUUGAGGCUUGGUAUGAUACGGUUCAGUUCCCUUUCUGCAAGGGCGGUGGGCCUGGACAAGUACGCUACUAAAUUCCACCGGAGUACUAAGAUCUAGAUCGAGACUAAGCUCUCAGCCAAGGAUAACUUAGAUGGGCUUCUUUCCCCACUAUUCAAUCCUUAGUUAAAGGGGCCGGUCCGAAAGCUCCGUUUUCUAUACAGCCGAACGCAUAAUUCCAGUUAUUUAUUGUCUCCAGAAAGCGAAACUACUAUCGUUACGCUGCACCAUCAUACGCAGGAAUGGAAUAUAGAGAACCGCUUCUUUAAUACCUUUCAAUAAACUCCUCACUUAGACAUGGCAAAACGGGACCCAUAAUAGGAACCCGUGGAUCUGAAGUCAACGCAGAAGGAUUGGAUUAUGCCUGAAUUAAUAGUAAAGGCCCUGCUUUCCAGGGGUGGAUUAGAGUUAGCAGAGAUGAAGGAAGUCGGGGGUGCUCCUACU
rnacentral:lncRNA from 1 species